ACCCUCUCUUUAGUAAAAUGUGGAAUAUUGGCACCAGCUACUUCAAGUUUUUCGCUUAAUAUUGUUGAAAGCAUUUCCUUUUGUAGGUCUUCUAGGCCACCCUCUGUUUCUGAUUUUCUCCUAACAUUUUUUGCAAAGUAUUUACCAUCAAACUCACCAGAGAAUUGAUUGAAAAUAGCUUCAGCAAGGGUGGUUUUGCCGAUACCACCCAUGCCCCAAAUUCCAACAAUUUGGACAGUAUCCGACAAAUCCAUACACAAAAAUGGUUUAAUCUGCUCAAUUCGUGAAUUUAAUCCAACUAGGCCGUUGGAUGAGUCCGUUGAGACUGUUAUUUUUUCCAACUUCUUCAAAACAUCUUCGACAAUUUUGUUUACAAGUUCCGCAUCGUGCCUAAUAUAAAGGUGCAAAGAUGCAAAAACAUUGAGUCAAAUCGGGCCAACACAGAAACAGAGAUAAGAUGAAUUAGGAAAGAGAGUUACCUGAAUUUCGUGGAUUCGUGGCCAGCAAGACCGGAUGUUUCUCUCAGUGCAUCCCUCCACCUCUGAACCAUUUCUGGCUUCUCUUUGAACUGUUGUUCGAGCUUACCAAAGCCGACCCCAAAAAUCCCAGUUUGAUGCCGCACAUCGGACGGACUUACGCCAUAGAAAACCGGAAUAAUGAUUUGGCCGUUUGUGUGCUUGCAUUCAAGAAUCUCGACAAGUUCAUACAGGCACCAUUUUGAAGAAGCGUAGUCCGUUGAGAAAAUGACCACCGAAAUUUUUGAACCUUGGAUUGCGUUCAAAAGGGCAGGUGAAAUCUCAUCUCCGCGCCUAAGCUCUUCAUCAUCAAUAAAUGUUCUGAUUUUCUUUCUUUUAGACAAAGCAUCAUAGAGAUGGCAAGUAAAGAUCGCACGAGUGUCCUCCCCUCUAAAAUUGAGGAAGACUUCAUAAAUGCAAGGAGAAGAAGCCAUGAAGGAAAUAUUAGAAAUUUGGUGACAGAAACAGAGAAUUAAUCUUGAGAGCUGAGAGAGGAGAUGUAAGAAUGAACAUGUGUGAAUAUUCUUGCGAGUACAUAGUAAAUAAUUGAAUGGCUCGAGCUUUCUUAGUUUCCUGGAAAUUUCCUGGAGCUUUCGUAUACAUGAUUUGUCAAGUCAAGAAACAUAGUCAUGAUAAUGGGGCAGACCAGGAAGAAAAGGAAAUUGGAAUUUUGUACAAUUUCUCCAGCGAGGAACUUUCACUGUCAUUACCUCACCGUUACAGUUUGGAUUAGGGUAAUUUUUACCCCGCACCCAAAUGUUUUGACAUACAGCACAACGCACCCAAUUCUUUUGCCCAUGAGCACCGCGCACCCAUUUCCGUUUAUUUUUCAGUUAACUGUAACAGAUCAGGGUAAAAUUGGAAUAACGCAUCAAAAUUUAAAAAUAAAAAAAUAGGUAAACUCGAUGUUUGCGCCAAAAUAAUUUCACAUCACUGUGCUUAUGUUCACUGCGUUUGCGUGUGAGACCAAGAAGCAUGGCCACACCUCCAUUGAUGCCAAAAUCGAGGAGGUGGGUGAAGAAGAAUUGGCGCCAAAAUCAUUCACAUAUGAUGUGCAAGGAAAUUAUUUCAGCCUUUAAAUACUUUUUUAUUACAGCAGCAUCAGCUAUUGCUCUGUUUCGAAGAUCUGCUCAAUUUCUAAGACAAUAGUUGGUUUGAGAGUUUAAGGGAAGUGAAUCCACUGAGCGUGCUAUUGAAGAAGUGGAGGUCAGUUUCAUUUCUUGCUCAAUUGUUUUAAUUUAUUCCAUUUUGUUUGCAUGUCAAUUAUUUACACAUUUUUAGCUGGAUUUUGCUUAUCUAUAAAACUUGAAUCAUUGUUAAUCAAAUCAGCUAUAAUUUACGCCUCAAUGUGGUUUGUAAGUUUAAGUUAUGUUGGAUUAUACCUGAAUAAUGUGGUGUUUGCGUUAUUGAUUUCAAUUUCUAUUGAUGAUUUUGAGUAUACAUAUUAGUGGAUGAAAGUUUUUAAUUAGGAUGAUUGGUCACGCAUAUAUGUCAUAGCAACUGUGUUUUUUUGGGUUAUGGUUGUACUGUAGAUCAGUAGUAGUAGUGAUUUGGAUAUAAACGCUAGUGCUUUUAUUGUAAAUGAUAGUGAUGAAGAUCCAGUGUUACAGAAUUUGAUGUAAAAGUUAUUGGUUUUUGGCUAAAUAUCUUAGAUAAAUAUGAUGCUCAUGCAAUCAAAUCCAAUGCUUAUGCAAUUUACACCAUGUUUAUGAUAAGUAAUUAAAAAAAUAAAUGACUAUUCCAGGUGAAAAUGGAUGAUGAUGAUAUUACAACUGUUCUUUGUACAUUCAAGGGCAAGACAUAUAAUGUUGGUGUAAUUGAUCCAGAUAAGUUUAGUAGAGUUUCUGUAAUUAACAAGGUUUUAGUUAGAGUCUAUGGAAGAAAGAUGAGGCCUGAUGAGAAGUUUACACUAAGUGUUUGGGUACCAUGGGUCUAUAAGGAAGUAGAGAUUAUGUCUGAUCAUGACUUAAUAUUCCAGCUGAGAGAGCAUAAUAAGAUGUUGUUCUACUGCAUGCAAUUGUAUAUUGAAGAAAUCCAUGUACCUCAUGAGUUUGUACCUAGAAGGGCUUUGUUUCAGCACUCAGCAGAAGAAAGCUUACAAGGGUAUGCUGAAACAAACUUUCCAGCCACUACUGACCUGCACAAACCUUAUACACAUGCUACAUCCACCAACACAAAUCCUUAUGAAAAUGACAGUAAUGACCAUUCGAACCAUGAACCCCCUGUCAAGAACUCCAGCAGCAUAAUGAUGCAUAAUGUUGCACUUGAUAGCAUCCAAUCACAGACCAAACCAGAUACCAACCCUGACCUAUAUCAAGACUUUUUGGAUACCUAUUUCAGAUCAUCACCACAACAGAAAACACCAUCAGCUGCCCAAACUAAUGCCGAAAAUAGUGAUAGUGAUAACACAUCUUCAUUUGGUACAAAUAAGACUCCUACUGAGCAGCUUCAACAAAACUUUGCCAUCUCUUCUGAGUUGUCCCCUUUAUUGCAGCAACAUGGACAUCAUGCAUCCCAAAAUGAACCUAUACCUUUUCACCAACCUGAGUUCUCAUCUCAACCAAUAACUCAAAACCCUCAGUCACAAGUUGUACAAGCAGAAAACUUCCAGCAACCAGAAGCCACUACACCAGCACUAGUAGAUUAUAACUCAGAUGAUAGCCAUUAUAGUGUAACUGAUAGUGAGGAAGAUCCAGAUCAUCCAUUAGGUGCUCCAAACAUUAAUAAUACUCCUAGGAAACCUUCUGUUAAUGUUGACUUAGGCUCUAUGCCUUCUGAUGAUAGUGAUGAAGAUUGUAUGCUAUCUGAUUGUGAGAGUGAUGACAAUGAGUUUGGGGAAGAAUCUGAUGAAGAGAUUGAUCAAGUGCUGGUCAGAAUGGAUGCUGUUAUGAGAGAGAACAUGUACAUUCCUAGUGAUACACCUGUUCAAUUCUUUAUUGGGCAGUGUUUUAGGAACUUCAGGCAGCUGGCAUGGGCAAUAAGGACUUAUGCUGUGGAAAACAAGUUCAAGGUUUAUAAGCACAAGUUUGAAAAAUCCAGAGUAACUGUUGGAUGUAAUUAUUUCAGGUGCCCAUGGUUUUUACAUGUUGCAAAAACUAGAUUUGGACAAACCUUUAUUGUUAGGAGGCUUCACAACGUACAUACAUGUCAGAGAGACUUAAAGAAUCCUGAAUGCACUGCAGAGUUCAUUGUUGCCAAGUUUGCUGCAACUAUAAUUGAGCAUCCAGAUACAAAGGUUGGGUGGAUUCAAAGUGAACUUAGAAGGAUGUAUGGAGCUAAGAUACACAAGUAUAAAAUUUAUAGAGCAAAGAAGAAGGUUUUACAGAGACAAUGAGCUGAUUAUGAGUCUAGUUACAUGUUGAUCAGAAAUUAUGCUCAGGCCAUACUUACUAAGAUGCCACAGGCCUUGGCAUUGGUUAAGGUUUUCAGGAUGCAUGGUCAACAACCUCAAACUCACUUUGACAGCACUGUUAUAUCUUUCCAUGCCCUCAGAGAUGGCUUCAACCAAGGUUGUAGACCCUUCAUUGGUAUUGAUGGAUGCCAUUUGAAGGGUCCAUAUAAGGGUGUUCUUUUAUCAGCAGUUGCUAUUGAUGCCAACAAUGGAAUCUUCCCACUUGCAUUUUGUGUAUGUAGUGUCGAGAGUACAACCAGCUGGACAUGGUUUCUAAGCCACUUUAGGGAAUUUUUACAAGAUACAAGACAACUGACCUUUAUGUGUGAUAGGCAGAAAGGAAUUCAGAAUGCUCUUGCCUUAGAGUUUCCUAAUGCACAUGUUAGAUUCUGUGCUAGACACAUCUUAGCAAAUAUUAAGUUAAAACAUCCUCAAUCUGACUUUAAAGCAUAUUUCUGGGCAGCAGCAAGAGCAUCAAACAGAAGGGCAUUUGAUGAUGCUAUGCAAAACAUAAGAGCAGCACAUGAGGGUGUAUAUGAGACUCUUAGGAGGAUACCACCAAAUUUCUGGUCAAGGCAUGCCUUUGACAAUAAUUGCAAGUCUGAUCAUUGCACUAACAACGUAACUGAAUCUUUUAAUGCAUGGAUUGGGAUUCAAAGAAAGUUGCCAAUAAUCUCAAUGCUGGAGUGGAUUAGGAAGAAGCUGAUGAAAAGAAUGAUUGGAAGAAGAAAUAAGGCAGAGUCUUGGGACAGUGAUAUACCAAGAAGAAUUUAUGCACAAAUGAUGAAGAAUUUACAGAUUGGCAGUGCAAACCCUAUCUGUAGAGCUAGUAAAUGGCUUUAUGAAGUGGAUGAAAAUACCAAGACUUAUAUCGUUGAUCUUGAACACCAUAUGUGUGACUGCGGACAAUGGCAAGUUAGUGGGAUUCCAUGUGUACAUGCAAUGCCUUGUAUUGUGAAUAGUCAAAAAGAUCAAGCUCAGUUCAUUAGCCAAUGGUUGAAGAAAGAUACUUACCUAAGGUGUUAUUCUGGAUUGAUUAAACCAAUUCCAGAUAGAACGUCAUGGGUAGAUGCUGGUGGUGAUGAAAUACUGCCCCCUUUAGUGAGAAGACCACCUGGACGACCUAAGAUGACAAGAAGAAGAGAAGCUGAUGAGGUACCAGCACAUAAUAAACGAUACAAGAUGCAAUGCACUAUUUGCAAGGGAUUUGGACACAACAGAAGGGGUUGUCCUGUUAACCCUCAUAAUGCUCACAAGACAACAAGACAAUAUAAGGUGAGUGUGUAUGCUUGUAAGAGAAUAUUCAAUUAUUUUUUGAACCAUGUUCCUCCCAUGUGAUGACAGCUAAUGUGCCUUGUUUGUUUGUGCUUUUUUAUAGAAUAACCUGAAGAAGCACGUGACAAGGACAAAUGGGGAGCAAAGUGAAGGUAUAAGAGUAAUUUACUAAGUUAUAUUACUAUAUUACUUUACAGCUGUAUUAGAUAAUUAUAUAGUUGUGUAUCACCAAACUAUAUUAAAUUAACUUAUUUAUUUAACGUUGCUUUAUUGGUAAUUUAUAAGGCCAAGUUCACGGAAUUACCUCAACUAUUUUGGAAAGCCAAGACAAUGACAUGGUCCAAGUAACUGUCUCAGGCCAAAACAUAACAAAGAACCAGCAGACUGCAUCUAACAAACGCAAGAUUGGCAAUCAAGCAGGGCCAUCAAAAGCAAAUGAAGUCAUUGGCAAGAGCAUGAAUGGGGUCAUAUCUGUAGCUCCAUGGGUAGGUGAACAGGGAAGAAAAGUAAUGUCAGCCGCUGGAUUAACCUUCAGCAAAGAGGAUGAAGUCGGCAACUAUACUGAAAUGAAGCAUUUGGACAAAGGGAAGGCACCAGCCUUCCCUUCGUAAAGGGUAAAACCAUAGUUUUCUAUUGAUAUAAAUUAAUAUUGGUUUUGGAAAUGAUAUUUAUAAUUUGUAACUUGUUUUGUAGUGAUUCUUUGGCUAUGAUGGAGACAUUGGCAGCAAACUUAUUAACAAACAGUGGAGGCAACAUUAUCAUUUUUUGACACCUUCCACAAUGCCACAUCAACCCACCAGGCACAAGGUUAAGGUUAUCUGGAUGCUGAUUUCAUUAGGAUCAAGUGGCCAAGUAAUGACCAGGCAUGUCAUUGUUUUCUUUUUCUUUUUUAUUUUGGAGCUGAAAUUGGUGGAAGUUGUUGGACAUUAAGCUUAAGCAUUAUAGAGCUGGAAGCUGUGAUGACCUACUAUAAGUAUGAUUGGAAGGGUUUAUGGCAUUUUGAAAGUUUUUGGGAUUAAGAUACAUAUAGGACUGAUAUCAACCAAACCAACACUUUUUUUUUUUGUUUUUUGGUCACAUGUAUGUAAACACCAGAUUGGAUGUGACUAACAUUGUAAGUUGCUGCCAAUAUGCAUUUAUAGAUAAAAUAACUUAUUGCUAUUAUUGAUAUCAUAUUUGAUUAAAUGGUAUAUGUCAAGAAACGAAUGCAUUUUAUUGAUCAUAAGAUUUCAUUUUACACAUUGUUCUAGCAUUCCUUACAGUACAAUACAAGCAAUACAAGUAUAGUUAUCACUAUAAUCGUGAUUUGAUACUUCUUAUUUUUAUGAAGUAAACCUUCAAUAUUGAUGAACCUGUUGUGGAAGUCCUCAAUGUUAAAUUGUUGAAUCUCACUUGCCCUGUCUGCAGCUUCUUCUUCAAACCUUUGUAACGCUGCUUCAAUUUCUAUAGCCUCACCUGUAGAUGGUUUCCACCAUCUAAAGAAACCACAAGAUGGGUCAUUAGGGCAUGUGUAAUAUAGUUUGUUGGGGUUUGUUUUUGAUUCUGACACUUUGAUUUCUGCCCUUCUUCGACAGUAGCAUACUGUGUUAUAGAACUUGAUGAUGCCCCCAUUGAUUUUAGGUAAAUCCCUUCUUCUGUUAUAAGUUGAUGAACUUGAUGCAUUCCUUGAAGUGGACAUUUUCUUCAAAUUUCCAAUGUCGUGUCUGUUAUAUUCUUUUUGAAAUACAGCACAACGUAUCUGAACUUCAAGUUGUUGUGCUUGUUUUGUGUGUGAAUGAAGCUGCUGUUGAAGUUGUAUUGUUUCGGUGGGUAAAACCAAAUGUUGUACUACUGUAAGUUGUUGCUGAGUAAAAAAAAUGGUGGAGUUUCCAGGUGAGUCAAUGAAAAUCACUGAGGUGUGAAGAGGGUAGGAAUUUAUAUGUGUUAAACAUCACAGCUUGUGGUGAUGCAUCAGCUCAAAUUUAUCAAUUUCUUUUACUGUUCUUGUAACCAUAUAGCCGUUAUUACUGUUGCUCAGAUUUUAUAGCCGUUGGAUUUUUGAUGCGCAUGGUAAUAAACCAAUAUGCUAAGGGCAAUAUAGUCAAUAUAAUUUAACAGUUAUAGUUGGUCUUCGUGUGUAAAUACACCUUUAAAUAAUGGCCAGUGGUAAAUUCCUUAGUUCAAUGACUCACCUGGAUGCAUUUGAAUUCAACGCAAGGGUAUAUUUGUCAUUUAAUCAAAAUAUAGACUGAUCCGUUACAAUUAACUAAAAAAUAAACAGAAAUGGGUGCGCGGUGCUCAUAGGCAAAAGAAUUGGGUGCGUUGUGCUGUAUGUCAAAACAUUUGGGUGCGGGGUAAAAAUUACCCUUUGGAUUAUGAUUUGAGGGUGCAAGUAUUUACCUAGAGUUUACCUCCGCACUAAAUUCUUAAGUUUUGAAAAUUAUGAGACCUUUAUAUUGGGAGAUAUUGUAAUCGAAUCAAAACUUAAAUUUUUUAUAAUGUUAAUAUUUAAUCUUUUAAAAAACAAUAACCUCGCCGUUACAGUUUGGAUUAAGAUUUGAGUAAGUAUUUACCUAAAUUUUACCUCCGUCUGUAAAUUCUUAAGUUUUGAAAAUUAUGAGACCUUUAUAAUCGAAUCAAAAUUUUGAAUUUCAAUAUUAUUAUUCUUUAAAAAAAAUUUUGAGAUAACAGAGUGAUUGAUAAUAUAGGAGAACUUGUCUAGGCAAGCACAUGUAUACACAGAAACGUGAUGGAUUCAAAAAGAAAUUAAAGUGAUAAUGCGAAAUCGCUUGGUGGCCCAGUAAAAUUACGACUGAAUUUUUUUUUUUUUUUUUACAAAAUUCAAGCUCAUAAAUGACAAAUUUCAUUUCCCUUUCACACGUCAUUAACUUUUGUAACAUGGUGUGUGCAUCGUCAAGUGAGGCAAAAGGGUUUCAAUUACAGUUGGAAAACAUGAACAAGAAUGCAUAAUGAAUAAUUCCUUCGAUAAACCGAAAAUUAAGCACAGAAUAAUCCUAAAAUUUAAACUCUAAUAUCUUAUAAUGUAUUGAUUAAAAAUAAUCCUAAGAGCUCCCAAUUGAAACUUUCAUAAGUAUUUUAAUUGUUUUGGAUAAACAAAUUGCACUAGGAUAAAAAUUUGGCAAAUUCAGAGGAUAAUGGAAAAUAGUUAUGCUUCAAUAGGCCAAAGAUUAGAGAACAAAUAAGAAUUAUUUAUUGAUAUACAAAAGAGAAACACUCCAAAAUUUCAAGCAAAAAUAGUUUCAUAUAUCAUUUCGAUUUUGAAAGGGAUGAGAUUUUGAACUUCAAUAGUUUCCUCUAAAAUUAAAAGGUAGCAAUUAAGCUAAAAAGAGCAAUGAAGACUUAUUGGUACCUUAUUAAAGGUAAACAUUAUGGAACUUUCAAUGUCAUUAUCUCACUGUUCAAUUUUUAUUGAGAUUUGUGUAAGCAUUUACCUAAAUCUUACCUCCGCCUUUAAAUUCAUAAGUUUUGAUUAAUUAUGAGACCUUAUAUUGGGAGAUAUUAUAAUCAAACUAAAACUUAAAAUUUCAAUAUCAUUAUUCUUUAAAAAGAAAUUGAGAUAUCAGAGUAAUAUCACAUAGAAAAACUUGCCCACGGACGGUAAGCCAAAAGUCUAGUCAACCACACGCAUAAAGCUAACUAGAACAAGAGAACAGAGAAACGCGUGGGUCCCUAAAAGAAAAGGCAAGCACAUAAAUAACUUUCAAAAUGCCCAAGCAAAUACCGAUGAAAAUCACUGUUUAAGAAUAAUUUAUUAUGUGGUUGAAGCUUUCUUUUUAUCAAUCUUCUUUCUACCCAUUAAUUUUCCCACGACUUUCCCGUUUCAUUUCUUGAAUCUCCAUGGAUUAACUUUCAAUAAACCAUAAAAUAAACUAAGGAAUCAUUUUCUCGAAUACAGCUAUGAUUUUAAUAAAUGGGCGGACCAUCUAGAAUAGUAUAUAUAAUUCUGUUUAAUUAAUAAGUUGAAAAAACCAUCAAGAGAAAUUCUAAUAUUAUGAGCUUGACACGAAUUCUUCACUAAUUCCAAAACAAGGAGCUGUUUUAUAAGAACUGUGGUUGGAUUAUUAAGUUUUACAAUUUGAAUAUAAAUAAGAAAAUAAAAUCAGUCGCGUUGAUGUUUUCGAUACAUUUCGCUGCUAACUUUUUUUUUUUUUUUAUUACAUGAGACUAUUGCUCAAAUUACAACUCAUAUUACAUGAGAAUAUAACUGAUAUUUACAAAUCAGACUAUAACUGGGACCAAUAUACAUCAAUACUAAUGGAGCGCUGCCCAGAUUUUAACCCUCUCAAAUAUUCAAGGGAUGUCUACACCUCACACUUGGGUAAGGAAACAGACUGUCUUCACUUAAAUUUACUUGAGGAAUGAAGACCCCCACAAUACAUUGUGGGGGUUCACCACUCGACCAAAGGCCGAGUGGCUCAUUUCGCUGCUAACUUAAUUAAUUACUUUACUUCAACUUUAUUUCCUUAGGGGCACUUUAUGGUGGGUCCAAGAUGGGACCUACAAUAAUCAAUCCUAAAAUUUAGUAUGGUUACCAAAUAGCUAGUAGCUAGUGUUAUUUUGUGUUUGGUGGAAGAGAUUGAAUAUUUAGUUUUAACUUAACCAUUCAACUAAUUAGAAAAUAAAUAAAAUUAAAUGAAAUGUUUAGAUAUCAAUUUAAAUAUUAAUAUCGGGGAUAUAAAUUAGUUAUAAUAUAGUUCAUUACAUAAAAUUGAUUAAAUUAAUAAUUACCCGUGAACAUAGAUGUAUAUGCUUUCCAAUUUCCAAAGUGCUCAAAGCACUUUUCUCACCAAACUUUCCUCUGAAUUUCCCGUAGCUGACUCCUUUGUUUGCGUUUUGUGAAAUUUCUAGGAACUUUUUUCGAUUUAGAAUAUUGUACAUUUUUCUUUUCAGCUGAGAUUAAUUUAACUUAUAGAAAAUCUUAUCCUUUUUUAAUAUUAUUUAAAUAAAAUUUGUCUAUCUUUUAUUUUAUUAGUCUACUUUUUACCCAUUAAUUAAGACUUUUCAAUUUCUUUUUUACCUGAGGUUUUCAGUGACUAUCUUUCAAUAAACCAUAAAAAUUACUUAGUCAUUUAUCGAACAAUUAGAUGACCAUAUUUCAAAAUAUCAACUAGAAGUUGUCCUGAAAUAUUUAAUUAAUAGUUGAAGAAUUGUGAUUAGUGUGGGCAUCUACAUAAAAAUUAUAUUAAAACACCGCUAAAAGAUAAAAAUAAAAUAAAAUAGUACAAACAUACACCCAUAGGUUAAAACAAAGAAAAAACACGAACCAAUACACUAAAAUGUUUUAGCUGUAGUUAGUUUUCAGUUUCAUUACUUAAGUCCCACGUGCAUGUCACGUGACUGAGGUCAAAAAAUGAUUGUCACAUUAAAGUUCAAAAUACGGAGCAGGGUAAUUAAGGAGUGGAGCUAUUGGCACCCCUCCAUUAUUCUUACAAAACUCCACUUUAAAUCAAAAUAUAAUUAAGAAUAAUUGAAAAUUAAACACUUAUAGAUUUCUUUACAACAUGUUGAGUGAUAAAAAAGCACCAGUCGGGCAUGUCCCCAUUUCUUACCCGGUGCCGAAUCUCCACGGUCGAAUGGUAUGAGUAGACUCUUGGUGAUGUCUUCUAUGUGGAGCACGUAACAACAGACCAGGAACUAGUACCAACCAAAAACGAGUACUGAUCGAAACAAGCAUGACCAGAAACGCAUACCGACCAGAGACUUGUGGGUCCGUAAAAGAAAAGGCAAGCACACAAAUGAAAAAGCCAUUACAUUUCUAUUUUACAUGUCAUUCCUAAUUUUUGUAACACGAUGUGGCAGCAUAUGCACAAUCAAAUGAGGCAAAAGGGAUUCGACUAUCGUGGCAGAACAUGGACGAGGACGCGUGAUGAAUAAUUCCUUCGAUAAAACGAAAAACAAACGCAGAGAAAAGAAUUUCUUAUAUGACAAGAAAUUAAAGUAAUGUGACGGAACAUGAUGAAGAAAUUGCAGAUCGAUCAAUUAUCCCCAUGGACUCCUAUAAAUUCAACCAAAAUAACAAUUCCAAUAUUACCAAAUUCUUGAGUUAAAUUUAUUCAAUGCUUUUUUUUAAGAGAAAUUUUUUCCAAUGCUACUUUCCCUUUUUUGGGGAAAUUAGAACUGCGGCAUGUAUAGAAGACAUUGAGGUAUAAAGCAACAUUAAUUUCAUGGGUUAUGCGUUAUACGCAUAAUAUAUUUUCAGUCCAAAUUCAACUAUGCAAAGAGGCUUGAGAACUUAAAAUUAAGCACAAACUAAACAGACGAAGUAAAUACAUGAUUAUGCAACAUAACAUUAAUUCUCUUAAUUUAUAACCGUUUUGCCACAUGAAUCUUGCACAGUUAAUCCUAAUUGAAGACUAAAAAAGAACAAUUGGAACAAGGUUUUGAAAUAGAAUGAUAGACAAUCGAUAUGAUCCAUUUCCAGUCGUCAACGCUAAUUAACUGCAGUUUCUAGACUCCUAAUUAUACUAGCCAUAAGAAACUGUUUAGAAAACUGGUGAUCAGAUUAGAUUUUGAAAUGAAAUAAUGUUCAUUUUCCCUUCGUUACCCUUUUAUUUAUUUAUUAUUUUUAUACCAAAGAAUUCUAUCAUGAAACGAAUCAAUUUAAUCACCUUUUCCAGCAGCACAAUUUUUCUUUUAUAAAAUUUGACCACAGAGACAAAGAAGAAUUAUUCAUACCUUCAUCAGUAAGGAAAUACUUUUCGGUAUGGCUAGGGUGAGAAAAGGCUUUCCACAAACACUUGUACUUUGUAUUCCUGUAAAUUUUCUUUAAAGUCAAUAAAAAUCAUAAGUUCUUUACAAUAACCAUCUCUUUGAUAAAAAAAGUGCCGUAUUCCUUUAGAAUUUAAAACCGGCAAAAUCGAAUCAGUGUCUUUGAAGAGACAUAAUGGUCAUAAUUCUUUAAAGAGUUGGCUAUGGAAAUCCUUAUCCAAGAUUCUUUUACGCCAUAUUCUUUCGUAAACCAAAAUUCAUUUUGGAAUACUCUGUUGAGAAUGUCAAAUAAAACGGUAUUGAAGGAAGUUUUCAAAGGCAGAAUCCGCACUUGUCAAAGGGAUGAUCUGCAUUUGUCAGAGACACAAUCUGCGUCGAAUGAAUCGACACAUUUCCUUUUGUAUUCGCAUAUGUAAUUUUUGAAAAAAUGUAGCUUCUGCAUCUAUAAAUAACGCUCAGUGUAUAAUGUUUUAUUCAAAAAAAGAAAACAAGUUUCUUCAUACUCGUCGUCCGAACAUACAGAGACCGUCUCUCAUAACUUCAGCCGAAUACUUAUGAUGAUGAUCAUUUGUGAUUUCAUCAGGCAUAGGGUUGAUGGUGAAAAAUUUUGUAUGUGUGAAGAAUUGAGCUGUGGAUAUAGGGGACUUAAGUGUAAUCGAAAGAGAGUUAUUAGGCCAUAGUGUAGAUUGCAUUCAGUUUAUGAGUCGAUAUGCAAAUAAUUUGUUGACGUGGCGAAAUUUGUUAUGGUCGUUACUAUUGUUUCUGGAAAUUUUCUAGAAACCUCAGCAUAAAAGGGGCUUUUGGAUAGCCUCUGGUGUGCGUGUGAUUUCUCUUUCGUUUCCUCAUCAAAUUCUGUAAUUCUUGCUUUGAUAAAAAGCUUGUAAUCUCUUCUGUAAUUGUGAUCAGUGCGUAAUCAUUUUGAGCGAUAAAAGCUUGUAGGUUUUUCCUUCAAACAAUGUCGUUUUGGUCAGUUUGUUAGUUUGAUCUGUUGGUGGAAUUUUCUUUGGUUAUUUGUUCUCAAAUUUCAACCUUAUAUAAAGUUUGAACUCUAAUGGCUUAUAAUGUAUUGAUUAAGAAUAAUCCUAAGAGUUUCCGAUUGAAAUUUUUAAUGACUAUUUUUAUUGUUUUGGAUGCACAAAUUGCAUUAAGAAAAAAUAUUGUCAAAUUCAGAGGAUAACGGGAAAUAAUUAUGCUUCAAAAGGCCAGAGAUUAGAGAAUAAAGAAGCAUUCAUUACUGAUAUAAAAACUGCUUCUAUUUGGAUUUUGAAAGGGGUGAAGUUUUGAACUUCAGUUGUUCCUCUAAAAUCAAAAGCAAUAAUUAAGCAUUCUCAAUUAGAAAGAGCAAAGAAGACUUAUUGGUACCUUACUGAAGCUAACAUUAUGGCACGGUUGUUCAUAUGUAAUGGCUGCUCUGUUAUGCUAGCUUCUCUGUUUUUGCUUCUAUUUUUGCUUACAGUUUUGAAGAUAAAUUCUUGCUCAAAUAACACAUAAUUAAAUAACACUAAUAUGGCUCAUGAAAUCCUAUAAUAGCUAAUUACGCAACUUUCUCCUCCUCCUCAAUUCUGUCUUCCCCUGCUCGGACACUAACUUCAAAAUUCAAUGCCCCGAAAAACAACACAAGAAAUCUUUGAGUUAGUUCGUGACCAGUUUAUAUAUAGUAGCAAUUGAAAAAAGAAAAAGAAGAAAAGAGUUAAUUAUUUUUCAGACCUUCACUUAUUAGGAAGUUUGUUCUGCUAUUGGGUGAGAUCAAGCUCUCAGCAUAUACUUCCACAUGAUACUUUCUAACAUUUUCUUGAAAGCCAUCAAUCAUUAAAUCUUCAUACUUUUUUCCAUCCUUUGGAUCAAUAAGUACAAAUUUCUCAUCUAAAAAAGACAAAAUAAAAUCACUGUCCUUCAUGGAAUCAGAAUUGAGCUUACAAAAACCGAAGUGGACAGUUCCAUUCAGAUUGGUCGCCCGAGAACAAUGAUGAGAAGACUUAAAAUCAGUUUCAAAGGUUUUCCAAGUAUUGUUCCUCUAAACCACUUGUAUAUUUUACCAGAACUCUUGGUUAAGAAAAUCCUAGUCCAUGGAGUAUGAUAUAUCAAUCAUGCAACAAUGACCUACAACAUCUAUGUGGAUUGAUUUUUGCAAAAUAAAGAACAAUGCUGACUGAGGAAUAAGGUGCAUACCCGAUUAGCAAUAUCUCAGCAAGUAACCAACAAUUUUUUAUCUGAUAAGAAAAAAUUACAAUUUCUUGAAUAUACAUGAAACAUUUUGCAGAAAGAACCAUGUCAUAAUUAUUAGUCCAACUGAAGAAUUAUCAAUACUUAUCACAUGAAACGAAAGAUACCCGAGUUCACUUAAUGAAAUUCUCUUUUUUUUUUCUCUAACAUUGAGAUAAGCAAAAACUUUUAACUAAAGACAAUCAUCUAGUGAUCUCAAACAAAUGAGGUUAGUAUGAAACCAUCAUAAUUUGUUCGCUCAUUGCCUAAUUUUAUUAAUGCAAGAGCCUGGAAGCAACUCAAAAAGAAAAUAACCGACAUAGGAAGUGUCAUCUCAUAUCUCACCAAUGAAUGGGAACAGCUUGAUGUGGCUGAGCAAACUGGCAGAAUUGUCAUUUUAACACACGUUCAAGAAACUCAGCAAAUUCUCAUAUCUGUUUAAAUUCCACAGCAAAGAUAGUUACAAGAAAUCUAAUCAAAAUUUAAAAUGUCAGAAGGCAAAUCUUCCAAUUAGGAUCAAAAGAAGAUAAUUAUAAUUUGUCAUUUCAAUUCUGAAUGUACAAUUUUAUUUUUUUAUGUGUGCAUUAAUUAAGAUUCUACCUUCUCUGCAAAAUUGUGAUGGACUUGGUAAAUAAUGAAUUGUAUCGACUUGAAUUUUAUACAACUUAUUGAGAUAAUAAUACGCCAAAUUCAACACCGUCCAUCCCAAAUCACAACAAGAAACUCAAACUUUUAUCCCCUCAAGUGGGUUCUUGAAACUGAAGCUUUAGUGCCAGUACAAUUUUGAAAGAUUGUGAUCAAACUAAAACAUCAAAUAAAAUAAGACGUAACAAAAACACGUCUUCAGAAAAUUAGUAUAGGAAUAAGAUAAGCUACACAGACCUACUUCAAUGAAUUAGAAAAAUUAUGAUAAACUUGAUGCAUUUCGAAAAACAACAAACAAAUAUUCCCAGGAAAACAAAAAAAAGACAACUUUGUUUAAGCUUAGACAAAAAUAACUAAGGACAUAUGAAUGCAUCAUAAUAGUAUCUCUAUGGGUAAUUUUCAGAAAUCUCCCCUAAGGUAUGGUGUAUUCUUAGUUUGAUAGAAAAUAUCUAAGUAUUCUUAUAGACCUCCCCUACUGUUAGUAUUCCAUUUCGUAUAUGUUAGGUAGAUGAGGGUAAGAUCGUAAUUUGAAUAAGUUAAUGAUAAAAAAUCCAGAAAUUUUAAGAUUUUCACAUUGGCCUCUGGGCUUUAUUCAUCUCUUUCAUCCACCAAAACCAGAAAUACAACUCACCUCUCUCCUCCACCUAAAUCGAAGCAAGGUAGCUCAAAACUCAUUUCAAAAAAUUGAUCAAUUACUUGGGUCACAAACUAGAGACAAUGACGACGAAGUUGAUGACGCCAAUAUCGACGACGAAGCUGAUGACGCCAAUAUCGACGACGAAUGAUUCGCAACUGCCAGGUAAGAGAGUAUAGUAGGUUUCGCCAUCGAACGCCCAAUCAUCCAGUUGUUUUGGAGCCGCGUUAUUUUUAUUAGCUAAAAUUAGAAUUUUUAGUGAAAAAUUGAAAGUGGGUCUCAAAAUUUUUUGAGAGCGUAUAUGUUUCUCCUGAUUUUUCGAUCGAUUCGUGUUAGUUGCAGUUAAAUGAUUAAUCCAAUUCGUGUUGAAGAUAGAGCUAACUCGAAUAUCUCUAUAGUCCUGUAAUUGAUUGAAAAUGGGUCUUGAAAAUUGUUUUAGAUUUCAGCUGUGUGCUUCUGAUUUUUUCCAUGGAUUCAUGAUAGAUGAAAAUGGUUGAUGAAGAUUUGCUUGACAUGUAUAUAGAUGGUAUUUUGUUAAAGGGGUUUUAAUUUUUUCCUUUUUUGGUGGUUUCGAUUGUGGUAUUUACAUGCCUUAGGUUGAGAAAAACGAAAAUGGUUUGUUGCACUCUUUUGUGUUGGAUCAGUGAGUUUAGGCGAUUUGAAAUGGUUUGCGGCAUUCAAUUGAUUGUUUUAUUUAUGUGGUUUGAUAUGGGAAAAGUAUAAUAAAAUUCAAUUGUUCCAUAUGUCAAUUUGGAUGUUUUGAAAUUAUGAACUACAAAAAGUUAAAAUUAAUUUCUUAUUAUAUUUUCAAUUGAAAGUUACUAUUGUCUUCUUUUUAGUACUUAGUAUGCAUUUUUCCCCAUCUUCUAGUGGUGGUGUUGCACCCAUUUUGAAUUUGAUCGGCAUCUUCUUCUGUACAUGCAUGUUUCUUGGACUCCAAUUUUUGUUUCAUAUGAUGAAGCUAAUUUAAUUCCUCCUUUUUAAUAUCAACUUUGUUCAUCUAGGUUUGCGAUUUUGAUCUUUCUCAUUUGAAGGCAAACACAUUUAUGUCAUCAAAAUUUCCAAUAUUUUUUAUUUUAUAGUAUCCAAACUGCUUAUGGCAAUAUGAAAUUGAGAAUAUUUCUUUCAUCAUGUUAACCUAAGUGGAUGGUGGAUGAUGUUUGUGUAAGAGAUUUAAGUUAUUUGUAUUAUAGAAUAUGUCUUAUGUUUUGAUUUGCAAUUUCACCAUUAAAUUGGCUUUGUAAAUGAUUAGAAGCUAAAUGCAUAAAAUGAAAACAAUAGUAACAUUUCUGAGUGGGGUAUAAUCAGAUGCUAACAUGGCGAUCCAUGACUUGUAAUUUCUAUUGUCGUUAUAAUUGGACUAGAUCGAGGUAAACUGACUUUUCUUGUUCUGUUUUUUUUUUCAUUUCUUUGUUCUAGAUUUUUCUUUCUUUGUUUUACUUCUGGUUUCUUCUUCAGCAUAUUCAAUAACUAGCAUGAGCAAAUGGAGAGGAAAAGGGUAGAAUAUGCUUUUAAAAAAAAAGAAAAGAAAAAAAGAGAUAGCUCUAAUUCAAAAAUAAGGAGGAGAAAAGGGCAAUGAUUGAAGUUGUGGAGAAGAAAUUCUUAAUGCAUAGGAGAUGACAACAAAGUGUUGCAACUGGGAGCAGUUUUAAAGUGCUAUUCGAUUGCUUUUGUAAUCAAAUUGUCUUUUGUACCUAUUUAUACACACACAUAUUUGUAUUUGUAAUUUGAAUUUUACAUUUUCUCAAGACAACUAUGUUUAUUUUAAAAAAAAUCUAAAUGUAACUAAAAUAUUAAAGUUUUUGUACUUAUUACUCCAUUUGAUGAUUUUUUUUAUUUUUUUGCUGACGAAUAUUCCAUGUCAAUUUUUUUCCCUUCAGCUCGUUUAAGGUGUUUUAUUGUCUGAUGUGAUAUUUGGUGCUCGGGAGGAAGGGUGUUUUAAGUCUUUUUUGGUGUCAGGGGCAAUUUUGUCUUUACAUCAGUCAACAAAUAGUCAAUGGAUGGAAAUGCAAACAGCAGGGGAGGUGUCUGAUAAUACACGGAUACUUUCUAUCAAACUUAUAAUACACAAAAUCUCAGGGGAGGUUUUUGAAAAUUACCCAACUGUGCAAAAUUAUGAAAAAAAUGAGCUAAACAUAUAUAGCAUUUCAGAGGAGUGCUUACUUGACAAAUCACUAAUACAAAGCUGCGAAUGGGCAUUCGGAAUGUUUUGAGAGACUCGUAUGGAUAAAAUAUGUAGUUAUUUAAGUAAUGACAGAAGGAGAAUCGUGUGGCUUGUCAAAGCCGUUAGCUCCAUCUCAUUUGCCUCGUCCUCUCGUUUUGUUUCUGUGGGGACAUAUUUGAUAUUUUGGAUUUUGUCUAAAAUUCGUCAUGUUUUUGGAUACUAACAUCUGCGCCUCUAGACCAAUAGCCAUUUGAUUAAGUGGGAGAACCCUUACACUAGUGUAAGAAUUUGAACUUUUAUAAAAUUAUUUAUGAGAUUAUUUAUAAUUUUUUUUAAUUAUCAAAUAAUUGAGUAGAGUCAGUUUAAUCCUUACGAAAUAUUUACUAUUCAUAAAUAUCUUUUUUUUUCUCUAUCUUACAAUUGAAUAUUCUCUCUCUACUCCAACAUUAUGUAACCUAAAUAUUUAAUUUCACUCUUUUUUAAUUUAUUUUUUUGUCUUUUCUUAGUAUAUUAUAAUCUUUAUUUCAUGUUUUCUAUAUAUAAGAAUUUUUUUAUAUCUAUUAAAUUUUGUGUUUAGUGAAAAUUAAUUUCUUGAUAUUUUUAAUUUUUAUAAUUGAUAAAAAUAUAUCAAUGUUCAUUUUUAAAUGAUGGGUUUUGUUCAUUUUAGUUUGUUAUAUUAAUUUUUUGUAGGUAAAAGAAUAUAUUUGAAUGAAUUGAAGGAAAAUUGUGAAAUUGAGAAGAGAAAGAGAAGAAAAAGUUAAUUAAAUAAUUUUUUCAAAAAUUAUUUAAAUAAUAAAAUUCUUAAUUAAAAACAAAGAUGGAGAGAGAAAUUUAGUGGGUUCAAAAUACUUAUUUUAAAUCCAAAAAAGAACCAAUAAAAGAAAUCAAAAGAUGAUUCUUUUCUUUCUGACAUAUUUCUCUGUACUUUUCUCUCUCUACUGAUUCACAAUUUUUCAUACUUCUAACUAUCAUUUUAUUCAAGUAUUUUGUAUUUUUAAUGACAAUUAUUUAAUUUUUAGUUAGUUUUGAUAUUGAUUAGAGAUUUAAAGUGUAUUUUAGAAGACUUCCGGUCUCUUGAAAAAAGGAAAAAUGGAGAAGAAGAAGUGUUCUUGAUUUUUUGUAGGCGUUAAAGUUAAAUGGUUUGAAAUGAUAUUCUUUUUUAAUUUCACUCAUUAAUCUCAUUCAAGAUAAAAUUAUAAAUGCAAAUAAAUGGGGUUUCAUAAGUAUUUUUAAUAGUGUUAAAAGGUCUACUCACUAAAUAAACAUGUUUAACCCAAACCAAUGCGAUUAGUAAGUUAUUGGGUUGGGUUAAUCAGGUUAAAAAUCAAAAUUAAAAAUUAAAUAAAUAAAAAAGGUAUAAAAACUAUCUGUUACUUGAAAAUAAAAAGAAUUUCUAAUUGUUAGUUCUAAUGUCCCAUAUCCAAAACAUGCAUAUUAAAUAAAUAUUAUAAGUUAGAAAUACAAUAUCCAAGAAAGAAUGAAUGAAAUACCAUAUUUUUGUUGAGAAUUAAGAGUGUGAUUUUAAUUUUGAUAUUGGAGUCUAAAGUGCCACGUUUAAAUAUUCUCUUUUAUAAAAUAAUAAAAAGAGGUUAAAAAUUAGGUUAGCAAUUUAGCCAUUUAGGGUUUAGCAAUUAAGGAUGAACAUAUUAUUGUUGUUGUUGUUAUUAUUAUUAUUAUUUAUAUGUUUACUAAUCCAAUCCAAUCCAAUUAUUAACGAAUUUGAAAAAAUUGAUUCAAUCAAGCCAUAAUAAUUCAUUCAACUCGUCUAAAUUGGAUUAGGUUGAAUUUGGUUUGCCACCCUUGUUUUGAGCAACAAACCUCAAUGUGAUUCCAUGAGCUCUUUGAUUGUUUAUAAAAUUGUUUAUGAAAGUGCAAAAUAAAUUAUUGUAUACAUUAAAAUGUGCAAAACAAUGAAUUAUAUGUACGAACGAGUGCAAACACAUUUUUCAAUAAGAAGUUAAAAGAUAUUUAUGCAUGAAAAAGCCUACGUUUGUAGUUAUUCUAAAUUUUAAAAACAAAAUUUACAUUUAGAUCCCUAAAAUUUACGUAUAAGUACAAAAGUUUCAAAUAUUGUCUAUUAUUUUUUUAACAUGCCUAUUCCUUGUGGAUAAUUCUAUCUCAUCACUAAUGUUGUUUCUUGCUUACAAUUUGUAUAGUGUCUCAAAAUAGACAAUAGGGGGAUUUUGAAUUUUUUAAGUCUCAAUAUAGUCUCUAAUCUUGUGAGAAAGAUUUUCUUUCAAUAAUUUGGAGGUAAACAUAACAUAACUUUUUGGACUAAAGCCUAACUCUGCUGGUUAUGGUGGUAUCCUUUUCAAGACCUGCGUCUUUAGAUUCGAGUUUUAUAGUGUGCAUGCGUAUUUAAUUAAUAAUUUUUUAAAACAAUACAUCAAAUAUUAAUAUCCAUGACAUAAUUUAGUUCUUAAUUUUUUUUUUAAAUACAUCAAAAACAUAAUUUUUUUAACAACUUAUAGGCAUGACAAAUUUCAAGAUAUAAAUAUCAGUCAAAAUAAGUGAAAGAAAUAAUGGUGCCAAUUCUAAUUUCUUAACUAAAUUAAUUAGUGCAUGAGCCCCGAAUACGACACGAGAGUUUGAUGGGCUAACAUGGCACAAGAACCUGAAUAAAUAAUUGAUUUAAGAAAUAAUUCAAUGAAAAAUAUAAUUGAUAAGAAUUCAGUAUUGAAAUGAGUUUUUUAUGAAACACUGAAUUAAUGAUUAUUAAGCAAGAACAAUAAAAAAUAAAUAUUAAUCAUUGAUAAGUUUCAACAAAAGCUUAACACAAUCCUCAAUCCUAAUUCAAAUUAUAAAUGUCAUUCAUAUAUUCAUUAUAAUCAACAACAAAGGUUAUAAAUGUUUAGAAAUUCUAGAGGGAAGGAAGCUAUCGCUGGGCAAUCAACAACUAAAUUUGAUGUAAUUGUGGCACGAGAUGGAAUAUGGAAACUACACCAUAAUUUCAAAUGCCGCCAUAGACAUUGACUUAUCUACAAUAACAAUGAUCUAAUUAAAAUAAAAAUAGAGUUUAUGGGCAUUUAUUAAAAUAAAAAUAGGAGUGAAGUAAAAACAUUUAGAUUUUAAUGUAUGUACGGAAAAAUUUAUCUUUAAAAAUACUUUCUUAAUGUGUGUGUGCAUAUUGAAAUACUCAAACCAAUUUUGGUUAUAUAUAAUUCAACAAAAUUUAAAAUAUGAAAAAUAUAAUGUAGUUAUAGUGGAUAAGCAAUAAGUGAGCACAAUAUAAUUAAUCAAAUACUAUGCUAUCAAAAGUUAAUUUUAGAAAUUCCAAAUCCAAUAGCUAACACAAUUCUUUAAAGAAAUAACAAGGGGCAUUGGGCAAGAGUAAUGAAUGCUUAGUGGGUGCAUUUGAUUGAUAGAUAUAUAAAGGGCCGAAACUUGAUAUUAUAUUACUUUUACAAAAUUUAAUCCAAUCACAUAUUUAAUGAAAACAAAAUGAGUUAGGAUUGUUUAUUUAGAACCCACAUUUUAAUAAGGCUUCAUUUGAUGUAGUUUUUCAAACAUUGAUUAUUUGAGUAAUUACAAAGUACAAUACGUACCAAGUUUGGUAACUUAAUUGACAUCUUCUCAUAUAACCUUCGAUCAAGUCGAUUCUGACCUGACGACUAAUUGGUACAUCACCGUUGUUCUCUAUACUCGCAUGCAUCCGAUCACAAAUCUCACUCCAAUUGUCGUCUUUCUUCGGCGUUUUAGCGCAUCCUUCUUGAAUUUCCCGCAUUUCGUUCCCUCCUGUUACAAGUCUCCGGUCAGGUCAGUUCACUUGACGAUUAAUUCGGCAAAUCUCGAAUCUCUUCUCUAUCCCUCUCGUUUUCUCGUGUCUCCUUUCAGUUUAAGUGAUUGAAUCAAUUUUAUCGCAGUCUUAAGAGAAAUUAAGUAAUGCUCUUGGAUUUAAAAUUUUUUUGCUUUCGACUUUAGAUCUCGAAAGUCAAACUCUGCUACGAAUCCAUAGAUUCUCAAUGUUUAUAAUCUUAUUUGUGUUUGACCAGGUAACUGGAUCGUGAAAUUCGUCGUUUUGUAUCAAUUCAAGCUUUCGCGAGCUCAUGGAAUCCCCUGGUGAGUUGUGGUGAAACGUUAUCGUUUCAAUUUUCGCUUAAUUCUUUAUUGCAUAUUUUUUUCUCUCUAAUAUUUCAGUUUAAUUUAGAAAAGAAAGAGGACCCAAAAAGAGAGAGAGAGAGAGAGAGACUCUACCAUACUCAAUUCCUUGCUCAUUCUGAUUUGGCCUGAAUGUUGGCAUUGACUAUUAUUUGUUUUCAUUUCGAUUUAAUUCUCAUUUAGACAGUCUUUUUUAACUAGCAAUAAUCUUUUUAAGGAAAAUGAUAAUAGGGAUUCUGCAAUAAUCUUUUUAAGGAAAAUGAUAAUAGGGAUUCUGCAAUAAUCUUUCUGCAUUGUUCAAGUUAGUAGACAAUGAAUAGGGUGUUUAUGUUUACCUCAUUUUGAACCCUGAGGGCUUCGUUGAGUAGUUGAUCCAACAUAUCCAGCACCGGUUGAUGUGAGAACAGGAUGCCAUUUAGAUAGGCUUAAACUGAUUUUGGAGGUUUGUAUUCAUUCUAUUGUAUGUCUUGCUUACAAAUUUUUUAUUUUUUAUUUUUAAUUUUGUAUAAUAUGCUCUUUGUUGGUAAAUCUCAUUUGACUUAGAAGAGAUAGUUUUAUCCCAACAGUGGGAUAAAUCAUUGAGAUGCAUGGCAGUGUGAAUAUAGUAGACAAAAUCAUUGAGACAGAUGGUGGUGUGAACAUAGUAAACUUUGUCAAACACAGCUAAGAUAAACAAAUUGUUUCAUUAGCCUUUAUCUUAUCUGCUGUGAUGAUUCAAAUUAAUGCUGUUUGGUAGGUUGCAAAAAACGAAAUGAGCUGACUGUUCAUAUUAUUUAGUCAGAUCUAUUGCAAUAAGUUGAAGUUCACUGUCACAUGGGUUGGGAGUAGCGUGGGCUGUGAGUAGUAGAAUGGAUUUAUGGAGUUGAUACAAGUGCCCAUAAUCUAUCAUGUCAUUCUAGGAUUAAAUGGAUUGCACAUUACUGUAAAGAUGGAGGUUAAAUUUAUAUAAUUCGGAUUGAUUGUAAAAUGGGAGGCAGAGAUGAGUUAGAAAAAAAAUGACCUGUGUCCUUUUUGAGCUGUUUCUAAAUCUCCCUGGUGUGCUUCAUGCUUAACACGUGUCUGUCCAAAUAAUUUUGCUUAACCUGUGCUUGUCUACUUCUUGUGCUAUUCUGUGCCUGGUCCUGAGCUGUGUUGGUAGAUUGACAUAAUUUUGCUCUGCUAAAUGUAUAACUUAUUAAUCAGAGUCCUGUUAUUAUGGUUUGACACUACUGACAUGUUGUGUUGGUAUUUAUUUGUACUUCCCUUGGUUGAAUUAUUUGCUGUCUCCAUGCCAUUCGAUAUGGUGCUACUUGGUUUUUGAUCAUCCAUGACGCUAUAUAUAUGUAAAGGAUGAAUUGAUUGUUUUGGCUUGUAUUCUCACAUUUUAUGAUUGAUCGAUGGAAAGGUCUUCAUGUAUUAAAUUCAACCUCACAAGCGUAAGAUUGACAGAUUGUGGGAAAAUUUUCAGGAAAAGAAACUAGACUUCAUGGAAGCAAUGAAGCUUGAAAUUGAACGUCUGCAGCUGCAUCUUUCUGCAGCUGAAAGGGAUAGAGCUUUAUUGUCAAUUGAAACUGAUCCUGCCUCUAUAAAUCCAAAUGUAUUGCUUGAUGAAUCUUACAUGGGAAGACUGUCGAGUAGCAACCACUCUUGCAUUACUUGGCCAAACUUCCCUAGAAGACAAAAUUGUUGGUGCAAUUGGCCUUGAGAAUAGUGAUGAUAGUGUUUUAGACUUCUGGAAUAUUACUAGAAUCGGAGAGAGUUGUUCUGGUGGCGGGUGCAAGGUUUGUGCAGAAACUAAGGUGCCUGCUCUUGCUUCCUCAACUGCAACAUCUGUUGGAGCUUCACAAUCCCCUUUGUUGUGUUCUCAAUGUGAAAGAAAAGUUUGCAAAGUUUGUUGUGCAGGAAGAGGAGCUCUACUGUUUUCAAAUUAUAAAUCAAGGGAUGUGACCAACUACAAUGGCUUCUCAAGUCAGAGUGGAUGAAGCCAUGGAAGCCAAGUUGAUGUAUCUACCAGUCGUUCACUAACACUGGAUGGCGUUAUCUGUAAACACUGCUGCCAUGAGAUUGUGCCUGAUGCAUUGAUGUUGGACCAUGUUAGGGUCUUGAUUAGCUUGCGAAGAAGUUCCUGUGCAGACAACGCAGUCAUACAAUGCUUUGAAUGAGGUUGUUGGAUCCUGCUUAAAGGAUAGUGUUUCUGAAAGGAUUCAGUCUUCCGAUAACGUGCAAGCUGCUGAAGUCCUUCACCAAUUAUGUGGUGGACAGGAAUCACUUGCUGAAUUUCCAUUUGCUAGCUGUUUGCACUAGGUAUGUUCUUGGUUUGUAUUCAGUUCUCAUCAUGUUAUGUUUUCCUUUUAAAUUUCUUUUCUUGAUUAAAAUUUUUAGAAAUAUGUUUUAGUAUUUGUUCUUAUGAUAUAUGCCCAGAACAUUCAUCCCACUUAUCCAUGAGAAUCCUUGUCUGGUUUGAUUUUCAAUUGAGACAUUUUUGGGAACCCUGAGCAGGUUCCAUAUGCUAAUAAUCUUUGAGGUAAGGUGUUGUAGGAUGCCUUGAGAAGCUAAAAACCUAUUACAAGGAAAAGCUCUUGCAUUGUUUUGUGGAAUCUGUGUUGUGAAAAUAGGUAGAGAAAAAGUUUAUGGAAUAAUUCUCUUAUUUCAUAUGUUCAUGAGACUGUACACAGUCUUUAUAUAGGGAUACAAGAGACUAAGAAAGGAAAGAAAAAAUUAAAGCAGAAUAUUACACACUGAUUUCUAGGAAGCAAUAACUCUAUAUUUACACCAAAUAUACACCUAAAUAUAUAAGGAAAACCAAAUCAAUUUGAUUUGGUCAACCUUUCAACACUCCCCCUCAAGCUGGUCUAAAAAUGUCUUUCAUGGCCAGCUUGCAAACCAAUUUCUCAAAAUGUUUCUUAGGUAGUCCCUUGGUGAGUAUAUCAGCAAUCUGCUCAUUUGUAGGAAUGUAGGGCAUGCAGACCAAACCACUGUCCAGUUUUUCUUUUAUGAAAUGUUUGUCCACUUCAACAUGUUUAGUUCGGUUGUGGAGUACUGGAUUAUGUGCUAUUGCAAUGGCAGAUUUGUUGUCACAAUAUACUUUCAUAGGUAGAGAAUUAUUUGCCUUAAGUUCUUCAAGAACUUUUUUGAUCCAAAAAACCUCACAAAUUCCUAGAGCUACUGCUCUAUAUUCUGCCUCUGCACUACUUCUUGCUACCACAGUUUGUUUCUUGCUGCGCUAAGUGACCAAAUUUCCUCCGACAAAGGUGCAGUAACCCGAAGUGGAUCUUCUAUCGGUUACACUACCAGCCCAGUCAGCAUCAGUGUAGACUUCUACUUGUAGGUGCCCGUUUUUUCUAAACAAAAGACCUUUACCCGGAGAUCCUUUUAAGUAUCUAAGGAUUCUAUAUACAGUUUCAAAGUGUUCUGGUCCUGGAGCAUGCAUAAACUGGCUGACUAAGCUCACUGCAAAGGCUAUGUCCGGGCGUGUAUGUGAAAGGUAGAUUAAUCUACCUACAAGGCGUUGGUACCGAUCUAUGUUGGUCACAUCUUCAAUAUUAGCUGGCUGUAAUUUCAUAUUAGGAUCUAUGGGUGUCUCGGCUGCUUUACAUCCGAGUAAACCUGUCUCUUCAAGCAAAUCAAGAACAUACUUGCGUUGAGACACAACAAUCCCAUCUUUUGAUCUAGCAAACUCCAUGCCCAAAAAAUACUUCAGGUUGCCUAAGUCUUUGAUUUCAAAGUCACGUGCAAGCACUUUCUUUAAUCUGCAAAUCUCAACUAAGUCAUCACCAGUCAAAAUUAUAUCAUCUACAUAUACAAUUAACACGACUAAUUUCCCUUCAAUAGAAUGUUUGUAAAACAUUGUAUGAUCUGCCUGACUUUGGGAGUAGCCGUGUCCCUUUAUAACAUUACCAAAGCGUUCAAACCAUGCUCUAGGAGACUGUUUGAGCCCAUACAAAGACUUAUGUAGUUUACACACUUUACUGUUGCCAUGAUUUCCCUCAAAACCUAGUGGUAAAUCCAUAAAGACUUCUUCUUCUAGCUCCCCAUUCAGAAAAGCAUUUUUAACAUCUAACUGGUAUAGAUUCCAAUCAGAAUGUACAGCCAAUGAGAUAAGGACCCGGAUGGAAUUUAUCUUUGCAACGGGGGCAAAAGUUUCUUGAUAAUCAAUUCCGUAGGUUUGAGUGAAUCCUUUUGCUACAAGCCUUGCCUUAUAUCUCUCAACACUCCCAUCAGCAUUACAUUUAAGUGUAAACACCCACUUUCAACCCACAGUUUUCUUUUCUUUUGGUAAAUCCACAAUCUCCCACGUACCAUUCUUCUUUAGAGCAUUCAUUUCCUCUAAAACUGCUAACUUCCAAUCUGGGUGGUCUAGGGCUUCUUUUAUGGUUUUAGGAAUUGGUAUUUGAGAGAUUUUUGUGGUAAAGGCUCUUUGUUUAUUGGACAACUUUUCAUAGGAAACAUAUCUAGCAAUGGGGUGCUUAGUACAGGUUCGGGUUCCUUUCCUAUGUGCUAUGGGUAAGUCAAGAUCAGGAAAAAAAGUGCUGAAAUGUUUAGGAGAAGAAAUGUUACCUGAAUUUUCUGAGGAAUCAGUGCUUGGAGGCAACGAUUGAGGCUGUAUCGAGUUUAUGAGAGGGUCUUUACUGUUGUGAUGAUACUUUCGAGUAUAAACACGCAGCUCUGGUGGUGGAAUUUUAUCUUGUAGUAUUUCUCCCCCUGUCUCUGGUACAUUAACACUUGGUUCCUGUAGUUCAAGGUUUCCUAGGUUUUCAUUAUUAGAAAUAUCAGUUUUUUGAGUUUGAGUUGGAGUGCCCAGAUCAGGUAAAAACUGAUUAGGCAUAGGUGUAGAAGUAUGCCAAAAAUGAUCUUCACUAUUUUCUUUCUCCCCCUGAAGAGAAUUUUGGCCAAAAAAAGGUUGAUUUUCGAGAAAUAUAACAUCCAUACUGACAUGGAAUUUCUUUGUUUGAGGAUUGAAACAUUUGUAACCUUUUUUAUUAGGUGCAUAGCCCAAGAAAACACAUUUUUCAGAUCUAGGAUCCAAUUUAGAUCUAAGAUGGUUAGGAACAUGAACAAAUACAGUGCACCCAAAGACUCUUAACUGAAUAUUGGAGGUAAUCCUACUAGAAGGAUAUAUAAGUGUGAAGUAUUCUAAAGGUGAUUGAUACUUUAAAACACGGGUAGGCAUCCUAUUAAUCAAAUAACAUGCUGUUAAAACAGCAUCACCCCACAAAUAUUUAGGAACAUGCAUAGAGAGCAUGAUAGCCGACUAACUUCAAGUAAAUGGCGGUUUUUUCGUUCCGCAAUUCCAUUUUGUUGUGGAGUAUCACGACAAGUGGAUGUGUGAAUUAUACCCUUUUCCUUACAAAACACCUCUAGAUAAUUAUUAAAAUAUUCAGUACCAUUAUCUGUAUGGAGUAGACUUAUUUUUGUUUGAAAUUGAUUUUCAACCAUGUUAUAAAAAUCUUUGAAUAACCCCUCAACUUCAGAUUUUUCUCUCAUUAAAUAAACCCAACAAAGCCGAGUAUGAUCAUCUAUGAAUGUUACAAACCAUUUUUUUCCAGUUAAAGUGUUGAUUUUUGAGGGUCCCCAAACAUCACUAUGAAUUAAAUAAAAAGGUUUUGAGGCACGAUAAAUAAGUGCUUUAUAUGAAACUCGAUGACUUUUAGAUAAAAAACAACUUUCACACUGAAAAGUAGUACAAUCAACAUUUUUAAAUAAAUUUGGAAACAAAUAUUUCAAAUAAGGAAAGCUAGGGUGUCCUAGUCUAAGGUGCCAAAGCAUUAUUUGAUCCCUAGCAGAGUUUGAACUAAUACUACUGCUCAAACCUUGAGUUUGUUUAUUCCUUGAUAAGUAGUCAUCAAAAUAGUAAAGACCUUCUCGCAAACUAGCACUGCCAAUCAUCGUCCCCAAGUCCCUGUCCUGAAAUUCACAAUGGGAGUCAAAAAAGACAGCACAACAAUUAGAAUCUUUGGUUAAUUUACUGACAGAUAACAGAUUGCAAGAAAGUUUAGGGACAUGUAGCACAUUUUUAAGCUCAAUGGUUCCAGAGAUUUUUAUUGAUCCUUUUCCAGCUAUGGAAGAUAAGCUUCCAUCAGCAACUCUUACCUUUUUGUUACCAGGGCAAGGAUAAUAGGAAUCAAAUAAACUAGAAAUGCUAGUCAUAUGAUCAGAAGCACCCGAAUCAAUAAUCCAUGGUGCAGUAGUUGAGUGGCUAAAUAGAGCAUUAAUAAUACUACCUGUUUGGGCUAGUGAACCACUAGGAGUACUAGGUGGAGGAUUAGAAGUCAGCAGCUUUAUGAGAUGGUCAAUUUGCUCCUUGCUGAGAUUUUUUUCUAGAUUCUCCACUUCAUUGGCAGACGCACGGCUAUGCUUGCUGUUUUUCCAAUCUGCAGGCUUUCCGUGGAGUUUCCAGCAAGCCUCCCGAGUAUGGCGUGGUUUAUUACAGUAAUCACACCAUACUCGAGGUUUUUGUUGCUGUUGAGUGAUGGAGCGGGUAGCAUUAUCUGCUGUAACAAGGGCAGAUUUUUCCACAGAGACAACGGAGUUCUUUUUUCCCAACAUAACACCUCGACGACUUUCUUCUCUCCUUACUUAAGAGAAAACAUCCUCAAGAGUAGGAAGUGGCUUUCUCCCAAUAAUUCUUCCUCUUACCUCAUCAAAUUCAACAUUGAGCCCAGCCAGGAACUUGAAGAUUCGCUCAUUAUUGACAGUUUGUUUGUGGUGUUUAAAAUCUUCCAUGCUCUCCCACUCGUAGUCGUUGAAUAAGUCCAGAUCUUGCCACAAUCUCUUUAGAGUAUUGAAGUAUUUUGUUAUACUAUAAUCUCCUUGACGGAUAUCUCCAAGAGCAAGCUGCAACUCAUAGAUCUGGGACUGAUUUCCAUAGUCAGAGUACAUCUGACUCACAUUAUCCCAGAGUUCUUUUGCAGUAGAGUAGCACAUAUAAUUUGCACCAAUGUCUUCAUCCAUGGAGUUGACUAACCAUGCCAUAAUCAUGGAGUUUUCGGCAUCCCAAACACCAUAAGAGGGAUCAGAUAUUUCAGGAGCCUUAACAUCUCCGGUAAGAUAACCAAUCUUCCCUCUUCCCCUAAUAUACAUUCUAACCGACUGAGACCAUCUUUGAAAAUUUCCUUCAUUCAGCCGGAUAGUUGUAAUCUGGACAGAAUGAGAUUCAGAAUGGGAAAUUUUUGGUUCUAGUCUUUUUGAGGUGACUGUGGUUUCAGAAGAUUGGUCAGACAUGGUAGGGAAGAGAUCAGAAAGAAAGGGAGCCUAGCUCUGAUACCAUGUGAAAAUAGGUAGAGAAAAAGUUUAUGGAAUAAUUCUCUUAUUUCAUAUGUUCAUGAGACUGUACACAGUCUUUAUAUAGGGAUACAAGAGACUAAGAAAGGAAAGAAAAAAUUAAAGCAGAAUAUUACACAUUGAUUUUUAGGAAGCAAUAACUCUAUAUUUACACCAAAUAUACACCUAAAUAUAUAAGGAAAACCAAAUCAAUUUGAUUUGGUCAACCUUUCAACAUGUGUGCUAGCAAGUCAUGUCUCUAAUAAUUUCAUAGUUUGCUUGAUUGGAAUUUUUUAUCUUGAUAUGGAUUGUUUAUUCUAGAUUCCUUGGUGCUGUAGGUUGAAACAGCAAAAGAUUCAGCACCGAUUUUGUCACUGCUUGCUCCAUUAAAUUCUGGAUCAAGGCACUCAUAUUGGAGAGCUCCACCUUGUACUACUUCUGUUGAAUUUGUUAUUGUUCUCUGUUCUGUUUCUGAUGUCAGUGGGGUUAUCUUGCUUGUUAGUCCUUGCGGCUAUUCUGUGGGUGACACUCCGAUGGUAAGUGCCAUAUUUAUUCCCUUAUUUCCUUGUUGUUCAAUAAAUUUGGUGAUAAGCCAAGUGGCCUUAAUAAUGAAGCCCAGUACCAGGGGUGGUGGGUAAUCGAUAUUCAACUUGUGAAUAUUCCUAAGCAAGCACUGAAUCAACAUAGACCUCGGCAAAAGUUCUCCAUGCUAUUAUAACGAAAGUCAUAUUUUGAAAUGAUUAAAAGAGUCCCUGUGUAGUGCUAUUUCCAAAGAAAUUGCAGCUGGAGGUUUAGUUUCAUGUAGGUUAGUUUCCGAUAAUAAACUUUCCAUUUCAUUAAUUGCUGAUGAAAAAACCAAGUAAGAACAGUUUUGUUGCUCGUCAUUUAUGUAUAUUUUGGUAAACUGUAAUUUUAAAUUCUCAACGAUCUUCCCUUUGUAGGUAAGAAGAUGGUCCACUCACUUGAUAUUUAUGAUUGUAGAUCAGGUUUCUAUUGGUUUGCCUUUAUCAUUCGGAACCCAAGUUUGAUAUUAACAGAGAUCACGUCAAUAAUAUCCUAUUUGGGUAGAUGUGGGUGAGGAUUUAAAAUCAAAUUUGAAAUUGAGGGCAAAGAAGAGAAAAGAAACCGCAAUAAUUAAACAAAAUAUUAGGAACUAUUCUGAUGAGUUUUAAUCUCGAGAGGAACAAUUUUCAAAUGCAAAAUUUAACUGCUAGAGAAAUUGUAGCUUUUUGUCAUUAGUUAAGAGGAAAGAGAAUAAGAACUAUCUGGCCCUUUCCUUCAUGAAUGUGUGUUGAGGUUGCUGUAUUAUUUAGUCAGUAUUUGUAAUUUUCUUCCCUGCAGUGCUCUCUGCCUCCUGAAUUUGCUACUGAGUCCAUAUUUUUCUUUGAGCUGUUGCUUCCUAUUGCUGUUACAGGUACAAAUCUGGGCAAGCAAUAAGAUACACCGGGAGGACAGGUCAUCAAUGGGAAAAUGGGAUGUCCAAUCCCUCAUCACAUCUUCUUCAGAUUUGUAUGGUCCAGAAAAGUCUGCUAGUGUUGAAAAAUUACCUAGGCAUGUAAAAUUUACUUUUAAGAAUCCUGUUAGGUGCCGCAUUGUUUGGAUCACAUUACGUCUUCAGAGACCUGGUUCGGCUUCAGUUAAUUUCGGGAAUGACUUCAGUCUUUUGUCUCUUGAUGAAGAUGAAAACCCCUUUGCACAAGUAGACAGACGUGCUUCAUUUGGAGGAGCAGUUGAAAAUGAACCAUGUAUUCAUGCCAAAAGAAUUCUUGUAGUCGGAAGCCCAGUAAAAAGGGAGGGGCUUACCACAUCACAGAGCUCUGAGCAGCUAAGUAUUAGAAACUGGUUGGAUAGAGCUCCACAAAUGAGUAGAUUCAAGGUAUUAGUUGCUUUCACUCUUUGUUCAUUCAUAAUUCCAGCUUUCUGCUUGAUGCCUUGCCUCUGAUAAACCUCUUUUUUCUCUUCAGGUCCCAAUUGAGGCCGAGAGAUUGAUGGACUACGAUCUCGUCUUGGAACAGUAUCUACCUCCAGCGUCACCUUCGCUUGCCGGAUUCCGUCUAGAUGCUUUCAGUGCAAUAAAACCUAGGGUUACCCAUUCACCUUCCUCAGAUUCAGAUAUCUGGGACAAAUCAGUAACAUUUUUAGAAGACAGGUACAUCUCUCAAGCUGUGUUGUAUUUACAAGUAUCCGCACUCCAGGAACCACAUAACAUGGUAACUAUUGCGGAAUAUCGACUGCCGGAGGCUAGAGCCGGAACGCCAAUGUACUUUGAUUUCCCACGACCGAUACAGUCCCGACGAGUUUCAUUCAAGCUUCUUGGAGAUGUUACAGCAUUUGCAGAUGAACCUUCAGAACAAGAUGAUUCAGGAUUGAGAGCUCCACUUGUGGCCACAGGUUUGUCUUUGUCAAACAGAAUCAAGUUAUAUUAUUAUUGUGAUCCUUAUGAGCUCGGAAAAUGGGCAAGCCUUUCUGGAGUUUGAUCGUUAUUUAUAUGUCAGAGAAAGGGUUUUGGGUUUGAUUUUGAUUUUGAUUUGUAAUUUUUGUCAGUUUAUUGAAAUUUUUUGUUGUAUAAAAGCAGAAUGUAAAGGUAUAAAAAUUCAUUGAUGCUGCAAUGUCUGUGCUUUUGAGAAAGAAAGAAUUCUAUGGCUUUUCUAUGCCAUUGGAUUUUCCACUGCCUGUAAACUUGGGCUGUCGAAUGCUCUGUGAACCUUAAGGGCUAUAAAGUAAUUUUCAAGACUGAAGGAUUUAUUAAUCGAGUUCAAAAGAUUGCAAGUUGGUGAGCGUUGGCAUUUAAAAAAUCAAUUGUUAUUCUCUCAAUAAUCUCUGUCUUCUGCCGACACCCCAUGCUCAGAAACCCAUUGUUCCGACGGACGUGUAACACUUCUAGAAAUUGUUUUGAUCUCUCCUCGUGAAGUGUUUUCUUUUUCGAGUGAAGGUGGUUUUCUACUUGCAUACGUCGGGGGUCUUAUGAUAUGUAAUGUGUGAAAUUUCUUUCUCAUUUUACCAUAAAGAAAAAUGUUGUAAUAAUCUAAAGCUCGAGUCUUAAAUUAUCUUAAAUUUAUAUUUAGAGUGGAGCUAUUCGCAAUCCUACAUUAAAAUUACAAAUAAAAAUAAUUGAAAAUUAAACACUUAUAGAUUUUUUUUACAACAAAUUAUUUAAUUCAUAAUCAAUCCUUUAAAAAAAAAAAUCCAUAUGUUACUUGCUAUCUAACUAAAAUAAAUUUUACAAAUUUAGAAUAAUCUAUUGAUUUCUUUUGAUUUCUUAUUAAUUAAAUAUUUUUAUACAUAAAAUUGCUUUGAAAUUAUAAUUUGAAAUAUGUGUUAUUUCAGCCAAUGAUUAACACUAAAAAACUUAUCACCCAUAUAACUUUUUAAUUUGUGUGUAGGGUAAUAAUAAAAUCAAAAAUAAUUAAAAAAAUAGUACAAUAAUGAGUUUUAACAAUAAAACAAAUCAAAUGAAAAUUGAAAAUUUAGAAAAAAUGUAUCUAAAAAAGGGAACGUUUUUUAAAAUAAAAUGAAUAUAACUAAAAAGGGGUUUUAUGAGAAGAGCAGAGGGGUGCCAAUAGUCCAACUUGUAAUUAAGAAUCUCCCAUUAUAUUGUCAACCAAAAAGACACUUGAAUAAGAAGAAGAAUUUAUCAGUUUGAUUUUAUUUAUAGAUCCAACAUUUCUCAUAUCCUAAACGCCUUUCCGUAUCAAAUUAAAACAGUAGUCGCAAAAUCGUAGUAUUAAAAUCGUAGUGCACAUUCAAUUAACCAACUAAUAGUCUUUGGUAUAAGAUUUUAUAUUAGCUAGCCAAGUAGGUUGUCCAUCCCACUCAGACAUGAACGAAAGCUAAAUUCAUCAAAUGGUGUUAUACUAUUAAAUAUUUUUAUAUUUAAAAUUACUUUGAAAUUAUAAUUUCAAAUUAAAAUAGUAGUAGCAAAAUCGUAGUGCACAUUCAAUUAACCAACUAAUAGUCUAAGAAGCAAAGAGAGGAUUACAAGUUCACAACACCAUUACAAAGGAUUCAAAAUUCCCACACGAAAACAUCAAUGUACAGAUUAUAAACAAUCCGAAUUGGACACAAGAAAAAGCCCUUCAAUGGAUUGCUUUCCUUCCCAAUGCUAUAUACUGUGCAAACUCCGCACUGGCCAAGAAAAUGUUUUCAAUUUAGUGUAUUUUCAAAUUGCUUAUUUUCUCAUAAUAUAAAAAAUAAAAAAGAAUCCUUACAUGUUUCAUCAGCAUGAUUAAAAUCAAAGAAGAAAGCGAAGACGUAAUGUCUCUGACAUAAUAAAAUUACAAAAAUUUCAAGGAAAAAAAAAAGGUUAAAACAUGUAAUCUUCAGAAGCAUAUAAUAAAAGAACACUUCCACAAAUUACUACAAUUUCAUGCAGUAGAGAUUGAAGAGUUGAAUUCCACUAAUUUUAAUAAUGAAAACAACAACAGAGGAUUAACUGAUGCUUUGACUUAUUAGCAGGUUGCUUUGACUUAUUAGUUCUGCAGCUAAGUUAAAUAAAAUAAGCUAUUUUCAAAAGCAAAAUGGAAUACAUAGAUAAAAACAUCAUCUUAAACAAAUCACAAUCUAGAAUUAGAGCAUUUUCGACAUACCUAAGGAACACGAAUACGUGAAAACGGGUGAUUUAUUUGUUAAGGAGUGUUGAUUUGGUCGUCUCUGCAAAUUCUUUAGGGACUCGGUUCCAAUUCCUCUUCAUCAAAACUGUAAUAUAAUUCCCCUUCAUCAGAACUCGAAUCGAUGCAAUAUAAUUCCCCUUCAUCAGAACUCGAAUCAAAUUCACUUGCAGCAGUUCCACUCGCGCUUGGCAAAUCAUCCAAUUUCCAAACUUCGGUAACAAAAUUGAGAGUAAAAGUGUUGGCUUUGAUCUCGCUGGGAUUUGCAUAUACUGGACAUACUCCGCAACGUUUUAUCUUCUGACCCUUUUGGACCUUUAUUAUGUUUCGGUGACACUCAUUGAAGAACUUAAAUGUGGCAGUUGAAUGAUGGUCACCAUCAGGAAAGCCAACAUUCAAGCAAGGUUUAAAACCAAGUAUGACAUGAUCUGAAUCAUGGGGGUCUUGAAUUGAGUGCAAAUUGUAACCCAGAUGAACAUGUUUGGUUUCAGAGAGAGUCUUUAUUUCUAAGUCGGAUCGACAGUAAACGUAAAAAUAACGAAAACGAUCAGAAUAAAGUUGCUUAAAAUCAAGAACAGCACAAAAAGCAAACCCGAUUAAGUUUCUGCAAAAAGAGUGCGGUGGCAGUUGAAUACGUAUCGAAGAUCCUGAACUUUGAUUGCUGAACCAGUCAGGAAUUUCGCUCCCAGGUAAAACAAUUUGGGAUCCCCUGAGUUCAGAAAGUUUCUGCGAAACGACAUUUAAAAAAAGAAAAUUGUAAAAUGAAAACCAUGAUUUCAGAUAUAACAAAGAGGGACAGAGUAAACAAGAGAGGGAAUUUGAUACCUCGUUGUAUGCAUUUUCAUAGCCCAGUCUCAGUGAUGCUGCAAUUGCCAUACGUAGUGAAUCUGCCAAAAUCUUGUUGUUUGCUUUUCCAUCAAGUUUCAAGCAGUUAGUAAACUCAAAACAAAUUGGUUGUGGCGUCACAUAUUCCGGAUGCCAUUCACGAAGGUCAGGAGAGGGUUUGGAUAGCUUUUCGAGUACGGAUGCAUCUAGUUCUUGUACACAUGACGGAAUCUCUGGCAAAGAUUGAAGCCGGUUGCAGUUCAUUGCUUUUAGUGACUGUAGACACAAUGGAAGUUCUGGUAAUGACCGAAGCAUGUUACAAUCCUCCAAGUGAAGAGUUUCUAGACCCAAUGGAAGUGCUGGUAAUGACUGAAGCAUGUUACAACGCCUCAAGUAAAGAGAUUUUAGACACAAUGGAAGUUCUGGUAAUGACUGAAGUAUCUUACAAUCCCUCAAUUCAAGAUAUUUUAGACACAAUGGAAGUUCUGGUAAUGACUGAAGCAUAUUACAAUCCUCCAAGUUAAGAUAACUUAGCCACGACAGUUGCUUGAUACUUGCAGGUAAACUCUCAAAGUUAUUUCCACUUAAAUUGCCAAUGUUAUCCGGCAACUUGUCAAGUAUAGAGCAACCACUUACGGACAAAAAUGAAAGCCCCGGUAGAUUUUCAAAUGGCGAUGGCAGCUCUGUAAUUGCCGUCCAGACUAAAUAGAUGCAAUUUAAAUGUUCCAUUUUCUCCAAGAUUUCUGGGAAACGCUCAAGGUUCAAGCAGCCAAAAAGAAAAAGAUCAACCAAAGAUCUCAAUUUACAGAACCUAGUUGAAAUCCUCUUCAGCCGUUUGCAAUGCCCCAAAUCCAACACUUCAAGAUCAGUUAGGCACUCUAUUGAUGAUGGAACUUCUUCUAUUGCAGACUGGCCUAAGGAUAGCUCUGUGAUUUUCCCAGAAAUCCGUGGAAACUCUUUGAGAUUAACACAAUAGGAGAAAUUAAUAGUUACUGGACAAACAAAAUGAAGAUUGCUUGGAAAAGACCUAAGACUUUUGCAGCCCUCAAAAGACAACGCACUGAGAUACUUGAAAUUCUGGAUAGAUGAGGGAACACAAGCCAAGUUUGUAUAAUCCAAAAGAUUUGUUUCAACAUUUGGGGUUUCUAAUGGGCCUGGCAUCUUAAUGAAAUGUCGAGAAUGAUUGAGGUUAAUAGAUUUUAACUUGAAAGCUUCCUGCAAUAACAGAUAUAUAAAGACUAUAUUAAUUAAAAAGCAACAUUGAAUUCAACAAUUAAUUGCACGUAUGUUUAAAGAAAGAAAAAAAUUAAUGUUUUAGUUUUAGUACAAAACUUACCUUUUCUCCUUCCCAAAGUUGCUCAACUUUACUAAAACGCAAAUUCAGUUCAACAAGGUUCAUUGGCUUGAAAUUUGAUGGCAGUGUCCUUAAUGGAUAUGUGUCCCAAUGAAGAUAUCUCAAUUUUUUAGGAAGAUAAUCUAGGCCAUUUGGAAGCUGCACUUUAGAGUAUGAAAGUUGCUCUUCAAUGCUCAUACUUAGAAACCUUUCAAUCUCAGGUACAUAAAAUUUGAGCAAUCUUAGAUUAGACAUUUUUGUGAAGGCUCCUGGGUCUAAAUUGAUGCCUUUUAUUUUGGACAAAUCCAGAAAUAUGCCUUCAAUUGCAUCGGUCCCCUUAUUAAAAAAAAAAAAAACAAAGAAUGAGUAACCCUAAAACAGAAAAGAAACAUUCGUAAACUUUAUUAACUAAGAGCUUCUUAAACAAAAACAAAUUCUGCAAUCUUUGAUUUUAUUUUUUUAAUAUAUUAAAUAUCUAUAUACGAGAAAAGAAAAUUUUGGGGACCAUUGCAAAAUUAAACUAACCGAAAAAAAAUUCAAAAUUUCUCUAAUUUACAAACCUGUUAUCUUAAUAACUAGAAGUUGAGAAGACAAGGCCUAUUUGAUUGGUAUAAGAUUUCGAUUUGUUUUUUAGUCCAUAGAAUCCAAAAUGUUAGUUCAAAAUUAGGGAAAAAAAAUGAAAGUUAUUUUUUUUCCACUAGUUGUAAUUGUUUCCAAGUCAAAUUGAGAUACGACCCUUUUCGAAAGGAUUUAAUCAUCUUAUAGCCUCCUUAAGAUACAUUUAAGCUAAAAGGAGUGAUUGGAGGCAGAACUAGGUGGGCCAAUCAGUCCCUUUUAUUAGUGACUGUUGCUUAAAAAAAAUUAUACUCUAAAACACACUUACUUUUUUGAAAAAAAAUAUAAUUAUAUUGAAGUAGAACCAGGUGGGCCAAUCCUCAUGGCACUCACUUUGUUCUGACACUCUUCACUAAAUUUGAAGAAAAAUAAAAUUAUACUCUUCACACUCUUAUUCAACAUUCCAAAAUUGAUAAAAUCUAGAGUUUUCUUUAAAAAUUUAAAAUUUGAAGACUUGUUCUCUUGACAUCCUCAGUCAUUAAUUUCACCUAAUUAUGGUUUUUAUGAUUUUGGUUGUUUUGUUCAUAAAACAAUUUUACUAAAGGAUGUUCUCGUAAUAAUAAAAAUUAUAAAAAAAACAUGGGUGUGCUGGUAUGGUUGGGAAAAUACGAGUACAGAACUCCAAACAAAUAAAAGAUUUAUAUAAAAAAAAAUGGAGGAUUCUUACCAUAUUAUGCUUUAGUACGCGGCGGAUUUCCUUAGGAUCCCACAACCUACUACGUCUGCCUGGCACUUCCUCAGAUUCUUGGCGAACAGUCUCUUGGCCCAUUUCUUGCAAUAAAUCAUGCAUUUGCAAGCGGUUAUCUGACACAGUUAUGAGUGACUUGUCGACGAGGACAUCCAGUCUGUGAGACCCAGAAUCAUCAAGUAUCCUUAACACAAAAUCUUUAUCCUCUCCCUCAAGGAAACACGCAAUAUCUAGAAACAUACUCUUCACCCUGGGCGUUAAUUCUUUAAAACUAAUCUUUAAUGUAUCAUAAAUACCAUGAAUAUCAGAUUCACAAAUCCGAUUUAAGUCGUGCAAUACAUUUUCCCAAUGGCUUUUCCUCUUGAGAUACAGGGAGGAACCCAACACUUUAAGAACUAAUGGAUUGCCAUCAGCAUACUCUACAACUCUCCACGAGUCACGUUUGAAAUCUUCAGGACGAUGCUUUUCUUUAAAAGCGAAGUUACAAAAGUGCUCGAAAGCCUCAUCAAAUUUCAAUCCAUUGACCCUAUAUAUUUUCUCCACUCCAAAUUUUUCGAGGACUCGUUUAUCCCUGGUGGUUACAACAAUUCUACUUCCUGGACCAUAUUGAUCAAGCCCUCCAAUCAAACCCUCUAAUUGUUCAUCUUUAUUCACAUCAUCGAGUACAAUCAACACCUUCAUGCGUCGGACCCUCCCUUUAGUAAAUUGUGGAAUAUUGGGACCAGCUACUUCAAGUUUUUCACUUAAUAUUGUCGAAAGCAUUUCCUUUUGUAGGUCUUCUAGGCCACCCUCUGUUUCUGAUUUUCUCCUAACAUUUUUUGCAAAGUAUUUACCAUCAAACUCACCAGCGAAUUGAUCGAAAAUAGCUUCAGCAAGGGUAGUUUUGCCUAUACCGCCCAUACCCCAAAUUCCAACAAUUUGGACAGUAUCCGACAAAUCCAUACACAAAAAUGGUUUAAUCUGCUCAAUUCGUGAAUUUAAUCCAACUAGGCCGUUGGAUGAGUCCGUUGAGACUGUUAUUUUUUCCAACUUCUUCAAAACAUCUUCGACAAUUUUGUUUACAAGUUGCGCAUCAAGCCUAAUAUGAAGGUGCAAAGAUGCAAAAACAUUGAGUCAAAUCGGGCCAAGACAGAAACAGAGAAAAGAUGAAUUAGGAAAGAGAGUUACCUGAAUUUCGUGGAUUCAUGGCCGGCUAGAUGGGAUGUUUCUGUCAGUGCAUCCCUCCACUUCUGAACCAUUUCUUGUUUAUCUUUGAACUGUUUUUUGAGCUCAUCAAAACGGUCUCCAAAUGUUCCGUUUUGAUGCCGCACAUCAGAUGGACUUACUCCAUAGAAGAAUGGAAUAAUAAUUUGGCCGUUUGUGUUCUUGCAUUCAAGAAUCUUGACAAGUUCAUUCAGGCACCAUUUUGAAGAAGCGUAGUCCUUCGAGAAAAUGACCACCGAAAUUUUUGAACCUUGGAUUGCGUUCAAAAGGGCGGGUGAAAUCUCAUCUCCUCGCCUAAGCCCUUCAUCAUCAAUAAAUGUUUUGAUUUUCUUUCCUUCAUACAAUUUAUCAUAGAGAUAGCAAGUAAAGCUCUUACGAGUGUCCUCCCCUCUAAAGUUGAGGAAGACUUCAUAAUUGGCACAAGAAGAAGAGGAAGCCAUGAAGGAAAUUUUAGAAAAUUGGUGACAGAAACAGAGAAUUAAUCUUGAGAGUUGAGAGAGGAGAUGUAAGAAUGAACAUGUGCGAAGAUUCUUGCGAGUACAUAGUAAAUAAUUGAAUGGCUGGAGCUUUCUUAGUUUCCUGGAAAUUUCCUGGAGCUUUCGUAUACAUGAUUUGUCAAGUCAUGAAACAUAAUCAUGAUAAUGGGGCAGACCGAAAAGAAAAGCAACAAUUCAAAUAUUUGAUUCAACCAGUAUAAAAAGGAAGGAAAAGCAAAGAAAGGAAAUGUUGAAAGUAGAGUUAGGGAAUUAUAAAAAGCUGAAGGAAAUUGGAAUUUUGUACAAUUUCUCCAGCGAGGAACUUUCACAGUCGUUACCUCAUUGUUACAGUUUAGAUUAAGAUUUGAGGGUGCAAGCAUUUACCUAGAUUUUACCUCCGCACUAAAUUCUUAAGUUUGAAAAAUUAUGAGACCUUUAUAUUGGAAGAUAUUAUAAUCGAAUCAAAACUUAAAAUUUUAAUAUUGUUAAUCUUUAAUCUUUAAAAAAAAUUACCUUGCCGUUACAAUUUGGAUUAAGAUUUGAAUAAGCAUUUACCUAAAUUUUAUCUCCGCCUGUAAAUUCUUAUGUUUUAAAAAUUAUGAGACCUUUAUAUUGGGAGAUAUUAUAAUCGAAUCAAAAUUUUGAAUUUCAAUAUUAUUAUUCUUUUAAAAAAAAUUUGAGAUAACAGAGUGAUUGAUAAUAGAGAACUUGUCUAGGCAAACACAUGCAUACACAAAAAUGUGAUGGAUUCAAAAAGAAAUUAAAGUGAUAAUGUACGUGGAUCCUUAAAACAAAAAGCGAAAUCGCUUGGUGGCCCAGUAAAAUUAAGACUGAAUAUUUUUUACACGAGAAGUGUAGCUCAUAAAUGGCAAAAGCCAUUUCAUUUCACUUUUACGCGUCAUUGACUUUUGUAACAUGGUGCAUGCAUCGUCAAGUGAGGCAAAAGGGUUUCGAUUACAGUGGGAAAACAUGAACAAGAAUGCAUAAUGAAUAAUUCCUUUGAUAAAGCGAAAAUUAAACACAGAAUAAUCCUAAAAUUUAAACUCUAAUAUCUUAUAAUUUAAUGAUUAAAAAUAAUCCUAAGAGUUCCCAAUUGAAACUUUCAGAGAUAAUAGAAAAUAGCUAUGCUUUAAAAGGCCAAAGAUUAGAGAACAAAGAAGAAUUAGGUAUUGAUAUAAAAAUUAUUAAUUUUUUUGAUUUCAAGCAAAAAUAGUUUCAUAUACCAUUUCGAUUUUGGUAGGGGUGAGGUUUUGAACUUCAAUAGUUUCCUCUAAAAUCAAAAGGUAGUAAUUAAGUUAGAAAGAGCAAAGAAGACUUAUCGGUACCUUAUUGAAGGUAAACAUUAUGGAACUUUCAAUGUCAUUACCCCACUGUUUAAUUUUUAUUGAGAUUUGUGCAAGCAUUUACCUAAAUCUUACCUCUGCCUGUAAAUUCAUAAGUUUUGAAAAUUAUGAGACCUUAUAUCGGGAGAUAUUAUAAUCGAACUAAAACUUAAAAUUUCUUUUCUUUUUUUUUUUUUUUAUCAUAAAAGGGCUCUUAAGAGAGCUAAGGCAACACUAAAUGGGAGUGUGCAACCCCAUGAACAUCAUUAAUCAAUAUGUUUAGCGUAUUUGGAGGAAUAGAUUGAAAGCAAUGUAAACCCAAAGGAAAAGAAAAGCUGUACGAAGUAAGGAAAUCUGCUGCUACAUUGGUUUCUUGGUAGAUAUGAUCCACUUUGAUCAGCCAAUCACGCCGAAGGAGUUCUUCGAUGGCCUGAAUGAGAGUAAAAUGCUCAUUGACGGGAGGGUUUGAGUUAGAGAUUAACUUCAUAACACACAUGCUGUCCACUUCCACGUAAAACUUAAAAUUUCAAUAUUAUUAUUCUUUAAAAAAAAAUUGAGAUAUCAGAGUAAUAUCACAUAGAAAAACUUGCCCACGGACGGUAAGCCAAAAGUCUAGUCAACCACAUGCAUAAAGCUAAGUAGAACAAGAGAACAGAGAAACGCGUGGGUCCCUAAAGAAAAGGCAAGCACAUAAAUGAAAAAGCCAUUACAUAUCUAUUAACACGGUGUGGCAGCAUAUGCACAAUCAAGUGAGGCAAAAGGGAUUCGAUUAUCGUGGCAGAACAUGGACGAGGACGCGUGAUGAAUAAUUCCUUCGUUAAAACCAAAAACAAACGCAGAGAAAACAAUUUCUUAUAUGACAAGAAAUCAAAGUAAUGUGAAGGAACAUGAUGAAGAAAUUGCAGACUGAUCAAUUAUCCCCAUGGACUCCUAUAAAUUCAACCAAAAUAACAAUUCGAAUCUUACCAAAUUCUUGAGUUAAAUUUAUUCAAUGCUUUUAUUUUUUUAGAAAAUUUUUUUCCAAUGCUACUUUUCCUUUUUUGGGGAAAUUAGAACCGCGGCAUGUAUAGAAAACAUUGAGGUGUAAAGCAACAUUAAUUUCAUGGGAUAUGCGUUAUACGCAUAAUAUAUUUUCAGUCCAAAUUCAACUAUACAAAGAGGCUUGAGAACUUAAAAUUAAGCACAAACUAAACAGACGAAGUAAAUACAUGAUUAUGCAACAUAACAUUAAUUCUCUCAAUUGAUAACUGUUUUUGCUACAUGAAUCUUGCACAGUUAAUCCUAAUUGAAGACUAAAAAAGAGCAAUUGGAAGAAGGUUUUGGAAUAGAAUGGUAUACAAUCGAUAUGAUCCUUUUCCAGUAGUCAACGCUAAUUAACUGCAGUUUCUAGACUCCUAAUUAUACUAGCCAUAGCAAACUAUUUAGAAAACUGGUGAUCAAAUUAGAUUUUGAAAGGAAAUAAUGUUCAUUUUCCCUUCGCUGCCUUUUCUUUUCUUUUCUUUUUAUAGCAAAGAAUUAUAUCAUGAAAAGAAUCAAUUUAAUCACCUUUUCCAGCAGCCCAAUUUUUCUUUUAUAAAAUUUGACCACGGAGACAAAGAAGAAUUAUUCAUAACUUCAUCACUAAGGAAAUACUUUUCGGUAUGGCUAGGGUGAGAAAAUGCUUUCCACUAACACUUGUACUUUGUAUUCUUGUAAAUUUUCUUUAAAGUCAAUAAAAACCAUAAGUUCUUUGCAAUAACCAUCUCUUUGAUCAAAAAGUGCCGUAUUCCUUUAGAAUUUAAAACCGGCAAAACCGAAUCAGUGUCUUUGAAGAGACAUAAUGGUCGUAAUUCUUUAAAUGAGUUGGCUAUGGAAAUCCUUAUCCAAGAUUCUUUUAUGCCAUAUUCUUUCGUAAACCAAAAUUCAUUUUGAAAUACUCUAUUGAAAAUGUCAAAUAAAACGGCAUUGAAGGAAGUUUUCAAAGGCAUAAUCCGCACUUGUCAAAGGGAUGAUCUGCACUUGUCAGAGACACGAUCCGCGUCGAACGAAUCGACACAUUUCCUUUCGUAUUCGCAUAUGUAAUCUUUGAAAAAAUGUAGCUUCCGCAUCUAUAAAUAACGCUCAGUGUAUAAUGUUUUAUUCAAGAAAAGAAAACAAAUUUCUUCAUACUCCUUGUCCGAACAUACAGAGACAGUCUCUCAUAACUUCAGCCGAAUACUUAUGAUGAUGAUCAUUUGUGAUUUCAUCAGGCAUAGGGUUGAUGGUGAAAAAUUUUGUAUGUGUGAAGAAUUGAGCUGUGGAUAUAGGGGACUUAAGUGUAAUCGAAAGAGAGUUAUUAGGCCAUAGUGCAGAUUGCAUUCAGUUUAUGGGUCGAUAUGCAAAUAAUUUGUUGACGUGGCGAAAUCUGUUAUGGUCGUUACUAUUGUUUCUGGAAAUUUUCUAGAAACCUCAGCAUAAAAGGGGCUUUUGCAUAGCCUCUGGUGUGCGUGUGAUUUCUCUUUCGUUUCCUCAUCAAAUUCUGUAAUUCUUGCUUUGAUAAAAAGCUUGUAAUCAUUUCUGUAAUGUGUGAUCAGUGCGUAAUCAUUUUGAGCAAUAAAAGCUUGUGGGUUUUUCCUUCAAACAGUGUCGUUUUGGUCAGUUUGUUAGUUUGAUCUGUUGGUGGAAUUUUCUUUGGUUAUUUGUUCUCAAAUUUCAACCGUAUAUAAAGUUUGAACUCUAAUGGCUUAUAAUGUAUUGAUUAAGAAUAAUCCUAAGAGUUCCCGAUUGAAAUUUUUAAUGACUAUUUUUAUUGUUUUGGAUAUACAAAUUGCAUUAAGAAAAAAUAUUGUCAAAUUCAGAGGAUAACGGGAAAUAAUUAUGCUUCAAAAGACCAGAGAUUAGAGAAUAAAGAAGCAUUCAUUACUGACAUACAAAAGAGAAACACUCCAAAAUUGCAAGCAAACUAGUUUCAUAUACUAUUUGGAUUUUGGAAGGGGUGAAGUUUUGAGCUUCAGUUGUUCCUCUAAAUAGCAAAGAAGACUUAUUGGUACCUUACUGAAGCUAACAUUGUGGCACGGUUGUUCAUAUGUAAUGGCUGCUCUGUUAUGGUAGCUUCUCUGUUUUUGCUCACAGUUUUGAACAUGAAUUCUUGCUCAAAUAACCCAUAAUUAAUUAACAUUAAAAUGGCUCGUGAAAUCCCAUAAUAGCUAAUUACGCAACUUUCUCCUCCUCCUCAAUUAUGUCUUCCCCUGCUCGUACAAUAAAUUCAAAAUUCAAUGCCCCGAAAAACAACACAAGAAAUCUUUGAGUUAGUUCGUGACCAGUUUAUAUAUAGUAGCAAUUGAAAAAAGAAAAAGAAGAAAAGAGUUAAUUAUUAUUCAGACCUUCACUUAUUAGGAAGUUUGUUCUGCUAUUGGGUGAGGUCAAGCUCUCAGCAUAUACUUCCACAUGAUACUUUCUAACAUUUUCUUGAAAGCCAUCAAUCAUAAAAUCUUCAUACUUUUUUCCAUCCUUUGGAUCAAUGAGUACAAAUUUCUCAUCUAAAACAGACAAAAUAAAAUCACUGUCCUUCAUGGAACAUAAUGGCUGCAAUGCCUGAACUGAAUUGGCUAAUGAAACAUAGUCUUCUUUUCUUUCUCGACAUGGAACAUAGUCUUCUUUUCUUUCUCGACACAUGUCUCUGUACUUUUCUCUCUCUACUGAUCCACACUUUUUCAUACUUCUAACUAUCAUUUUGUUUUUUUUUUUUGAGUUGUGAUUUAUUCAAUUAUUUUGUAUUUUUAAUGACAAUUAUUUAAUAUUUAGUUAGUGUUGAUAUUGAUUAGUGAUUGAAAGUGUAUUUUAGAAGACUUCCGGUCUCUUGAAAAAAGGAAAAAUGGAGAAGAAGAAGAAGUGUUCUUGAUUUUUUUGUAGGCAUUAAAGUUAAACGGUUUGAAAUGAUAUUUUGUUUUAAUUUCACUCAUUAAUCUCAUUCAGGAUAAAAUUAUAAAUGCAAAUAAAUGGGGUUUCAUAAGUAUUUUUAAUAGUGUUAAAAGGUCUACUAACUAAAUAAACAUGUUUUACCCAAACCAAUCCGAUUAAUAAGUUAUUGGGUUGGGUUGAUCAGGUUAAAAAUCAAAAUUAAAAAUUAAAUAAAUAAAUAAGGCAUAAAAACUAUAUGUUACUUGAAAAUAAAAAGAAUUUCUAAUAGUUAGUUCUAAUGUCCCAUAUCCAAAACAUGCAUAUUAAAUAAAUAUUAUAAGUUAGAAAUAAAAUAUCCAAGAAAUAAUGAAUGAAAUACCAUAUUUUUGUUGAGAAUUAAGAGUGUGAUUUUAAUUUUGAUAUUGGAGUCUAAAGCAAUAGAUAGUACAAUGAAAUCAUGAAUGCUACGUUUAAAUAAUCUCUUUUAUAAAAUAAUAAAAAGAGGUUAAAAAUUAGGUUAGCAUUUAGGGUUUAGCAGUUAAGGAUGAACAUAUUAUUAUUGUUGUUGUUGUUGUUAUUAUUAUUAUUAUUAUUAUUAUUAUUAUUUACAUAUUAAUUAAUCCAACCCAACUCAAUUAUUAACGAAUUUGAAAAAAAAUGACCAAAUUAAUCCACAAUAAUUCAUUCAACUCGUCUAAAUUAGAUUAGAUUGAAUUUGAUUUGCUACACCUACAUUGAGCAACAAACCUCAACGCGAUUCUAUGAGCUCUUUGAUUGUUUAUAAAAUUGAUUUAGAGUACAUAAUGGAGUGUAUCGACAAUGAAAGUGCAAAACAAAUUAUUGUAUACAUUAAAAUCUGCAAAACAAUGAAUUAUAUGUACGAACGAGUGCAAACACAUUUUUCAAUAAGAAGUUAAAAGAUAUUUAUGCAUGAAAAAGCAUACGUUUGUAGUUACUCUAAAUUUUUUAAAAAAAAUUUACAUUUAGAUCCCUAAAAUUUACGUAUAAGUACAAAAGUUUCAAAUAUUGUCUAUUAUUUUUUAACAUAUGCCUAUUCCUUGUGGAUAAUUCUGUCUCAUCACUAAUGUUGUUUCUUGCUUACAAAAAACAAAUGUCAUCUCCUUUUACAAUUUUUAUAGCGUCUCAAAAUAGACAAUGGGGGGAUUUUGAAUUUUUUAAGUCUCAAGAUAGUCUCUAAUCUUGUGAGAAAGAUUUUCUUUCAAUAAUUUGGAGGUAAAGAUAACAUAAUUUUUUGGAUAGUGUGCAUGUGUAUUUAAUUAAUAAUUUUUUAAAAAAAUACAUCAAAUAUUAAUAUCCAUGACAUAAUUUAGUUCUUAAUUUUUUUUAAAUACAUCAAAAACAUAAUUUUUUUUAACAACUUAUAGGCAUGACAAAUUUCAAGAUAUAAAUAUCAGUCAAAAUAAGUGAAAGAAAUAAUGGUGCCAAUUCUAAUUUCUUAACUAAAUUAAUUAGUGCAUGAGCCCCGAAUACGACACGAGAGUUUGAUGGGCUAACUUGGCACAAGAACGUGAAUAAAUAAUUGAUUUAAGAAAUAAUUCAACGAAAAAUAUAAUUGAUAAGAAUUCAGUAUUGAAAUGAGUUUUUUUGUGAAACACUGAAUUAAUGAUUAUUAAGCAAGAACAAUAAAAAAAUAAAUAUUAAUCAUUGAUAAGUUUCAACAAAAACUUAACACAAUCCUCAAUCCUCAUUCAAAUGAUAAAUGUCAUUCAUAUAUUCAUUAUAAAUCAACAACAAAGGUUAUAAAUGUUUAGAAAUUCUAGAGGGAAGGAAGCUAUCGCCGGACAAUCAACAACUAAAUUUGAUGUAAUUGUGGCACGAGAUGGAAUAUGGAAACUACACCAUAAUUUCAAAUGCCGCCAUAGACAUUGACUUAUCAUAAUAACAAUGAUCUAAUUAAAAUAAAAACAAAGUUUAUGGGCAUUUAUUAUUUUGCCAUUCCUCAUUUGCAAAUAGGGAUAUAAUUAUAAUUUUACCUAGUCAAAGCAAUCGGUAGUUUUCUUCAUUAUAGGAGUGAAGUAAAAACAUUUAGAUUUCAAUGUAUGUACGGAAAAAUUUGUCUUUAAAAAUACUUUCUUAAUGUGUGUAUGCAUAUUGAAAUACUCAAACCAAUUUUGGUUAUAUAUAAUUAAACAAAUUUUAAAAUAUGAAAAAUAUAAUGUAGUUAUAGUGGAUAAACAAUAAGUGAGCACAAUAUAAUUAAUCAAAUAUUAUGCCAUCAAAAGUUAAUUUUAGAAAUUCCAAAUCCAAUAGCCAACACAAUUCUUUUUUUUUUAAAAAAGUUGACACAAUUAAUAAAAUUAGCGACAUGAAUUUCACGCCAUUGAUAAUCAGCAAUUAGUAUUACUUUCUAAACUUGCUUCAACUGGUCGUUGAUGUCCGGGUCACCAAAAGUAUAAGCGAUAAUAAGGGGCAUUGGGCAAGAGUGAUGAAUGUUUAGUCGGUGCAUUUGAUUGAUAGAUAUAUAAAGGGCCGAAACUUGAGAUUAUAUUACUUUUACAAAUUUUAAUCCAAUCACAUAUUUACUGAAAACAAAAUGAGUUAGGAUACUUUAUUUAGAACCCACAUUUUAAUAAGGCUUCAUUUGAUGUAGUUUUUCAAACAGUGAUUAUUUGAGUAAAGUUUCCUCAAUAGAGUUUUUAUCAAAUAAAUUUUAUUUAUUUGGUUGUCGAUAAGAACUUUUAUUAAAAAUUAUAAAAUUAUUUAAAUAAACAUAUUUUUUAAAAUUACAUUAUAAAAAGAAUUAAAUAAAGUUAUAAAAGUAAAAUAUAUUUUAGAUAUUUUAAUAUUUAAGAAAAAAAUUUUGAAUCUCUACUUUCAGAAGCUCAAAUUUUUAGUUUUUAGUUGUAGAGACAAAAUAUCUUAUUUAAUCUUUAAAAGUUCUGCUAAAAACAAUCAAAUAACUAUAAAAUUUUUAAUAAGAGUAUAUAAAAUUAAAUAAGCAUUUAUUAAUAAUCACUUUAGUGUACUUAUCUAAUGACCAUAAGUGUUUAUUUAAUCUCAUAAGUUCUUAUUUAAUCUCAUGAGCUCUUUUCAAUUUUUUUUGUUGUUUGCUUUUUUUAGUAGAGUUUUUGAAAAUUAAAUAAACUAUUUUGUCUCUAUUAGGAAAAACUCAAAUUUUAGGUUUUUGUGAGUAAAUGUUUAAAUUUUUUUUAAAAUAUUAAAAUAUUAAAGUAAAAGUUGUAGAGACAAAAUAUCUUAUUUAAUGUUUAAAAGUUCUGCUAAAAAUAAUCAAAUAACUACAAAAAUUUUAAUAAGAGCAUAUAAAAUUAAAUAAGCAUUUAUUAAUAGUCACUUUAGUAUACUUAUCUAAUGACCAUAAGUGUUUAUUUAAUCUAAUGAGCUCUUUUUAAUUUUGUUUGUUUGUUUUUUUAGUAGAGUUUUUGAAAAUUAAAUAAACUAUUUUGUCUCUAUUAGGAAAAACUUAAAAUUUAGGUUUUUGUGAGUAAAUGUUUAAAUUUUUUUUAAAAUAUUAAAAUAUCUUUUCUUUAUUUCAUAAUCUUAUUUCAUUCUUCACAACAUAACUUUAAAUAACUCACCUAUUAAAAUAAUUUCACAAUUUAUAAUAAAAAUUUUAAUUGACAAUCAAAUAACAAAUUUUUUUUUAUAAAAACUCUAAUAAUAAAAAUUCUACUUAAAUAAAUUAUAUUUGAAAAGGUAUACCAAACGAACCUAACAUAAAAACAAAAAUUUUUACAUCCACACAAUUAAGCUUAAAACAAUUUCAAAUGAAUUUUAGACUACUCAAAGUACAAUACGUACCAAGUUUGGUAACUUAUUGGGGUCCGCUUGUAAUACAGCGUCUGUAUCUCAUACAGCCAAAUUUAAUAAUUUAUUAAGAAAAAGGGCAACCAUUAGAUAGAAGUAGAUACAUCCAACGGUUAAAAUGUUUGAUUACUCAUUUUGGCGACCGGAUAUGCCAGUUAUUAUUUCAUCAAUUAACUUACCUAAAAAAUCACAGCCGUUGGAUUGAGAUGCCUCUCUUUCCCUCAAAAUAACAGCCUUCGUAUUCUCUCUGCUAUUGUUUUCUCCUACAUCCAGAAUUUUGGAUGAAUGAACUUGGUAUUCAACAAUAUUCACCACCCAUCACAGCAAAGAGCAAAGAUGUAGUCAAAGGAGUGCCAUUUAUUCAGGCUAACUCGAUCUGUCACUCUCGCUUCAAUUCGUCACUCAUUUUCUCGCGCUCAGCUUCAAUCUAUCACUCUCAGCUUCAGUUCGUCACUCACAGCUUCAAUUUUUCACUGUCGUGAAUCAUCUCUCUUGCUGUAUCUCUCUCUUAUGUCUUCCAAUAAUUUCGGUGAGCUCUCUCUCUAAUUUAAUAUAUGAUUAAAAAUCUUAUCAUCUUAUCAUGUCAUUUAAAUAUGCUUGAAGUUUCAAUUUAGUUUAUGAAUAUUACUUGAAAUUUCAGUUUCAAUAAUUUGAUUUUGCAAUUGAGAAAUUAUUACUUGAAAUAUUGAGAUGAUUUCUAGGGAUUGAUAAUUGAAUGAUAAUUGCUAAGGCUUGUCAUUUUUUGUUUUUGAACAGAUAGAGUUACAAUUAAGUCAUACUGCAAUAUUUUAUCUUGAGAUUCUAUUAUUCACAAAAAGAAAAAAAUCAUAAAUUGAAAAAAAAAAAAAAGAGGUUACGAGCAUCAAGCAACUGCAAGUAAUGGGGUUUGUUUUGAUGAGCUGCGAAUUGGGGCCUGUCAUUUUCUUGAAGUAUCUUCAAUAUAAGUGGAAGGAGAUUUCUUCUCUCCAAAAAAUUAUUGUAUAUUUCCUUUUAAAUUCUAGAUUCGCAUGUAGCUGAUUUUUUAUGUUUGAAGGAUUUUAUUAAAGAAUGUGCUGCUGCUAGUGGCAUGAAUUAAUGUAGUCUCGCUAGUAUUCGUGAUUUGGGGUAAGGAUCGAAUUGAACAAUUAUAUUUCUAUUAUUCUUAUAUUCGAAUCCAGUGAUAUUGUGGUGGUUUUAUGAUAAUAUUCAAUUGUUUUGUGCCUCAAAUCAGCCAAUGAGUUGGGUAUGUGCUGGGUAUAUGCCGUAUGGGCUUGUUGUUGAAUUUGCUUGACCUUGGAUGUGAUUCUUGCCGUGUUUAUAAGAAAUAGACACAGGUCUUUGUGUGGUAAUAGAAUUGUCUAAGGUGCCUUACAAUAAAUUUAAGAGUCUUAAGUAACUAUGCUUUGUAACCUUAAACCUUUAUUUGUACGACUUGGUGUUCUUGGUUGUGAAAGAAUGUUAAAUGUUGACCUAUUUUCAUCGGUGAAGAUAAAUGAAGUUAGGGAAGGUUUGUAAUCACUAUAACCCUGACAAUUUUUUUGGUGGGCCGUGAUAAUUUUAUUCAUGGCAUGUACUUUGUUUUUAUCAGAAGGCCCUGUUUGCUUGUAGUCUCAAAUCUAGGGUAAUAUUUUAAAUAAGUUCUGCAAUAUAUGUUUUGCUAUUUUUCUUUUUUGUUUUUAUUUUAAUUAGUUUUAGUAUUACUUGGAGGGGAAUUCUGAUCUGCUGAAGUUUAUCAAGCUGGUGCAGUGGUGCAGCAAGCAGACCUUUAUCUUAAUCUUAUGAUUGUGCUAAGUGGAAUUUUGUGUAAGUUACAACAAUAUAAUUUUUUAAAGAGCUGACAAGACGCUCUCUCUUUUUUUUGGAAUGUUGAGCAAAACUUUUCUUUCUUAUUAGGUGUUUAUAAUAAUUCAUAGCAUGGGUUUUGUCAUAUUGGUUUCAAUGCAUUGAUUUGAUCUUGGUUACAACCCAUCAGCCCUUACUCCUCAUUCCCAGCAGCUUUUAAUGCCUUUUUUUUAAGCAUUGUACUUUGUUUCAUGAUGAAAUUUGUUUAUAUGACGCAAAGUUGAGGACACGGUAAUAGUCAUUAUUUUAAUUUAUGCAACAAAGAUCAUUAUCCAUUAAAUUUUAUGUUGUUGAAAUAUUUAGAUUUUGUAAAUUUUGUUGUAAGAAAUGAGGGCUCUUGAUCCCAUCCCUUUAUUAUAUACAAUUUUUUUUCACUCUGUCAUUCAUUUAUUGUGUGUUAGAGGUAUUAGUCAUGUGCAAAAGUAAAGAUCUUUAUUUUGUUAUUUUUGUCAUCUUGUGCUUCAUUGGUAUAAAUGAGGAAAAAAAAGAAUAAAAUAAAAUAAAAUUAUAGUUUGUGCAUGAAUUCCACCAUAUAUGAAAUGUUUAAUAGAUUAAAAAGUAAGGAGUACACAGUGACUUUGAAUAGCAGGUGGGGGAACUCAUUUUGUUUUAAAAAAAAUUAAUACAUAUUGAUAGAAUAAUUAUCCUUCACUUAAUUAUUUAAAAAUUUUAUUUUGGAAGAAUACAAAUGGACAGUCACCAAUGAAAGCGUAAACGACUACCAGGGGGCUUACAGAAAAAAUUGCUCCUAUUCUAAAAGUAGAUGGUCAGGACAAAGUUCCAACAACUUCAACUUAUGGAUUUGUCUCUUACUUGUAAGGUAAUCUCUUCUUGUAGGGUGUUUAAUUGAAUUAAAAACAGAAUAUUAUUUGCAUUAUAGAGUACAGGCAUAAAUUCAUUAUCUAUGUCAGUUCAUUCAUGAUUUUACUCCAAAUGGAGUAAUAGAUCACCAUUAAUUUAUUGAUACAUCGUCCAUGUUUGUUUUCGUCUUCAAUUUUUAUAUUACAAUAUCUAAUCUAUUUAGUAUUCGUAAAAAAACAUACGAGAAAAAGUUGGAAAAACACUUUAGGGGUGAUUGUGUACACUUUCGUAUGGCACAAAUAGCGUUAGGCUUUGUUUUUUAAGUGGACGACGUGUCCAUUUUUUGUGUUACAUCUUACUCAUUAAUAUAUUUUUGAGUUUCUUAUGGAAAAAAAAUUGAAAAAACACUUUAAGUGAAAAAAAUUUGUAUUUCAAUUUAUAUGUAACAGUGAAUUGGAAAAUAAAUUCUACCAAUAAUUAAAAGAAUACUUUUCUUUUAAUUAUUAAAAAGAUAAGGUAGUUACUCAUUACCCAUAUAAAUGGACAGUUUUAAUUUGUUCCAUAUCUAUACAACAGAAGAGCUUCAGACACGGUUUGCAGCGUUCCACGAUCACUUCCAUUCUAAGCAGCAGCGUCUUCCGUCUUUUUGCACACCAACAGCAGAUUCUAGAUGGCCAGAAGCUCAUCUGCCGCACUCUCGGGAUUUCGCUGCCAUCCUCAUCUUCAUCUCCACUACCUCCUCAGUGAUUAUCCCCUGGUUUUAUGCUCAGAAAUUAUGAUUAUUAUGUAUCUUGUUUUCAGAUUUGUCAAUACUUGUUAUAUUUUGAUUAUGCAUUAUGGACAUUUUUCAUAAGAUAGCUUAAUUUUGUGGUUUGUGUUGACGAUUUCCAUGUAUGGAUGUUUGGAUAGGUAAUUUCGCCUUCCAUGCAUUCUUCAUUCCUGCAUCCUGUGGGAGAAAAUUGGAAAAAGUGGUUUUUGAUGAGAAACGGGGAGAAGGAUGAGAUAUAUAUUUUUGAAGUGUCACAUUAUUUCAAAAACAAACCCCAAAUUUAAUUUCUCUUACCGAUCAUGAGUUAAAAUAUAAAAAUUAACGUUUACUCAUCACACUGUUAUAAGUAUCAAAGCAUUACUUAUAGAAAAAUUAUCGUCACCUAUCCUACAUUUGUGAUUGAAUAGUGGCACAAUUUUAAUUGGGAUAUUUAACAUUACUCUUUGUAAUUGUUUGGUCUUAUUUGAAGUUUGUAAAUUUUUCAUAACUAUGACUUCAACAGCAUAUUUCAGGUUGCAUUUAAUCGUUGCUAUAAUUAGGUACUUUGAAAUAAUUUAUUGGCCACGAUUACAGUCAUUGUUAUUAGUCACCCCUCUUUUUUCUCUUUUGGCCAACCAGCUCUUGGAUAUUUGGGAACCGAUGACAAUAGUUGGGAAAUUAUGUAAUAUUGGUGUGUUUGCGAAAUAAAUCAAGAGAUUUGCCUUGCCGAAGUUAAAAGAGAUAUUGUGGCCUGAAUUUUUUUUUUUUUUCUCUAGGGGCCAUGGCUCUCAAGGACAAGGCAUGAAUCAUGCAUUAUAAUUGCUCGAAAGGGUUAGUAAAAUAGCAAUCUAAAAUACCCAAGUUGGAUCUGCUGUUGAAUCACAAAAAGAACAUAAUUGGGAUAUGAAGUCAUGGUUGCAAGUGUUGGACCCUUAGGUUACGUUUGGCACGUAGGAUUGGAUUGAACUAAUUACUAAAAUUGGAUUGAAUUAUAUUCGAUUGGAUUAAACUGGAUUAUAUUAUAUAGUUCUAUGGUUAGUACAAUAUCGGAUUAAACUAUGUUAAAUUAUAUUUAAAUAAUAUUAAAUAGCAUUUAAGUUGGUAUUUUAAUAUUAAUAUCAAUUAUUCAUGAAAUUUCAUAAUCAUAAUUAAAAUAAAUUUAAAAAACAAUUACCAGGAAAAUUAAAUAUAUUGUAAAUAAGUUACUGGGUAGUCAUAAUACAGUAAACAAAUGAACAUAGAUAAAAAAAUUAAAUUUUAAAUAAUUUUUAUCAAAUUUUAAAAAAAAAUUAUAUAAAAUCAAUUAUUUAAUGGUAUUAUUAAUUUUCAUGAUUAUUUUUAAUAGUAUAUAACAAUGAUUAUUAAAUUUAAUACAAUCAAAUAAUGCAAUAAAUAAUUAAACAUUUAAUUUUAUCAAUAAAUUACUAAAUAUACAAGUGGUGAAAAUUUAAUCUCCAGAGUUAGUACAAGUAAAGGUAUUAAUUUAAUUAGAUCAUAGAUAAUAAAUAAAAAUAAGUUUUAAGUAAAUCAUAUUAAAAAUUAAUUAAUUAAUUAAUACUAGGUGUAAAUAAAAAAAAUGAUAUAAAUAAAAAUCUCAUAAAUGGACAACUUUUUUCUUUAAUCUUAUCCCAACUAAACCCAUGCGUAAAUUAGGAUUAUCAAUUCCAUGAUUUUAGGAUUAAAUUUAAAUUACUACCCCCUUAAUCCAAUCCAACUAAGCUUGCCAAACAUUGGAUAAAUAUUUAAUUCCAAAAUUAGUCUAAUCCCAUACUUAAUCCUAGAAUCCAAACAUGGCAUUAGCACCUUAUAUAACAAAGUGUCACUGAAAUACAGCAAAACGUUAUAAACAAGAACUUAUUUCUGUACAAAAUGUUAUUUACUUUUUGUGAACUUCCAAAUACCUACUAUAUGAUUUGCAAACCCUACAAAAGUCUACCUUGCAUGCUCUUUCUAACGUGAAAUUUGAUUUUUAUUAAAUUUUUGAUGUGUUCACUAAUAAAUAAUUGGAAUCUAAAAAAAUUAGAAAAAAAUAGAAUUAGAAUGAGCUACAAUAAAAAUGAGGAAUAACAAAAAAAAUGAUAUUUGUUGAGAUGAAUGAAACACAAUUGAAAUACUCUAUAUCGCUCUUAAUAUGUUCACUUUGUGAACAUAAAUUAGAAUUAGUUGUUAUAACUUAGUAAUUUAUCCUCAAUCAAUUAUUAUCAUUAUUACUAUUUGUUAUAAUAAUUGUAAUUAUUAUUUUUGAUAAUUUUAAUACUAAGAAAAUUAUUGUUAGGGGUGGAAACACCAUAUAGAGAAGGAACAAUUAAAUUUAUAAAAUUUAGUGGGGAUAAAAUAGUCACUUAAGACAGCAAGCGUCUCCCAUUCUCACCUCCACGAGCAUGAAAACACUAGUAAUCAUUCUUAAAUUUUGAUGGAAUCUGUUGCUUUUAUUCUAAUAACGAACGCAAAACCUAUGGAAUUAGUUGGAAUAACGAAUGCAAAACCUCUGGAAUUACAAUUGAAAUACGUCAACCCAAAAUGGAGAAAGCACAACUAAAAUUAGAGACCUACAAAACCAAAAAUAAACUUAUAGAAAACAAACCCGGUACCUAAUCUCAAUAAUUGGAAUCUCAACCAGUUAAUGGAAAUAUUCAACUCAAAAUUAGGGAAAAAUUAGAUGAAACACGUGAACCAUUGAGAGAGAAAGUAUGACGAAAAUUAGAAACUCAUUUAACGAAAAAUAAUAUUUACUUGGAAUCUAACCCAUGAUACUGGUACCUAAGGAACUUUAUAGGAAUAUGAAACGCAAAACCAGUGGACCAAUAAGUUGAAACAUGUGAACCAAAAAAUGAAAAACUAUAACCAAAUCUUGAGACUAAUCAAACCAAGCAAAAGUAAUAUUGAUAUUUAACCCAUAUAAUUGGAAUUUUACCAAAUUAGUUGGAAUAACGAAUGUAGAACUUGUGGAAUUACAAUUGAAAUACAUCAACAAAAAAUGGAGAAAGCACAACCAAAAUUAGAGACCUACAAAACCAAAAAUAAAUUUAUAGAAAAUAAAUUUGGUACCUAACCACAAUAAUUGGAAUCUCAACCAGUUAAUGAGAAUUCUCAACGCAAAACUAUAGGAAAAAUUAGCUGAAACACAUGAACCAUUAAGAGAGAAAUUAGAACGAAAACUUGGAACUUAUCCAACGAAGAAUGCUCGUGACUUGGAAUCUAACAACAAAUAUUGGUACUUGACUAAUUUAGUAGGAAUAUCAAAUGCAAAACUCAUUGACCAAUAAGUUGAAACAUGUAAACCAAAAGAUGAAAAAGUAUAACCAAAACCUGAGAAUAAUCAAACCAAGAAAAAGUAAUAUUGAUUUUUAACCCAUAUAAUUGGAAUUUUACCAACUUAAUUGGAAUAACGAAUGCAAAACCUGUGGAUUUACAAUUGAUAUACGUCAACCCAAAAUGGAGAAAGCACAACCAAAAUUAGGGACCUACAAAACCAAAAAUAAAGUUAUAGAAAACAAACCUGGUACCUAACCUCAGUAAUUGGAAUCACAACCAGUUAAUAGGAAUAUUCAAUGCAAAAUUGGGGAAAAAAUUAGAUGAAACACGUGAACCAUUAAGAGAGAAAGAACAACGAAAACUAGGAACUUAUCCAACAAAGAAUGAUAGUUACUUGGAAUCUAACAGUAAAUAUUGGUACUCGACGAAUUUAAUAGGAAUAUCAAACGCAAAAAUAGUGGACCAAUAAGUUGAAACAUGUGAACCUAUAGAUGGAAAAGAAUUACCAAAAUUUGUAACUAAUCAAACCAAAAAAAGUAAUAUAGAUAUCUAACCCAUAUAAUUGGAAUCUCGACAAAUUAGUUGAAAUAUUAAACAAAAAACUAGUGGAAUAAUAGUUGAAACACAUGAACCAAAUGUGGAGAAAGUUUAACCAAAUUUUGAAACUUAUCCAAUGAAGAAUGCUAGUUACGUGGAAUCUAACAACAAAUAUUGGUACUCGACGAAUUUAAUAGGAAUAUCAAACGCAAAAAUAGUGGACCAAUAAGUUGAAACAUGUGAACCUAUAGAUGGAAAAAUAUUACCAAAAUUUGGAACUAAUCAAACCAAAAAAAGUAAUAUCGAUAUCUAACCCAUAUAAUUGGAAUCUUGACAAAUUAGUUGAAAUAUUAAACGAAAAACUAGUAGAAUAAUAGUUGAAACACAUGAACCAAAUGUGGAGAAAGUUUAACCGAAUUUUGAAACUUAUCCAACGAAGAAUGCUAGUUAUUUGGAAUCUAACAACAAAUAUUGGUACUCGAUGAAUUUAGUAGGAAUAUCAAACGCAAAAAUAGUGGACCAAUAAGUUGAAACAUGUGAAUCUAUAGAUGGAAAAGCAUUACCAAAAUUUGGAACUAAUCAAACCAAAAAAAGUAAUAUCGAUAUCUAACCCAUAUAAUUGGAAUCUCGACAAAUUAGUUGAAAUAUUAAACUAAAAAUUAGUGGAAUAAUAGUUGAAACACAUGAACCAAAUAUGGAGAAAGUUUAACCAAAUUUUGAAACUUAUCCAACGGAGAAUGCUAGUUACUUGGAAUCUAACAAAAAAUAUUGGUACUCGACGAAUUUAGUAGGAAUAUCAAACGCAAAAAUAGUGGACCAAUAAGUUGAAACAUGUGAACCUAUUGAUGGAAAAGCAUUGCCAAAAUUUGGAACUAAUAAAACCAAAAAAAGUAAUAUCGAUAUCUAACCCAUAUAAUUGGAAUCUUGACAAAUUAGUUGAAAUAUUAAAUGAAAAACUAGUAGAAUAAUAGUUGAAACACAUGAACCAAAUGUGGAGAAAGUUUAACCGAAUUUUGAAACUUAUCUAACGAAAAAUAAAUUUAAUUGGAAUUUAACCCAAAAUAUUAGUGUUUAACGAGUUUAGUGGGAAUAUUAAACAUAAAACUAGUGGAUCGGAAAAUGGAGAUAAGCAAACCAAUUAGUGAGAAAGUUGAAUCAAAAUUAGGUAUAUGUGAAAUUAACUUGGAAUGUCACCUAAUAUAUUGAUAUUUAACCAAAAGAAUCGAGACAUGCUCAUUUUAAUUUUUUUAAACUUUUGUUGCAAUUAAAAAUAAUUUUUUCACUUAAAUAUUGUUUGUGUUAAAUAUUUACAAAAUUUCCUUAAUUUUUCCUGUUUCAUUUUAUUUUUUCUACAUUAAAAAUAAUUUUUUAAAAAUUAUUAAAUGAACAACCGGUAAAAUACCGGUUGUUCAAGUUUCCUUUUUACUGUUGAAGGGGCUGUAUUUUAUACAGCACUGUACUAUAGGAAGACUCAACUUAUUGACAUCUUCUCAUAUAACCUUCGAUCAAGUCGAUUCUGACCUGACGACUAAUUGGUACAUCACCGUUGUUCUCUAUACUCGCAUGCAUCGGAUCACAAAUCUCACUCCAAUUGUCGUCUUUCUUCGCCGUUUUAGCGCAUACUUCUUGAAUUUCCCGCAUUUCGUUCCCUCCUGUUACAAGUCUCCGGUCAGGUCAGUGAUUGAAUUUCCCGCAUCUCUAUCCCUCCCGUUUUCUCGCGUCGUUUCACUUCAAUUUCUCGUGUCUCCUUUCAGUUUAAGUGAUUGAAUCAAUUUUAUCGCAGUCAUAAGAGAAAUUAAGUAAUGCUCUUGGAUUUAAAAUUUUUUUGCUUUCGACUUUAGAUCUCGAAAGUCAAACUCUGCUACGAAUCCAUAGAUUCUCAAUGCUCAUAAUCUUAUUUGUGUUUGACCAGGUAACUGGAUCGUGAAAUUCGUCGUUUUGUAUCAAUUCAAGCUUUCGCGAGCUCAUGGAAUCACCUGGUGAGUUGUGGUGAAACGUUAUCGUUUCAAUUUUCGCUUAAUUCUUUAUUGCAUAUUUUUUUCUCUAAUGUUUCAGUUUAAUUUAGAAAAGAAAGAGGCCCCAAAAAGAGAGAGAGAGAGAGACUCUACCAUACUCAAUUCCUUGCUCAUUCUGAUUUGGCCUGAAUGUUGGCAUUGACUAUUAUUUGUUUUCAUUUCGAUUUAAUUCUCAUUUAGACAGUCUUUACUAACGGUCAAUAAUAGUUUAAGGAAAAUGAUCAUAGGGAUUCUGCAAUAAUCUUUCUGCAUUGUUCAAGUUAGUAGACAAUGAAUAGGAUGUUUAUGUUUACCUCAUUUUGAACCCUGAGGGCUUCGUUGAGUAGUUGAUUCAACAUAUCCAGCAACGGUUGAUGUGAGAACAGAAUGCCACUUAGAUAGGCUUAAACUGAUUUUGGAGGUUUGUAUUGGUUCUAUUGUACGUCUUGCUUACAAAUUUUUAAUUUUUAAUUUUGUAUAAUAUGCUCUUUGUUGGUAAAUCUCAUUUGACUUAGAAGAGAUAGUUUUAUCCCAACAGUGGGAUAAAUCAUUGAGAUGCAUGGCAGUGUGAAUAUAGUAGACAAAAUCAUUGAGACACAUGGUGGUGUGAACAUAGUAAACUUUGUCAAACACAGCUAAGAUAAACAAAUUGUUUCAUUAGCCUUUACCUUAUCUGCUGUGAUGAUUCAAAUUAAUGCUGUUUGGUAGGUUGCAAAAAACGAAAUGAGCUGUCUGUUCGUAUUAUUUAGUCAGAUCUAUUGCAAUAAGUUGAAGUUCAUUGUCACAUGGGUUGGGAGUAGCGUGGGCUGUGAGUAGUAGAAUGGAUUUAUGGAGUUGAUACAAGUGCCCAUAAUCUAUCAUGUCAUUCUAGGAUUAAAUGGAUUGCACAUUACUGUAAAGAUGGAGGUUAAAUUUAUAUAAUUCGGAUUGAUUGUAAAAUGGGAGGCAGAGAUGAGUUAGAAAAAGAAUGACCUGUGUCCUUUUUGAGCUGUUUCUAAAUCUCCCUGGUGUGCUUCAUGCUUAACACGUGUCUUUCCAAAUAAUUUUGCUUAACCUGUGCUUGUCUACUUCUUGUGCUAUUCUGUGCCUGGUCCUGAGCUGUGUUGGUAGAUUGACAUAAUUUUGCUCUGCUAAAUGUAUAACUUAUUAAUCAGAGUCCUGUUAUUAUGGUUUGACACUACUGACAUAUUGUGUUGGUAUUUAUUUGUACUUCCCUUGGUUGAAUUAUUUGCUGUCUCCAUGCAAUUCGAUAUGGUGCUACUUGGUUUUUGAUCAUCCAUGACGCUAUAUAUAUGUAAAGGAUGAAUUGAUUGUUUUGGCUUGUAUUCUCACAUUUUAUGAUUGAUCGAUGGAAAGGUUUUCAUGCAUUAAAUUCAACCUCACAAGCGUAAGAUUGACAGAUUGUGGGCAAAUUUUCAGGAAAAGAAACUAGACUUCAUGGAAGCAAUGAAGCUUGAAAUUGAACGUCUGCAGCUGAAUCUUUCUGCAGCUGAAAGGGAUAGAACUUUAUUGUCAAUUGGAACUGAUCCUGCCUCUAUAAAUCCAAAUGUAUUGCUUGAUGAAUCUUACAUGGGAAGACUGUGUCGAGUAGCAAACACUCUUGCAUUACUUGGCCAAGCUUCCCUAGAAGAGAAAAUUGUUGGUGCAAUUGGCCUUGAGAAUAGUGGUGAUAGUGUUUUAGACUUCUGGAAUAUUACUAGAAUCGGAGAGAGUUGUUCUGGUGGUGGGUGCGAGGUUUGUGCAGAAACUAAGGUGCCUGCUCUUGCUUCCUCAACUGCAACAUCUGUUGGAUCUUCACAAUCCCCUUUGUUGUGUUCUCAAUGUGAAAGAAAAGUUUGCAAAGUUUGUUGUGCAGGAAGAGGAGCUCUACUGUUUUCAAAUUAUAAAUCAAGGGAUGUGACCAACUACAAUGGCUUCUCAAGUCAGAGUGGAUCAAGCCAUGGAAGCCAAGUUGAUGUAGCUACCAGUCGUUCACUAACACUGGAUGGCGUUAUCUGUAAACACUGUUGCCAUGAGAUGGUGCUUGAUGCAUUGAUGUUGGACUAUGUUAGGGUCUUGAUUAGGUUGCGAAGAAGUUCCUGUGCAGACAACGCAGCAUACAAUGCUUUGAAUGAGGUUGUUGGAUCCUGCUUAAAGGAUAGUCUUUCUGAGAGGAUUCAGUCUUCCGAUAAUGCGCAAGCAGCUAAAGUCCUGCACCAAUUAUGUGGUGGACAGGAAGCACUUGCUGAAUUUCCAUUUGCUAGCUUUUUGCACUCGGUAUGUUCUUGGUUUGUAUUCAGUUCUCAUCAUAUUAUGUUUUCCUUUUAAAUUUCAUUUCUUGAUUAAAAUUUUUAGAAAUGUGUUUUAGCAUUUAUUCUUAUGAUAUAUGCCCGGAACAUUCAUCCCACUUAUCCAUGAGAAUCCUUGUCUGGUUUGAUUUUCAAUUGAGACAUUUUUGGGAACCCUGCGCAGGUUCCAUAUGCUAAUAAUCUUUGAGGUAAGGUGUUGUAGGAUGCCUUGAGAAGCUAAAAACCCAUUACAAGGAAAAGGUCUUGCAUUGUUUUGUGCAAUCUGUGUGCGAGCUAGUCAUGUCUCUAAUAAUUUCAUAGUUUGCUUGAUUGGAAUUUUUUAUCUUGAUAUGGAUUGUUUAUUCUAGAUUCCUUGGUGCCACUGUAGGUUGAAACAGCAAAAGAUUCAGCACCGAUUUUGUCACUGCUUGCUCCAUUAAAUUCUGGAUCAAGGCACUCAUAUUGGAGAGCUCCACCUAGUACUACUUCUGUUGAAUUUGUUAUUGUUCUCGGUUCUGUUUCUGAUGUCAGUGGGGUUAUCUUGCUUGUUAGUCCUUGCGGCUAUUCUGUGGCUGACACUCCGAUGGUAAGUGCCAUAUUUAUUCCCUUAUUUCCUUGUUGUUCAAUAAAUUUGGUGAUAAGCCAAGUGGCCUUAAUAAUGAAGCCCAGUACCAGGGUUGGUGGGUAAUAGAUAUUCAACUUGUGAAUAUUCCUAAGCAAACACUGAAUCAACAUAUACCUCGGCUAAAGUUCUCUAUGCUAUUAUAACAAAAGUCAUAUUUUGAAAUGAUUAAAAGAGUCCCUGUGUAGUGCCAUUUCCAAAGAAAUUGCAGCUGGGGGUUUAGUUUCAUGUAGGUUAGUUUCCGAUAAUAAACUUUCUAUUUCAUUAAUUGCUGAUGAAAAAACCAAGUAAGAACAGUUUUGUUGCUCGUCAUUUUUGUAUAUUUUGGUAAACUGUAAUUUUAAAUUCUCAACGAUCUUCCCUUUGUAGGUAAGAAGAUGGUCCACUCACUUGAUAUUUAUGAUUGUAGAUCAGGUUUCUAUUGGUUUGCCUUUAUCAUUUAGAACCCAUGUUUGAUAUUAACAGAGAUCACGUCAAUAAUAUCCUAUUUGGGUAGAUGUGGGUGAGGAUUUAAAAUCAAAUUUGAAAUUGAGGGGAAAGAAGAGAAAAGGAACCACAAUAAUUAAACAAAAUAAUAGGAACUAUUCUGAUGAGUUUUAAUCUCGAGAGGAACAAUUUUCAAAUGCACUGCUAGAGAAAUUGUAGCUUUUUGUCAUUAGUUAAAAGGAAAAAGAAUAAGAACUAUCCGGCCCUUUCCUUCAUGAAUGUGUGUUGAGGUUGCUGUAUUAUUUAGUCAGUAUUUGUAAUUUUCUUCCCUGCAGUGCUCUCUGCCUCCUGAAUUUGCUUCCUAUUGCUGUUACAGGUGCAAAUCUGGGCAAGCAAUAAGAUACACCAGGAGGAAAGGUCAUCAAUGGGAAAAUGGGAUGUCCAAUCCCUCAUCACAUCUUCUUCAGAUUUGUAUGGUCCAGAAAAGUCUGCUAGUGUUGAAAAAUUACCUAGGCAUGUAAAAUUUACUUUUAAGAAUCCUGUUAGGUGCCGCAUUAUUUGGAUCACAUUACGUCUUCAGAGACCUGGUUCGGCUUCAGUUAAUUUCGGGAAGGACCUCAGUCUUUUGUCUCUUGAUGAAGAUGAAAACCCCUUUGCACAAGUAGACAGACGUGCUUCAUUUGGAGGAGCAGUUGAAAAUGAACCAUGUAUUCAUGCCAAAAGAAUUCUUGUAGUCGGAAGCCCAGUAAAAAGGGAGGGGCUUACCACAUCACAGAGCUCUGAGCAGCUAAGUAUUAGAAACUGGUUGGAUAGAGCUCCACAAAUGAGUAGAUUCAAGGUAUUAGUUGCUUUCACUCUUUGUUCAUUCAUAAUUCCAGCUUUCUGCUUCACUGAUAAACCUCUUUUUUCUCUUCAGGUCCCAAUUGAGGCCGAGAGAUUGAUGGACUACGAUCUCGUCUUGGAACAGUAUCUACCUCCAGCGUCACCUUCGCUUGCCGGAUUCUGUCUAGACGCUUUCAGUGCAAUAAAACCUAGGGUUACCCAUUCACCUUCCUCAGAUUCAGAUAUCUGGGACAAAUCAGUAACAUUUUUAGAAGACAGGUACAUCUCUCAAGCUGUAUUGUAUUUACAAGUAUCCGCACUCCAGGAACCACAUAACAUGGUAACUAUUGCGGAAUAUCGACUGCCGGAGGCUAGAGCCGGAACGCCAAUGUACUUUGAAUUCCCACGACCGAUACAGUCCCGACGAGUUUCAUUCAAGCUUCUUGGAGAUGUUACAGCAUUUGCAGAUGAACCUUCAGAACAAGAUGAUUCAGGAUUGAGAGCUCCACUUGUGGCCACAGGUUUGUCUUUGUCAAACAGAAUCAAGUUAUAUUAUUAUUGUGAUCCUUAUGAGCUUGGAAAAUGGGCAAGCCUUUCUGGAGUUUGAUCGUUAUUUAUAUGUCAGAGAAAGAGUUUUGGGUUUGAUUUUGAUUUUGAUUUGUAAUUUUUGUCAGUUUAUUGAAAUUUUUUUGUUGUAUAAAAGCAGAAUGUAAAGGUAUAAAAAUUCAUUGAUGCUGCAAUGUCUGUGCUUUUGAGAAAGAAGAAUUCAAUGUCUUUUCUAUGCCAUUGGAUUUUCCCACUGCUUGUAAACUUGGGCUGUCGAGUGCUCUGUGAACCUUAAGGGCUAUAAAGUAAUUUUUUAGACUGAAGGAUUUAUUAAUCGAGUUCAAAAGAUUGCAAGUUGGUGAGCGUUGGCAUUUAAAAAUCAAUUGUUAUUCUCUCAAUAAUCUCUCUCUUCUGCCGACACCCCAAGCUCAGAAACCCAUUGUUCCGACGGACGUGUAACACUUCCAGAAAUUAGCCUUUUCUUCUAUAUGAAGGUUGAUCUCUCCUCGUGAAGUGAAGGUGGUUUUCCAAUUACAUACGUCGGGGGUCUUAUGAUAUCUAAUGUGUGAAAUUUCUUUCUCAUUUUACCAUAAAGAAAAGUUCUGUAAUGAUCUAAAGUUGGGAGUCUUAAAUUAUCUUAAAUUUAUAUUUAGAGUGGAGUUAUUGGCACCCUACAUUAUUCUUACAAAAUUCUAUUUUAAAUAAAAUUAUAAUUAAAGACAAUUGAAAAUUAUAGAUUUUUUUACAGCAAAUUACUUAAGUCAUAAUUAAUCCUUAAAAAAAAAUCUAUAUGUUACUUCUUAUUUAAUUAAAAUAAAUUGUACAAAUUUAAAAUAAUUUAUUGUUUUCUUUUGAUUUUUUAUUGAUUAAAUAUUUUUAUACUUAAAAUUACUUUGAAAUUAUAAUUUAAAAUAUGUGUUAUAUGCAAUAGUUCGAUUUACCGAACCACAAAGGGAGCCAAUGUGGUUUUGCCAAAAUCACAUACUGUAGCAUAAUAACAGAUAUUAUUAUUGUAUAAUAGAUGGGUUUAGAAAAAUUGAAGAACCAAGUAAGUUAUUUGAAAAAUGUCGAUUCUCGUACCAAACCCAUGUUUUAUGCCAAUUGUUUUUGGAUUGGAGUGCAGGCAUUAACAAUGAUGGAGAUGGAGGAACUGUAGCAUUAGUCAUAUGAAGAGUACGUGUCAGGUUUGAUUUUCAUGUGAUUUGGUUAGUGACGACGAAAACGACGACGUCGUAGUUGAAAAGCGUUUGAAUUAAUGUUGCGUUAAAAAAAAAAUUUAACUUGUUCCACUAAUUAAGUCAACAUUACUGAUGUCUUAUCACCCUCGGCCAACUUAACAAUUGGUGUCCUUUGGACAAUUAAAUAUGAUUUAUUCAAAAAAAAUAAAACUAUUAAAUAUUAAAAAUUAGGUCCAUUAAUAAUAAUAAUAAUAAUACUAAGAAUUAAGAAGAUCUAAUUACAUAUCAAAAUGACUCAAACAAAUUAAUUAAUUUCAUAUUAGCUAGCCAAGUAGGUUGUCCAUCCCACUCAGACAUGCACGAAAGCUAAAUUCAUCAAAUGAAUUACUUAAGGAGUAUUUGAUAAUUUUGAAAUUAUAAUUUCAAAUUAAAAUAGUAGUAGCAAAAUCGUAGUGCACAUUCAAUUAACCAACUAAUAGUCUAAGAAGCAAAGAGAGGAUUACAAGUUCACAACACCAUUAAAAAGGAUUCAAAAUUCCCACACGAAAACAUCAAUGUACAGAUUAUAAACAAUCCGAAUUGGACACAAGAAAAAACCCUUCAAUGGAUUGCUUGCCUUCCCAAUGCUAUAUACUGUGCAAACUGCGCACUGGCCAAGAAAAUAUUUUCAAUUUAGUGUAUUUUCAAAAUGCUUAUUUUCUCAGAAUAUAAAAAAAAAAAAAACAAAAAAAGAAUUCUUACAUGUUUCAUCAGCAUGAUUAAAAUCAAAGAAGAAAGCGAAGACAUAAUGUCUCUGACAUAAUAAAAUUACAAUUUCAUGCAGCAGAGAUUGAAGAGUUGAAUUCCACUUAUAGACACCGACCUCUUGUUUUGUCUAAUGUUAAUAACGAAAACAACAACAGAGGAUUAACUGAUGCUUUGACUUAUUAUCAGGUUGCAAUGAAUUAUUAACUGAUGCUUUGACUUAUUAGUUCUGCUGCUAAGUUAAAUAAAAUAAGGUAUUUUCAAAAGCAAAAUGGAAUACAUAGAUAAAACAUCAUCUUAAACAAAUCAUAAUCUAGAAUUGGAGACAUACCCAAGGAGAAAGAAUACGUGAAAAUGGGUGAUUCAUUUGUUAAGGAGUGUUGAUUUGGUCGUCUCUGCAAAUUCUUUAGGGACUCGGUUCCAGUUCCUCUUCAUCAAAACUGUAAUAUAAUUCCCCUUCAUCAGAACUCGAAUCGAUGCAAUAAAAUUCCCCUUCAUCAGAACUCGAAUCAAAUUCACUUGCAGCAGUUCCACUCGCGCUUGGCAAAUCAUCCAAUUUCCAAACUUCGGUAGCAAAAUUGAGAGUAAAAGUGUUGGCUUUGGUCUCUCUGGGAUUUGCAUAUACUGGACAUACUCCGCAACGUUUUAGCUUAGUGAAGAACUUAAAUGAGGCAGUUGUAUGAUGGUAACCAUCAGGAAACCCAACAUUCAAGCAAGGUUUAAAACCAAGUAUGACAUGAUCUGAAUCAAGGGAGCCAGUGCACACCAUGAAACCCAGAUCAACAUGUUUGGUUUCAGAGAGAGUCUUUAUUUCUAAGUCGAGUUGAAAGCGGACGUAAAUAUUGCAGCAAUAACAAGAAUGAAGGUGCUUAAAAUCAAGAACAGCACAAAAAGCAAACCCGAUUAAGUUUCUGCAAGAAGACUGCGGUGGCAGUUGAAUACAUAUCGAAGAUCCUGAACUUUGAUUGCUGAACCAGUCAGGAAUUUCGCUUCCAGGUAAAACAAUUAGGGAUCCCCUCAGUUCAGAAAGUUUCUGUGAAAUGACAUUUAAAAAAAAAAAUUGUAAAAUGAAAACCAUGAUUUCAGAUAUAACAAAGAGGGACAGAGUAAACAAGAGAGGGAAUUUGAUACCUCGUUGAUUGCCUUUUCAUAGCCCAGUCUCAGUGAUGCAAUUGCCACAUGCCGAAUUCUUAGUUGUGAAUCUGCCAAAAUCUUGUUGUUUGCUUUUCCAUUCAGUUUCAAGCAGUUAGUAAACCCAAAAUAAAUUGGUUGUGACUCCAGAAGUCCGGUUGCCCAUUGACGAAGGUCAGGAGAGGGUUUCGAUAGCUUUUCUAGUACGGAUGCAUCUAGUUCUUGCAGACAUGACGGAAUCUCUGGCAAAGAUUGAAGCCGGUUGCAGUUCGUUGCAUCUAGUUCUUGUAGACACAAUGGAAGUUCUGGUAAUGACCGAAGCAUGUUACAACCCGUCAAGUGAAGAUAUUUUAGACACAAUGGAAGUGCUGGUAAUGACUGAAGCAUGUUACAACGCCUCAAGUCAAGAGAACACAGCCGCGACAGUUGCUUGAUACUUGCAGGUAAACUCUCAAAGUUAUUUCCACGUAGAUCCAAGCUUUUCAGUGAGGAUAGAUAGGCAAUCUCUUGUGGAAUUUCCAUUACAGCACAGUUCAUUAUGUAUAGAAGUCCCAAAGAAGAUAAACCUAAUAAUAAUGAUCGAGGCAAUGAUACCAAACCUUUGCAGCGAGAGAAAUCAAGAAUUAAAAGUGCGUUUGAAUCUGCAACAGAGGAUGGUAGUUGACUAAUAGCUGAUCCAGCUGCUGAGAUGUGACGCAAAGAUUCUAAAUUGCCAAUGUUAUCCGGCAACUUAUCAAGUUUAGAGCAAUCACUUACGAACAAUUCUUCAAGCCCCGGUAGAUUUUCAAAUGACGAUGGCAGCUCUGUAAUUGCCGUCCCGUCUAAAUUGAUGCGUUUUAAAUGUUCCAUUUUCUCCAAGAUUUCUGGGAAGCGCUCAAGGUUCAAGCAGCCAUUAACAAAAAGAUCAACCAAAGAUCUCAAUUUACAAAACCUAGUUGAAAUCCUCUUCAGCCGUUUGCAAUCCCUCAAAUCCAACACUUCAAGAUCAGUUAGGCACUCUAUUGAUGAUGGAACUUCUUCUAUUGCAGACUGGUCUAAGUAUAGCCGUGUAAUUUUCCCAGAAAUCUGUGGAAACUCUAUGAGAGUAACACAAUAGGAGAAAUUAAUAGUUACUGGACAAACAAAAUGAAGAUUGCUUGGAAAAGACCUAAGACUUUUGCAGCCCUCAAAAGACAGCGCACUGAGAUACUUGAAAUUCUGGAUAGAUGAGGGAACACAAGCCUUUUCUCCUUCCCAAGGUUGCUCAACUUUACUAAAACGCAAAUUCAGUUCAACAAGGUUCUUUGGCUUGAAAUUUGAUGGCAGUAUCCUUAAUGGAUAUGUGUCCCAAUGAAGAUAUCUCAAUUUUUCAGGAAGAUAUUCUAGGCCAUUUGGAAGCUGCACUUCAGAGUAUGAAAGUUGCUCUUCAAUGCUCAUACUUAGAAACCUUUCAAUCUCAUAAAACUUACUUGGAAACCUUUCAAUCUCAUAAAACUUAGGUACAUAAAAUUUGAGCAAUCUCAGAUUAGACAUAUUUGUGAAGGCUCCGGGGUCUAAAUUGAUGCAUUUUAUUUUGGACAAAUCCAGAAAUAUGCCUUCAAUUGCAUCGGUCCCCUUAUAAAAAAAAAAAAACAAAGAAUGAGUAAGCCAAAAAUAAAAAAGCAACAUGCGUAAACUUUAUUAACUAAGAGCUCCUUAAACAAAAACAAAUUCUGCAAUCUUUGAUUUUAUUUUUUUAAUAUAUUAAAUAUCUAUAUGCGAGAAAAGAAAAUUUUGGGGACCAUUGCAAAAUUAAACUAACCGAAAAAAAAUUCAAAAUUUCUCUAAUUUACAAUCCUAUUAUCUUAAUAUCUAGAAGUUGAGAAGAGAGUGCCUAUUUGAUUGGUAUAAGAUUUCGAAAUUUUUUUUUUUUAGUCGAUAGAAUCCAAAAUGUUAGUUCAAAAUUAGGGAAAAAAAUAAAAGUCAUUUUUUUUCCACUAGUUAAAACUGUAUCCAAGUCAAAUUAAGAUACGACCCUUUUUAAAAAGAUUUAACCAUCUUACAGCCUCCUUAAGGUACAUUUAAGCUAAAAGGAGUAAUUUGAGGCAGAACUAGGUGGUCCAAUCAGUCCAUUUUAUUAGUGUCUGUUGCUUAAAAAAUUUAUACUCUAAAACACACUUUUUUGGAAAAAAAAAUAUAAUUACAUUGAAGUAGAAUCAGGUGGGCCAAUCCUCAUGGCACUCACUUUAUUUUGACACUCUUCACUAAAUUUGAAGAAAAAUAAAAUUAUACUCUUCACACUCUUAUUCAACAUUCCAAAAUUGAUAAAAUCUGGAGUUUUCUUUAAAAAUUUAAAAUUUGAAGACUUGUUCUCUUGACACCCUCAGUCAUUAAUUUUACCUAAUUAUGGUUUUUAUGAUUUUGGUUGUUUUGUUCAUAAAAAUGAUUUUACUAAAGGAUGCUCUGGUAAUAAUAAAAUUUAUAAAAAAAAAUGGGUGUGCUGGUAUGAUUGGAAAAAUAUGAGUGCAUAACUCCAAACAAAUAAAAGAUAUAUAAAAUAAAUGGAGGAUUCUUACCUUUUUAUGCUUGAGUACGCGGCGGAUUUCCUUAGGAUCCCACAACCUGCUGCGUUUGCCAGGCUCUUUCUCAGAUUCUUGGCGAACAAUCUGUCGCCCCAUUUCUUGCAAUAAAUCAUGCAUUUGCAAGCAAUUACCUGAUAUUGAUAUGAGUGACUUAUCAAUAAGGACAUCCAGUCCAUCAGACUCAGAAUCAUCAAGAAUCCUUGCCACAAAAUCUUUAUCCUCUCCCUCAAAGAAACACGCAAUAUCUAGAAACAAACUCUUCACCCUAGGAAUUAAUUCAUUAAAACUAAUCUUUAAUAUUUCAUAAAUAUUAUGAAUAUCAGAUUCACAAAUCCGAUUUAAGUCGUGCAAUACAUUUUCCCAAUGGCUUUUCCUCUUGAGGCACAGGGAGGAACCCAACACUUUAAGAACUAAGGGAUUGCCUUUGGCAUACUCUACAACCCUCCGUGAGUGCCAGUUGAGAUUUGUAGGACAAUGAUUUUCUUUAAAAGCGAAGUUACAAAAAUGCUCGAAAGCCUCUUCAAAUUCCAAUCCAUUAACCCUAUGUAUUUUCUUCUCCUCCCCUCUAAAUUUUUCGAGGACUCCUUUAUCCCUGGUGGUUACAACAAUUCUACUUCCUGGACCAAAUUGAUCAAGCUCUCCAAUCAGACCCUCUAAUUGUCCAACUUCAUUCACAUCAUCGAGUACUAUCAACACCUUCAUACGCCAGACCCUCUCUUUAGUAAAAUGUGGAAUAUUGGCACCAGCUACUUCAAGUUUUUCGCUUAAUAUUGUGGAAAGCAUUUCCUUUUGGAGAUGUUCUAAUCCACCUCCUGUUUCAGAAUUUCUCCUAACAUCUGACAUAAAGCAGCUACCAUCAAACUCACCAGUGAAUUGAUCGAAAAUAGCUUCAGCAAGGGUGGUUUUGCCUAUACCGCCCAUGCCCCAAAUUCCAACAAUUUGGACAGUAUCCGACAAAUCCAUACACAAAAAUGGUUUAAUCUGCUCAAUUCGUGAAUUUAAUCCAACUAGGCCAUUGGAUGAGUCCGUUGCGACUGUUAUUUUUUCCAAAUUCUUCAAAACAUCUUCGACAAUUUUGUUUACAAGUUCCGCAUCGUGCCUAAUAUAAAGGUGCAAAGAUGCAAAAACAUUGAGUCAAAUCGGGCCAAGACAGAAACAGAGAUAAGAUGAAUUAGGAAAGAGAGUUACCUGAAUUUCGUGGAUUCGUGGCCAGCAAGACCGGAUGUUUCUCUCAGUGCAUCCCUCCACCUCUGAACCAUUUCUGGCUUCUCUUCGAAGUGUUGUUUCAGCUGAUCAAAACCGUGCUUAAAAAUUCCAGUUUGAUGCCGCACAUCGGAUGGACUUACUCCAUAGAAAACCGGAAUAAUGAUUUGGCGGUUUGUGUGCUUGCAUUCAAGAAUCUUGACAAGUUCAUUCAGGCACCAUUUUGAAGAACCGUAGUCCUUUGAGAAAAUGACCACCGAAAUUUUUGAACCUUGGAUUGCGUUCAAAAGGGCAUCUGAAAUCUCAUCUCCUCGCCUAAGCUUUUCAUCAUCCAUAAAUGUUUUGAUUUUCUUUUUGUCAUACAAAUCAUCAUAGAGAUGGCAAGUAAAGAUCCUACGAGUGUCCUCCCCUCUAAAAUUGAGGAAGACUUCAUAAAUGCAAGAAGAAGAAGAAGAAGAAGAAGCAGCCAUGAAGGAAAUUUUAGAAAAUUGGUGACAGAAACAGAGAAUUAAUCUUGAGAGUUGAGAGAGGAGAUGUAAGAAUGAACAUGUGUGAAGAUUCUUGCAAGCACACAGAAAAUAAUUGAAUGGCUGGAGCUUUCUUAGUUUCCUGGAAAUUUCCUGGAGCUUUCAUAUACAUGAUUUGUCAAGUCAAGAAACAUAAUCAUGAUAAUGGGGCAGACCAGGAAGAAAAGAAAACUUGAUUCAACCAAUAAAGGAAGGAAAAGCAAAGAAAGAAAAUUUGAAAGUAGAUUCAGAGAAUUAUAAAAAGCUAAAGGAAAUUGGAAUUUUGUACAAUUUCUCCAGCGAAAAUUAAGCAUAGAAUAAUCCUAAAAUUUAAACUCUAAUAUCUUAUAAUGUAUUGAUUAAAAAUAAUCCUAAGAGUUCCCAAUUGAAACUUUCAUAAGUAUUUUAAUUGUUUUGGAUAAACAAAUUGUACUAGGAUAAAAAUUUGGCAAAUUCAGAGGAUAAUGGAAAAUAGUUAUGCUUCAAUAGGCCAAAGAUUAGAGAACAAACAAGAAUUAGUUAUUGAUACACAAAAGAGAAACACUCCAAAAUUUCAAGCAAAAAUAGUUUCAUAUACCAUUUCGAUUUUGGAAGGGGUGAGGUUUUGAACUUCAAUAGUUUCCUCUAAAAUUAAAAGGCAGCAAUUAAACUAGAAAGAGCAAUGAAGACUUAUUGGUACUUUAUUGAAGGUAAACAUUAUGAAACUUUCAAUGUCAUUACCUCAUUGUUCAAUUUUUAUUGAGAUUUGUGUAAGCAUUUAGCUAAAUCUUACCUCCGCCUUUAAAUUCAUUAGUUUUGAUUAAUUAUGAGACCUGGGAGAUAUUAUAAUCGAACUAAAACUUAAAAUUUCAAUAUCAUUAUUCUUUAAAAAGAAAUUGAGAUUUCAGAGUAAUAUCACAUAGAAAAACUUGCCCACGGACGGUAAGCCAAAAGUCUAGUCAACCACACGCAUAAAGCUAACUAGAACAAGAGAACAGAGAAACGCGUGGGUCCCUAAAAGAAAAGGCGUGGGUCCCAAAAGUCUAGUCAACCAUACCGAUGAAAAUCACUGAUUAAGAAUAAUAUAUUAUGUGGUUGAAGAUUUCUUUUUAUCAAUCUUCUUUCUACCCAUUAAUUUUCCCACGACUUUCCGGUUUCAUUUCUUGAAUCUCCAUGGAUUAACUUUCAAUAAACCAUAAAAUAAACUAAGGAAUCAUUUUCUCGAACACAGCUAUGAUUUUAAUAAAUGGGCGGACCAUCUAGAAUAGUAUAUAUAAUUCUGUUUAAUUAAUAAGUUGAAAAAACCAUAAAGAGAAAUUCUAAUAUUAUGAGCUUGACACGAAUUCUUCACUAAUUCCAAAACAAGGAGCUGUUUUAUAAGAACUGUGGUUGGAUUAUUAAGUUUUACAAUUUGAAUAUAAAUAAGAAAAUAAAAUCAGUCGCGUCGAUGUUUUCGAUACAUUUCGAUGCUAACUUAAUUAAUUACUUUACUUCAACUUUAUUUCCUGACGGACACUAUAUGGUGGGUCCAAGAUGGGACCUACAAUAAUCAAUCCUAGAAUUUAGUAUGGUUACCAAAUAGCUAGUGUUAUUUUGUGUUUGGUGGAAGAGAUUGAAUAUUUAGUUUUAACAUAACCAUUCAACUAAUUAGAAAAUAAAUAAAGUUAAAUGAAAUGUUUAGAUAUCAAUUUAAAUAUUAAUAUCCGGGAUAUAAAUUAGUUAUAAUAUAGUUCAUUACAUAAAAUUGAUUAAAUUAAUAAUUACACAUGAACAUAGAUGUAUAUGCUUUCCAAUUUCCAAAGUGCUCAAAGCACUUUUCUCACCAAACUUUCCUCUGAAUUUCCCGUAGCUGACUCCAUUGUUUGCGUUUUGUGAAAUUUCUAGGAACUUUUUCUAUUUAGAAUAUUGUACAUUUUUCUUUUCAGCUGAGAUUAAUUUAACUUAUAGAAAAUCUUAUCCUUUUUUUAAUAUUAUUUAAAUAAAAUUUGUCUAUCUUUCAUUUUAUCAGUCUACUUUUUACCCAUUAAUUAAGACUUUUCGAUUUCUUUUUUUCCUGAGGUUUUCAGUGACUAUCUUUCAAUAAACCAUAAAAAUUAAUGAGUCAUUUAUCGAACAAUUAGAUGACCAUAUUUCAAAAUAUCAACUAGAAGUUGCCCUGAAAUAUUUAAUUAAUAGUUGAAGAAUUGUGAUUAGUGUGGGCAUCUACAUAAAAAUUAUAUUAAAACACCGCUAAAAGAUAAAAAUAAAAUAAAAUAGUACAAACAUACACCCAUAGGUUAAAACAAAGAAAAAACACGAACCAAUACACUAAAAUGUUUUAGCUGUAGUUAGUUUUCAGUUUCAUUACUUAAGUCCCACGUGCAUGUCACGUGACUGAGGUCAAAAAAUGAUUGUCAGAUUAAAGUUCAAAGUACGGAGCAGGGUAAUUAAGGAGUGGAGCUAUUGGCACCCCUCCAUUAUUCUUACAAAACCCCACUUUAAAUCAAAUUAUAAUUAAGAAUAAUUGAAAAUUAAACACUUAUAGAUUUCUUUACAACAUGUUUAGUGAUAAAAAAGCACCAGUCGGGCAUGUCCCCAUUUCUUACCCGGGGCCGAAUCUCCUCGGCCGAAUGGUAUGAGUAGACUCUUGGUGAUGUGUUCUAUGUGGAGCACGUAAAACAGACCAGGAACUAGUACCAACCAGAAACGAGUACUGAUCAGAAACAAGCAUGACCAGAAACGCAUACCGACUAGAGACUUGUGGGUCCCUAAAAGAAAAGGCAAGCACAUAAACGAAAAAGCCAUUACAUUUCUAUUUUACAUGUCAUUCCUAAUUUUUGUAACACGGUGUGGCAGCAUAUGCACAAUCAAAUGAGGCAAAAGGGAUUCGACUAUCGUGGCAGAACAUGGACGAGGAUGCGUGAUGAAUAAUUCCUUCGAUAAAACGAAAAACAAAUGCAGAGAAAAGAAUUUCUUAUAUGACAAGAAAUUAAAGUAAUGUGACGGAACAUGAUGAAGAAAUUGCAGAUCGAUCAAUUAUCCCCAUGGACUCCUAUAAAUUCAACCAAAAUAACAAUUCCAAUAUUACCAAAUUCUUGAGUUAAAUUUAUUCAAUGCUUUUUUUUUUUAGAGAAAUUUUUUCCAAUGCUACUUUCCCUUUUUUGGGGAAAUUAGAACUGCGGCAUGUAUAGAAGACAUUGAGGUAUAAAGCAACAUUAAUUUCAUGGGUUAUGCGUUAUACGCAUAAUAUAUUGUCAGUCCAAAUUCAACUAUACAAAGAGGCUUGAGAACUUAAAAUUAAGCACAAACUAAACAGACGAAGUAAAUACAUGAUUAUGCAACAUAACAUUAAUUCUCUUAAUUUAUAACUGUUUUUGCCACAUGAAUCUUGCACAGUUAAUCCUAAUUGAAGACUAAAAAAGAACAAUUGGAACAAGGUUUUGAAAUAGAAUGAUAUACAAUCGAUAUGAUCCAUUUCCAGUCGUCAACGCUAAUUAACUGCAGUUUCUAGACUCCUAAUUAUACUAGCCAUAAGAAACUGUUUAGAAAACUGGUGAUCAGAUUAGAUUUUGAAAAGAAAUAAUUUUCAUUUUCCCUUCGCUACCUUUUUUUUUUAAUUAUUUUUAUACCAAAGAAUUCUAUCAUGAAAAGAAUCAAUUUAAUCACCUUUUCCAGCAGCACAAUUUUUCUUUUAUAAAAUUUGACCACAGAGACAAAGAAGAAUUAUUCAUACCUUCAUCAGUAAGGAAAUACUUUUCAUUAUGGCUAGGGUGAGAAAAGGCUUUCCACAACACUUGUACUUUGUAUUCCUGUAAAUUUUCUUUAAAGUCAAUAAAAACCAUAAGUUCUUUACAAUAACCAUCUCUUUGAUAAAAAAGUGCCGUAUUCCUUUAGAAUUUAAAACCGGAAAAAUUGAAUCAGUGUCUUUGAAGAGACAUAAUGGUCGUAAUUCUUUAAAUGAGUUGGCUAUGGAAAUCCUUAUCCAAGAUUCUUUUACGCCAUAUUCUUUCGUAAACCAAAAUUCAUUUUGGAAUACUCUGUUGAGAAUGUCAAAUAAAACGGCAUUGAAGGAAGUUUUCAAAGGCAGAAUCCGCACUUGUCAAAGGGAUGAUCUGCACUUGUCAAAGACACGAUCCGCGUCGAAUGAAUCGACACAUUUCCUUUCGUAUUCGCAUAUGUAAUCUUUGAAAAAAUGUAGCUUCUGCAUCUAUAAAUAACGCUUAGUGUAUAAUGUUUUAUUCAAGAAAAGAAAACAAGUUUCUUCAUACUCGUCGUCCGAACAUACAGAGACCGUCUCUUAUAACUUCAGCCGAAUACUUAUGAUGAUGAUCAUUUGUGAUUUCAUCAGGCAAAGGGUUGAUGGUGAAAAAAUUUGUAUGUGUGAAGAAUUGAGCUGUGGAUAUAGGGGACUUAAGUGUAAUCGAAAGAGAGUUAUUAGGCCAUAGUGCAGAUUGCAUUCAGUUUAUGAGUCGAUAUGCAAAUAAUUUGUUGACGUGGCGAAAUUUGUUAUGGUCGUUACUAUUGUUUCUGGAAAUUUUCUAGAAACCUCAGCAUAAAAGGGGCUUUUGCAUAGCCUCUGGUGUGCGUGUGAUUUCUCUUUCGUUUCCUCAUCAAAUUCUGUAAUUCUUGCUUUGAUAAAAAGCUUGUAAUCUCUUCUGUAAUGUGUGAUCAGUGCGUAAUCAUUUUGAGCAAUAAGAGCUUGUGGGUUUUUCCUUCAAACAGUGUCGUUUUGGUCAGUUUGUUAGUUUGAUCUGUUGGUGGAAUUUUCUUUGGUUAUUUGUUCUCAAAUUUCAACCGUAUAUAAAGUUUGAACUCUAAUGGCUUAUAAUGUAUUGAUUAAGAAUAAUCCUAAGAGUUCCCGAUUGAAAUUUUUAAUGACUAUUUUUAUUGUUUUGGAUAUACAAAUUGCAUUAAGAAAAAAUAUUGUCAAAUUCAGAGGAUAACGGGAAAUAAUUAUGCUUCAAAAGGCCAGAGAUUAGAGAACAAAGAAGCAUUCAUUACUGAUAAACAAAAGAGAAACACUCCAAAAUUGCAAGCAAACUAGUUUCAUAUACUAUUUGGAUUUUGGAAGGGGUGAAGUUUUGAACUUCAGUUGUUCCUCUAAAAUCAAAAGCAUCAAUUAAGCGUUCUCAAUUAGAAAUAGCAAAGAAGACUUAUUGGUACCUUACUGAAGUUAACAUUGUGGCACGGUUGUUCAUAUGUAAUGGCUGCUCUGUUAUGCUAGCUUCUCUGUUUUUGCUUACAGUUUUGAACAUAAAUUCUUGCUCAAAUAACCCAUAAUUAAAUAACACUAAUAUGGCUCGUGAAGUCCCAUAAUAGCUAAUUACGCAACUUUCUCCUCCUCCUCAAUUAUGUCUUCCCCUGCUCGGACACUAACUUCAAAAUUCAAUGCCCCGAAAAACAACACAAGAAAUCUUUGAGUUAGUUCGUGACCAGUUUAUAUAUAGUAGCAAUUGAAAAAAGAAAAAGAAGAAAAAAGUUAAUUAUUAUUCAGACCUUCACUUAUUAGGAAGUUUGUUCUGCUAUUGGGUGAGAUCAAGCUCUCAGCAUAUACUUCCACAUGAUACUUUCUAACAUUUUCUUGAAAGCCAUCAAUCAUAAAAUCUUCAUACUUUUUUCCAUCCUUUGGAUCAAUAAGUACAAUUUUUUCAUCUAAAACAGACAAAAUAAAAUCACUGUCCUUCAUGGAACACAAUGGCUGCAAUGCCUGAACUGAAUUGGCUAAUGAAAUUUGAGUCCAGGAUUCUCUCAGCCCAUAUUCUUUCAUAAUCCAAAAUUCUUUUCUUUCUCGACAUGGAACAUAGUCUUCUUUUCUUUCUCGACACAUGUCUCUGUACUUUUCUCUCUCUACUGAUCCACACUUUUUCAUACUUCUAACUAUCAUUUUGUUUUUUUUUUUUUUUGAGUUGUGAUUUAUUCAAUUAUUUUGUAUUUUUAAUGACAAUUGUUUAAUAUUUAGUUAGUUUUGAUAUUGAUUAGUGAUUGAAAGUGUAUUUUAGAAGACUUCCGGUCUCUUGAAAAAAGGAAAAAUGGAGAAGAAGAAGAAGUGUUCUUGAUUUUUUUGUAGGCAUUAAAGUUAAACGGUUUGAAAUGAUAUUUUGUUUUUAUUUCACUCAUUAAUCUCAUUCAGGAUAAAAUUAUAAAUGCAAAUAAAUGGGGUUUCAUAAGUAUUUUUAAUAGUGUUAAAAGGUCUACUCACUAAAUAAACAUGUUUUACCCAAACCAAUCCGAUUAAUAAGUUAUUAGGUUGGGUUGAUCAGGUUAAAAAUCAAAAUUAAAAAUUAAAUAAAUAAAAGGCAUAAAAACUAUCUGUUACUUGAAAAUAAAAAGAAUUUCUAAUAGUUAGUUCUAAUGUCCCAUAUCCAAAACAUGCAUAUUGUGAGGUUUGCUGGUGAAUCAAACUCAUCAGAACCAAAUGAUGACGUUUUGGCAAUUGAAGGAGCACUUAAAAGACACGUGAAACGCACGUCUGUUGUCACUUAAGAUUAAAGCUUGAAACGGCAGUUCAACCAUGUCGUUUAAAGGAAGCUUAGAAGUGAUGCACGUGACAGAUGUGUGAAGCAGCUCAUCUCAGUUCGUUAAGUUUGUUAUGCUACGUGUAAGCAAUCAGUUCGAUCUGGGUUUAGCUGGUUAGUUGCUCUGUUAGUUAUAAGAGCAGGCUGAUGAAACGAUUUGGGUUAAGCUUGUGAAUUCAUAUCAGAGAGAGAGAGAUUUCAGUGAAAGGGUUAAGAGUUCUCUGAAAUCUUGUAAACCAUUCUCUGUAAGAAAGAUCCUCCAUUGUUGAAUAAUAAAAGCUCUGCAGAAAACUUUUCCUGUGGAUGUAGAUUGUACCAAUUUGGUACAACUGAACCACGUAAUUGAUUCUUGUGUUGUCUGUGAUUUGUUUGUUUCUUGAUUCUCUAUUCUUUCUAGUUCUUGGGUACAUUGUUUUCACUUGGCUAGAUUCAUUCCUCAAUCUGUGCAUCUUGUAUAGUUCUUUAUCAAAGGUCCUGGGAAGUGUUUUAUUUGUCUUGCAUGUUAUAUAGCAAAUUAAAACACUACACAUAUUAAAUAAUAUAUUAUAAGUUAGAAAUACAAUAUCUAAAGAAAGAAUUAAUGAAAUAACAUAUUCUUGUUGAGAAUUAAGAGUGUGAUUUUAAUUUUGAUAUUGGAGUCUAAAGCAAUAGAUAGUACAAUGAAAUCAUGAAUGCUACGUUUAAAUAAUCUCUUUUAUAAAAUAAUAAAAAGAGGUUAAAAAUUAGGUUAACAUUUAGGGUUUAGCAGUUAAGGAUGAAUAUAUUAUUAUUGUUGUUGUUGUUAUUAUUAUAAUAAUAAUUAUUAUAAUAAUAAUUAUUAUUUAUAUGUUAAUUAAUUCAAUCCAACUUAAUUAUUAAUGAAUUUGAAAAAAUUGACCCAAUUAAUCCACAAUAAUUCAUUCAACUCGUCUAAAUUAGAUUAAGUUGAACUUAAUUUGCUACCCCACAUUGAGCAACAAACCUCAACGUCAUUCUACGAGCUCUUUGAUUGUUUAUAAAAUUGAUUUAGAGUACAUAAAGUGUAUCGACAAUGAAAGUGCAAAACAAAUUAUUGUACAUAUUAAAAUGUGCAAAAACAAUGAAUUAUAUGUACAAACGAGUGCAAACACAUUUUUCAAUAAGAAGUUGGAAGAUAUUUAUGCAUGAAAAAGCCUACGUUUGUAGUUAUUCUAAAUUUUAAAAACAAAAUUUACAUUUAGAUUCCUAAAAUUUACAUAUAAGUAUAAAAGUUUCAAAUAUUGUCUAUUAUUUUUUUAACAUGCCUAUUCCUUGUGGAUAAUUUUGUCUCAUCACUAAUGUUGUUUCUUGCUUACAAAAACCAAAAGCCACCUCCUUUUUGCAAUUUUUAUAGCGUCUCAAAAUAGACAAUAGGGGGAUUUUGAAUUUUUUAAGUCUCAAUAUAGUCUCUAAUCUUGUGAGAAAUAUUUUCUUUCAAUAAUUUGGAGGUAAACAUAACAUAACUUUUUGGACUAAAGCCUAACUCUGCUAAUAAGUAAUUGGUGGUAUCCUUUUCAAGACUUGAGUCUUUAGAUUCGAGUUUUAUAUAGUGUGCAUGUGUAUUUAAUUAAUAUUUUUUUUCAAAAAAAAUUACAUCAAAUACUAAUAUUCAUGACAUAAUUUAGUUCAUAAUUUUUUUAAAUACAUCGAAAAAUAUAAUUUUUUAACAACUUAAAGGCAUGACAAAUUUCAAGAUAUAAAUAUCAGUCAAAAUAAGUGAAAGAAAUAAUGGUGUCAAUUCUAAUUUCUUAACUAAAUUAAUUACUGCAUGAGCCCCGAAUAUGACACGAGAGUUUGAUGGGCUAACUUGGCACAAGAACGUGAAUAGUUAACUCAUUUAAGAAAUAAUUCAACAAAAAAUAUAAUUGAUAAGAAUGCAAUAUUGAAAUGAAUUUUUUACGAAACAUUGAAUUAAUGAUUAUUAAGCAAGAACAAUAAAAAAAUAAAAUAAAAAUAAAGAUUAACCAUUGAUAAGCUUCAACAAGAACUUAACACAACCCUCAAUCCUAAUUCAAAUUAUAAAUGUCAUUCAUAUAUUCAUUAUAAAUCAAUAACAAAGGUUAUAAAUGUUUAGAAAUUCUAGAGGGAAGGAAGCUAUCGCCGGGGAAUCAACAACUAAAAUUGAUGUAAUUGUGGCACGAGAUGGAAUAUGGAAACUACACCAUAAUUUUAAAUGCCGCCAUAGACAUUGACUUAUCUACAAUAACAAUGAUCUAAUUAAAAUAAAAAUAGAGUUUAUGGGCAUUUAUUAUUUUGACAUUCCUCAUUUGCAAAUAGGGAUACAAUUAUAAUUUAUUUAGUCAAAGCAAACAGUAAUUUUCUUCAUUAUAGGAGUGAAGUAAAAACAUUUAGAUUUUAAUGUAUGUAAGGAAAAAUUUAUCUUUAAAAAUACUUUCUUAAUGUGUGUAUGCAUAUUGAAAUACUCAAACCAAUUUUGGUUAUAUAUAAUUAAACAAAUUUUAAAAUAUGAAAAAUAUAAUGUAGUUAUAGUGGAUAAACAAUAAGUGAGCACAAUAUAAUUAAUCAAAUAUUGUGCUAUCAAAAGUUAAUUUUAGAAAUUCCAAAUCCAAUAGCUAACACAAUUCUUUAAAGAAAAAAAAAAGGUUGACACAAUUAAUAAAAUUAGCGACAUGAAUUUCACGCCAUUGAUAAUCAGCAAUUAGUAUUACUUUCUAAACUUGCUUCAACUGGUCGUUGAUGUCCGGGUCACCAAAAGUAUAAGCGAUAAUAAGGGGCAUUGGGCAAGAGUGAUGAAUGUUUAGUGGGUGCAUUUGAUUGAUAGAUAUAUAAAGGGCCGAAACUUGAGAUUAUAUUACUUUUACAAAUUUUAAUCCAAUCACAUAUUUAAUGAAAACAAAAUGAGUUAGGAUACUUUAUUUAAAAUACACAUUUUAAUAAGGCUUCAUUUAAUUAAAUAAAAUUAUAAAAGUAAAAUAUAUUUUAGAUAUUUUAAUAUUUAAGAAAAAAUUUUCAAUCUUUACUUUCAGAAGCUCAAAUUUUUAAUUUUUAGUUGUAGAGACAAAAUAUCUUAUUUAAUGUUUAAAAGUUCUGCUAAAAACAAUCAAAUAACUACAAAAAUUUUAAUAAGAGCAUAUAAAAUUAAAUAAGCAUUUAUUAAUAAUCACUUUAGUGUACUUAUCUAAUAACAAUAAGUGUUUAUUUAAUCUAAUAAGUUUUUAUUUAAUCUAAUGAGCUCUUUUUAAUUUUUUUUUAGUAGAGCUUUUGAAAAUUAAAUAAACUAUUUUGUCUCUAUUAAGAAAAACUUAAAAUUUAGGUUUUUGUAAGUAAAUGUUUAAAUUUUUUUUAAAAAUAUUAAAAUAUUAAAAUAUCUUUUCUUUAUUUCAUAAUCUUAUUUCAUUCUUCACAACAUAACUUUAAAUAACUUACCUAUUAAAAUAAUUUCACAAUUUCUAAUAAAAACUCCGAUUAACAAUCAAGCAAUAAUUUUUUUUUUUUUUUUGUAAAAAUUCUAUUUGUAAAAACUCUAAUAAUAAAAAUUCUACUUAAAUAAAUUUUAUUUGAAAAGGUAUACUAAACGAACCUAAGAUAAAAACAAAAAUUUUUAGAUCCAGACAAUUAAGCUUAAAACAAUUUCAAAUGAAUUUUAGACUAAUCAAAGUACAAUACGUACCAAGUUUGGUAAUUUAUUGACAUCUUCUUAUAUACCUUCGAUCAAGUCGAUUCUCACUUGACGACUAAUUGGUAGUUUGGUACAUCACCGUUGUUCCCUAUACUCGCAUGCAUCCGAUCACAAAUCUCACUCCAAUUGUUGUCUUUCUUCGGCGUUUUAGCGCAUCCUUCUUGAAUUUCUCGCAUUUCGUUCCCUUACAAGUCUCCGGUCAGGUCAGUUCACUUGACGAUUAAUUCGGCAAAUCUUGAAUCUCUUCUCUAUCCCUCUCGUUUUCUCGUGUCUCCUUUCAGUUAAAGCGAUUGAAUCAAUUUUAUCGCAGUCUAAGAGAAAUUAAGUAAUGCUCUUGGAUUUAAAAUUUUUUUGCUUUCGACUUUAGAUCUCGAAAGUCAAACUCUUCUACGAAUCCAUAGAUUCUCAAUGUUUAUAAUCUUAUUUGUGUUUGACCAGGUAACUGGAUCGUGAAAUUCGUCGUUUUGUAUCAAUUCAAGCUUUCGCGAGCUCAUGGAAUCACCUGGUGAGUUGUGGUGAAACGUUACCGUUUCAAUUUUCGCUUAAUUCUUUAUUGCAUAUUUUUUUCUCUAAUAUUUCAGUUUAAUUAGAAAAGAAAGAGGACCCAAAAAGAGAGAGAGAGAGAGAGACUCUACCAUACUCAAUUCCUUGCUCAUUCUGAUUUGGCCUGAAUGUUGGCAUUGACUAUUAUUUGUUUUCAUUUCGAUUUAAUUCUCAUUUAGACAGUCUUUACUAACGGUCAAUAAUAGUUUAAGGAAAAUGAUAAUAGGGAUUCUGCAAUAAUCUUUCUGCAUUGUUCAAGUUAGUAGACAAUGAAUAGGAUGUUUACGUUUACCUCAUUUUGAACCCCGAGGGCUUAGUUGAGUAGUUGAUUGAUUCAAUCUUGCAAUGUGUUCCCACAAGGUUUUGAGUUUGAUUCCUAAUUAUGUGGACCUUAGUUUCGAAUUUGAGUUUGUUAGGUGGGUUGAUGGGGUUUUUGGGUAUUAAAAAGGGAGAAGAAAAAAGUUGCUUGCUUCAUUUUGUACAAACCUGUUGACUUUUUAUUUUUUUCUUUUUAUUUUUGUACUAUUUUGUUUUACAGUUGGUGGUUCAAGACAGACAUCUGUUAUUGUUGUAACUUUGGAUACUGGUGAAGUAUAUAUUGUAACCAGCUUGUAUUCUAGGACUGACACUCAAGUGAUAUAUAUUGAUCCAACUACUGGUGCACUUCGCUACCAUGGGAAAUGGGGCUAUGAUGUUUUUGGAUCUGAAAAUGAAGCAGUAGAUUACAUAACAAAUGGAUCACGAUGGAUGUGCAAGAGUACAACUUUUGCCAAGGCGAUAUUGGGUUAUACUGCCCUGGGAAGCUUUGGGCUGCUUCUUGUUGCCACAAGGUUAACUGCCAGCAUUCCAAAUCUUCCUGGUGGAGGAACUGUAUGCACGGUUACAGAGAGCCAAUGGAUCAAAAUUCCACUUCAAAAUCCUCAACCCCAGGGUAAAGGAGAAGUAAAGAAUGUUCAAGAGUUGCCUGAUCUUGACAUUGAUGGGAAGCACUACUUUUGUGAGACAAGAGAUAUCACUCGACCUUUCCCCAGCCGCAUGCCUUUGCAAAAUCCUGACGAGGAAUUUGUUUGGAAUGAAUGGCUUUCGAUGCCUUUUAAAAGCAUUGGUUUACCUCAGCAUUGUGUCAUUCUUCUGCAGGUUUUGCUUCAUACUCGGUAUCUUCAAAAUUUAUGCUCAUUAAACUUCUUUCAUUCCCCACCCUCUCACUAUCCCUCCACCUAAUUUUGUUUCCAAAAGUUUGUUUGAUAGUCUAUUGCCACUAUAUGUAAAUGUAUCAUUUCCAUUCUGAGCAUGAUAUUUUAUUCAUCAUCACUUGUUAUUCUAAUCUUUAGAUGAAAGAAUAUUUCGUAUUAACAUUUUUCAUGGGCCAGUACCUAUUUUAUGGUCCAUUGUAGAUACUAAAAUGACCAACUUUAUUUCUUGGUCAUAAAAAGUUGCGACAGAAAUUUUAAACAUGUGAAUAUUUAAAUCUGAUAAUUCAUUAAAGAUUUCAACCUAAUAGAUUGAAAACUUAGAUUCAUUCCAUGAAUGAAAGAUAAUAAAGCAUCAGCCGAUGGAAUAUGGGAAAUAGAAACACUUUCCCUUCUAUUAAGAAGAGCCUGCUUCAGAUGAUCCUCAUUUUCUUCAUCCACAGGCCAACCUAGAACAUACCACACCAAGGUAAGAAAGAAAAGGGGUAGCAGGAUUGCCUAGUUUGACAAUUAGCAAAGCCCCAAAUGUUCCUCUUUUACUUUUCUUUUAGAAAGGUAGACAUGUUUGACAGAUUUGGGACAUUGCAUCAUCCCUUUCUGCUGCACAUGGUUGCAAUGUUUUACUUCUCACGUGAAAGCCUAGAAAUCCCAAUCCAAUAAUAAAAGGCCAUUUUAGAGUCAAUGUACAAAAACUUCCUUCCUUGUCUCUAUAUCCUCUUUUACAAUCCAUUCUUAGUUGAAUUGAGAUUAUGCUACAGCUGCUUCUUCAAGUUAACAUUGUUAUGCAAUUCAAUGGUGAUUUACGUGUGUACUUGUCCUAAGCAUGUGAUUUGAAAAUAAUAUGUUAAUAUUGUUUUCACUGGAUAUUAAUGUAUAGGGAUUUGCAGAAUGUCGAAAUUUUGGAAGAUCAGGUCAGCUAGAAGGGGUUGUUGCUCUUAUAGCUCGUCGUAGUAGGCUGCAUCCUGGUACUCGAUACUUGGCUAGGGGGAUUAAUUCUUGUUUUAGUACAGGUAAGAUAAUCUUUAACAUCUCCAGACCUGGAAAUUACAUUUUUGUUGUUGAGAUUCACUUGGUUCUUCUAUACAAUCAAAAAAAUUAAGGAUUUAGUUUUUUUUUUUUUUAAACGGAAUUUUCUUUUCCUUUCAGUACUCUUUGCAUUCUGUGUAUGCUGUUUAUUCUGAUUGUCAUUGAUCUCAUGCCUUUACAAGGAAACAGGUAAUAGUUUCAGUGGUAAAUUCAAGUGGAAUUGGUUUUGAUUCUGUUGUUUAGAAAGAUGGAUUGUAGAACUACAGAACAUUAAUCGUGCCACCUCAUGGCUCAUGCAUGCUUUUGGAGUAUUCUUUACCUGUAGAAUUUUUGUUUUUGUAGUUGACUUGGAAUAUAACUUUACCAUUUUUUUCAAAUAAUAAGAAUCAAUGAGUCUCAUCAAUAUUAAUCAAUAAUGAGCUAAAGAUAUAUAACUUGUGUCUCAGAACUAUAUAUGAUAUGCUUGUGAAGGUGUAUUAUUUUAAGUAGAGAUACCAAAUGCUACAGGGAGAAGCAAAAAAGAACAUUCUCCAGUGAAAACCUUCUGACAGAUUACAUUUUUGGGAUAAAAAAGAAACAUUGAGAUCAUCAGCCACACUUUUUCUUCUUGUACUGUUUAAUUAGUUUAGAGGCCUUUUAGUUGGUUUUGCUUGCCUGGAGGUGUCAUACAGUUCACUUUUUGAAUACCCUGGUUUUCUACAGAUUAGAACUUGGUUUCCUUUCACUCCACAGCUUUUGCUUUCCUACAUCACGUCCUUUGGGAUAAUUGAAUAAUGAAUGAAUGAAAACAAUCAAAUAAUUUCUGACAAUUAGUUAAUAACUUUUAUUUUGUAUGACCCUUUUGAUAUGUGUGGUCCUUUAAUUUACGGUUGAAAUAUAAAUAUGAAAAAAGUCUGCCAAUUAGUUUUACAAAUGACUUUUGUGCCAUAGAAUAUAUAUAUUUUUUUUUUGCCGAAAAACAAAACAAAUUCAUAAACAACAUUGUAUUUCACCAAUUAACAGUGCAAGUGUCAUUAUAGUUUCCACAUAUUAGUUCUGUUUUCGUUAGUUUCAUUUUCAUUCUGUUAUGUAACUGAUGUUUCAUUGCUAUAAAAUUAAUUGUCUGUUUCUCUUCACAACUGUUAUUUUGAAUGAUUUUUUCUGAAUUUUAUAAAGAAUUUGUAUAUGACAGGAAAUGAAGCAGAGUGCGAGCAACUUGUAUGGAUUCCUAAAAGGUCUGGUCAGAGUGUUCCUUUCAAUGCAUACAUCUGGCGGCGAGGGACUAUUCCAAUAUGGUGGGGUGCAGAAUUAAAGCUUACUGCUGCUGAAGCAGAAAUUUAUGUUGCAGAUCGGGAUCCUUAUAAAGGAAGUCUGAAGUAUUAUCAGAGGUUGAGUAAUCGAUAUGAUGCUCGAAACUUUGACUUAGCUGUUGGGGAAAAUCAGAAGAAAAAGCCUUUUAUUCCAAUUGUAUGCAUUAACUUGCUUAGGAAUGCGGAAGGGAAAUCAGAAUCUAUUUUAGUUCAGCAUUUUGAGGAAUCUUUGAACUAUGUCAGAUCAACUGGAAAACUUCCUUAUACUCGAAUAAUUUUAAUAAAUUAUGACUGGCAUGCCAGUACAAAAUUAAAAGGUGAACAACUUACAAUUGAAGGAUUAUGGAAGCAUCUAAAAGCACCCACUCAGGCCGUAGGCAUUUCUGAAGGGGACUAUUUGCCAUCACGGCAACGACUUAAUGAUUGCCGAGGUGAAGUCAUCUGCAAUGGUGACUUUGUGGGUGCCUUUUGCUUAAGAUCCCAUCAGAAUGGAGUGAUACGCUUUAACUGUGCAGACUCUCUUGAUCGGACCAAUGCUGCUAGUUAUUUUGGUGCUCUGCAAGUAUUUGUGGAGCAAUGUAGGCGGCUUGGGUUCUCCCUUGACAGUGAUUUUGCAUAUGGCUAUCAGUCAGCUAAUAACUAUGGUGGAUAUACUGCUCCUUUGCCACGAGGAUGGGAGAAACGAGCUGAUGCAGUGACAGGAAAAACAUAUUAUAUCGAUCACAACACUAGGACCACAACAUGGAUUCAUCCAUGCCCAGACAAACCUUGGAAGAGAUUUGAUAUGACAUUUGAGGAGUUCAAGCAAUCAACAAUUUUAUCACCAGUGUCUCAGCUAGCAGAUCUUUUUCUGCUUUCUGGUGAUAUCCAUGCAACCCUUUAUACUGGUUCAAAAGCAAUGCAUAGCCAAAUUCUUAAUAUAUUCAAUGAAGAACCAGGAAAGUUCAAACAAUUUUCUGCAGCACAAAAUAUGAAAAUUACCCUGCAGAGAAGAUACAAAAAUGCAGUUGUCGAUAGCUCUCGUCAGAAACAGCUGGAGAUGUUUCUUGGAUUGAGGCUUUUCAAGCAUCUUCCAUCUGUUUCAGUUCAACCUCUACAUGUAUGAUACUGUAGAACUUCAGAUUACCUAUUCAUACAAUCUGAGUUCAAUGAUUAUCAAUUUUCAUGAGGGAUGGAGACAAUAUUACACUAGCUACUUGUUUCUAACCUAAGCAUCCCUAACUUCUGCACAUAAAUAAAUGAUGCGCAAAGCAUACCAUAGCUAUAUCAAUGCCCAUUUCCUGUUUGAUGUUGACCAAUAAUGUUUGGAAGUUAGCUAUUGCAUGGUAAGAUGAUUUGAAGCUUCAUUUAAAGCUUCUAAGCCAGAGCUUCUAAGUCAUCUGGCUUAGAGAAUUUAAAUGUCCUCCAAAAGUCUGGAAUCACUGUUGCAUCUCAGCCUGAUUGAUAUUUGUUAUUGUUAACUUGGAAAUAUUUUGUUAAUCUUUCGGAUUGAACAACGUCGUGCUAUGAUCAUUAUUCAAGAAAUGACCUCAAGAACUUGUUGCAGUUGAGUGAUUUUUUGGUAAUGAUGAAAAUUAUUCAUGUUUAGGAACAGCUCUUUAGGGGAAAAGCAUAUAUGGGCUGGCUGGCCCUUUUUGGUGUAUUUGAUGAACCAUUUCAUAUCAUGCUGGUAACUGCAGGUUCUUUCUCGACCAUCUGGUUUCUUUCUCAAGCCAGUUCCCAACAUGUUCCCAAGUUCUGAUGGUGGAGCUAGUCUUCUAAGCUUCAAAAGAAAAGACAUGAUCUGGGUAUGGGUUGCAGCUAAACUUAGUCCUUUGUAGCAUUCCUAAUUCUCUGAUUGUCUUUUCUUUGUAGCAUUCUUAAUUCUCUGAUUGUCUUUUCUGUCCUUAAUGGAAUUCAUGCAUUUUUGGUUCUUUAGGUAUGUCCACAAGGCACAGAUGUGGUUGAACUUUUCAUCUACCUUGGUGAACCUUGUCAUGUCUGUCAGCUUCUUCUCACCAUAUCCCAUGGUGCAGAUGAUUCAACAUAUCCAGCAACAGUUGAUGUGAGAACAGGACGCCACUUAGAUGGGCUUAAACUGAUUUUGGAGGUUUGUAUUGGUUCUAUUGUACACCUUGCUUACAAAUUUUUUAUUUUUAAUUUUUAAUUUUGUAUGAUAUGCUCUUUGUUGGUAAAUUUCAUUUGACUUAGAAGAGAUAGUUUUAUCCCAACAGUGGGAUACAUCAUUGAGAUGCAUGGCAGAGUGAAUAUAGUAGACAAAAUCAUUGAGACCCAUGGUGGUGUGAACAUAGUAAACUUUGUCAAACACAGCUAAGAUGAGCAAAUUGUUUCAUUAGCCUUUAUCUUAUCUGCUGUGAUGAUUCAAAUUAAUGCUGUUUGGUAGGUUGCAAAAAAACGAAAUGAGCUGACUGUUCGUAUUAUUUAGUCAGAUCUCUAGCAAUAAGUUGAAGUUCAUUGUCACAUGGGUUGGGAGUAUCGUGGGCUGUGAGUAGUAGAAUGGAUUUAUGGAGUUGAUACAAGUGCCCACAAUCUCUCAUGUCAUUCUAGGAUUAAAUGGAUUGCACAUUACUGUAAAAAUGGAGGUUAAAUUUAUAUAAUUCGGAUUGAUUGUAAAAUGGAAGACAGAGAUGAGUUAGAAAAAGAAUGACCCGUGUCCUUUUUGAGCUGUUUCUAAAUGUCCCUGGUGUGCCUCAUGCUUAACACGUGCCUUUCCAAAUAAUUUUGCUUAACCUGUGCUUGUCUACUUCUUGUGCUAUUCUGUGCCUGGUCCUGAGCUGUAUUGGUAGAUUGACAUCCAGCUUGAACUUUUAGGUAUAUCUUUUGUACAUAAAUUCUGAAUACCCAUGGACUUAGCGUGAUAUAAAGUCAAGGAUCCAUUUAGCUGAGUCCUUCAAGUUUUGUUAGUAUGUCUUCGGAUUAUAAAUAUGUAACAAAAUGAGGUGUAGAAUACAUUUAAAAAGAAAAGGAUAAAAAAACAAAAGAAAUGAAAAGAGGUGUUUAGAAGUAAUAGCUAAACUAGAUACACUCUCACUAAUUAGCGAUUCUGAUGAACAGUGCCCAUAGCUUCUUUUAUACCUUGAAGUUGCAGAAAUUGAUUCUUGGUGAAUUAAGUCACUUACAGACAUAACUUUUUCUUCCAUCUAAUUUUUAUUAGGUUAGAUAGGAGAAGACUUGUUUCAGGGUGUCCUGACCCUAGUAUUAGUUUUCUUGUCAGAUUUUUCAUGAAAAUUUACAAUGCACGUGACAUACAACUUCUAGUAAUCCUAGGACUUUGUUCACAGGGUGCUUCUAUUCCUCGUUGUGGAAAUGGGACAAACCUUUUGAUACCUUUACCAGGAUCAGUUAGUGCUGAGGAUAUGGCUAUUACUGGAGCUGGUGCACGACUUCAUGAUCAAGAUGCACCAACCCUUCCACUGUUGUAUGAUUUUGAAGAAUUAGAGGGAGAAUUGGAUUUUCUUACUCGUUUUGUGGCAGUUACCUUUUAUCCUGCUAUUUCUGGAACAAGUUCCAUGACUCUUGGUGAGGUAGAAAAUAUUUUCAUAAAAUGUUAAUUGAUUUAUCUACGCACUUUAUUCUUAAAUUAGUAUUUUAGACCAUGAGCUUUGUGGAGUGGGUUUGCUGUAACUGCUGCUGGUGACAACAUAAUUGUUAAUAUUAUUACAGAUAGAGAUUCUUGGAGUUUCUCUUCCAUGGAGGGGGGUAUUCAAUAAUGAAGGCCCUGGUGCUAGAUUAAUUGAGCUUGGCAAAAAGUUUCAGAAGGAAACCGAUCCAUUUUUGUCAAAUUCAGUUACAAAUACGGUUCUGUUUUCCAAUGAAAAUGUGUCAACAUCAAUGCAAACAGAAGCUGCUUCCAAUCCUUGGGUUGACCUGUUGUCUGGAGGGGACACAUUUUCUGAUCCUCUUUCAGAGCCGUUUUCUAACCCUCUUUCUGAGCCGUUCUCUGAUCCUCUUUCUGAGUCGUUCUCUGAUCCUCUUUCUGAGCCAGUGACAAGAAAUGUUGCAUCUGGAGGGGCUGAUUUGCUUGAUUUCUUGGACCAGCCUAUAGUUGAAGAUCAUGGUGUGGAAACUUAUAAAAGAUCUUCAACACAGGAUGGCUGUUCUCUGGCUAGUGGUGCCCAGCAGUACAUAAGCUGUCUAAAAUCCCUUGCAGGGCCACGCGAGGUAUAGUACUGCUCUCUUGUGUUUUUUGCAGCUCUACAUCUUAGUAACCUCAUCUUUUUAAUGGAGUAAAUUCUAGAAGUUCAACAAAUUUUGCUUUGCUAAAUGUAUAACUUAUUAAUCAGAGUCCUGUUAUUAUGGUUUGACACUACUGACAUAUUGUGUUGGUAAUUUAUUUGUACGUCCCUUGGUUGAAUUAUUUGCUGUCUCCAUGCCAUUCGAUAUGGUGCUACUUGGUUUUUGAUCAUCCAUGACACUAUAUAUAUAUAUAUGUAAAGGAUGAAUUGAUUGUUUUGGCUUGUAUUCUCACAUUUUAUGAUUGAUCGAUGGAAAGGUCUUCCUGUAUUAAAUUCAACCUCACAAGCAUAAGAUUGACAAAUUCUGGGCAAAUUUUCAGGAAAAGAAACUAGACUUCAUGGAAGCAAUGAAGCUUGAAAUUGAACGUCUGCAGCUGAAUCUUUCUGCAGCUGAAAGGGAUAGAGCUUUAUUGUCAAUUGGAACUGAUCCUGCCUCUAUAAAUCCAAAUGUAUUGCUUGAUGAAUCUUACAUGGGAAGACUGUGUCGAGUAGCAAACACUCUUGCAUUACUUGGCCAAGCUUCCCUAGAAGACAAAAUUGUUGGUGCAAUUGGCCUUGAGAAUAGUGAUGAUAGUGUUUUAGACUUCUGGAAUAUUACUAGAAUCGGAGAGAGUUGUUCUGGUGGUGGGUGCGAGGUUCGUGCCGAAACUAAGGUGCCUGCUCUUGCUUCCUCAACUGCAACAUCUGUUGGAUCUUCACAAUCCCCUUUGUUGUGUUCUCAAUGUGAAAGAAAAGUUUGCAAAGUUUGUUGUGCAGGAAGAGGAGCUCUACUGUUUUCAAAUUAUAAAUCAAGGGAUGUGACCAACUACAAUGGCUUCUCAAGUCAGAGUGGAUCAAGCCAUGGAAGCCAAGUUGAUGUAUCUACCAGUCGUUCACUAACACUGGAUGGCGUUAUCUGUAAACACUGCUGCCAUGAGAUUGUGCUUGAUGCAUUGAUGUUGGACUAUGUUAGGGUCUUGAUUAGCUUGCGAAGAAGUUCCCGUGCAGACAACGCAGCAUACAAUGCUUUGAAUGAGGUUGUUGGAUCCUGCUUAAAGGAUAGUCUUUCUGAGAGGAUUCAGUCUUCCGAUAACGUGCAAGCAGCUGAAGUCCUUCACCAAUUAUGUGGUGGACAGGAAGCACUUGCUGAAUUUCCAUUUGCUAGCUUUUUGCACUCGGUAUGUUCUUGGUUUGUAUUCAGUUCUCAUCAUAUUAUGUUUUCCUUUUAAAUUUCUUUUCUUGAUUAAAAUUUUUAGAAAUAUGUUUUAGCAUUUAUUCUUAUGAUAUAUGCCCAGAACAUUCAUCCCACUUAUCCAUGAGAAUCCUUGUCUGGUUUGAUUUUCAAUUGAGACAUUUUUGGGAACCCUGAGCAGGUUCCAUAUGCUAAUAAUCUUUGAGGUAAGGUGUUGUAGGAUGCCUUGAGAAGCUAAAAACCUAUUACAAGUAAAAGCUCUUGCAUUGUUUUGUGCAAUCUGUGUGCGAGCAAGUCAUGUCUCUAAUAAUUUCAUAGUUUGCUUGAUUGGAAUUUUUUAUCUUGAUAUGGAUUGUUUAUUCUAGAUUCCUUGGUGCCACUGUAGGUUGAAACAGCAAAAGAUUCAGCACCGAUUUUGUCACUGCUUGCUCCAUUAAAUUCUGGAUCAAGGCACUCAUAUUGGAGAGCUCCACCUAGUAUUACUUCUGUUGAAUUUGUUAUUGUUCUCGGUUCUGUUUCUGAUGUCAGUGGGGUUAUCUUGCUUGUUAGUCCUUGCGGCUAUUCUGUGGCUGACACUCCGAUGGUAAGUGCCAUAUUUAUUCCCUUAUUUCCUUGUUGUUCAAUAAAUUUGGUGAUAAGCCAAGUGGCCUUAAUAAUGAAGCCCAGUACCAGGGGUGGUGGGUAAUAGAUAUUCAACUUGUGAAUAUUCCUAAGCAAACACUGAAUCAACAUAUACCUCGGCAAAAGUUCUCUAUGCUAUGAUAAUGGAAGUCAUAUUUUGAAAUGAUUAAAAGAGUCCCUGUGUAGUGCCAUUUCCAACGAAAUUGCAGCUGGGGGUUUAGUUUCAUGUAGGUUAGUUUCCGAUAAUAAACUUUCCAUUUCAUUAAUUGCUGAUGAAAAAACCAAGUAAGAACAGUUUUGUUGCUCAUCAUUUUUGUAUAUUUUGGUAAACUGUAAUUUUAAAUUCUCAACGAUCUUCCCUUUGUAGGUAAGAAGAUGGUCCACUCACUUGAUAUUUAUGAUUGUAGAUCAGGUUUCUAUUGGUUUGCCUUUAUCAUUUGGAACCCAUGUUUGAUAUUAACAGAGAUCACAUCAAUAAUAUCCUAUUUGGGUAGAUGUGGGUGAGGAUUUAAAAUCAAAUUUGAAAUUGAGGGGAAAGAAGAGAAAAGGAACCACAAUAAUUAAACAAAAUAAUAGGAACUAUUCUGAUGAGUUUUAAUCUCGAGAGGAACAAUUUUCAAAUGCACUGCUAGAGAAAUUGUAGCUUUUUGUCAUUAGUUAAAAGGAAAAAGAAUAAGAACUAUCCGGCCCUUUCCUUCAUGAAUGUGUGUUGAGGUUGCUGUAUUAUUUAGUCAGUAUUUGUAAUUUUCUUCCCUGCAGUGCUCUCUGCCUCCUGAAUUUGCUUCCUAUUGCUGUUACAGGUGCAAAUCUGGGCAAGCAAUAAGAUACACCGGGAGGAAAGGUCAUCAAUGGGAAAAUGGGAUGUCCAAUCCCUCACCACAUCUUCUUCAGAUUUGUAUGGUCCAGAAAAGUCUGCUAGUGUUGAAAAAUUACCUAGGCAUGUAAAAUUUACGUUUAAGAAUCCUGUUAGGUGCCGCAUUAUUUGGAUCACAUUACGUCUUCAGAGACCUGGUUCGGCUUCAGUUAAUUUCGGGAAGGACCUCAGUCUUUUGUCUCUUGAUGAAGAUGAAAACCCCUUUGCACAAGUAGACAGACGUGCUUCAUUUGGAGGAGCAGUUGAAAAUGAACCAUGUAUUCAUGCCAAAAGAAUUCUUGUAGUCGGAAGCCCAGUAAAAAGGGAGGGGCUUACCACAUCACAGAGCUCUGAGCAGCUAAGUAUUAGAAACUGGUUGGAUAGAGCUCCACAAAUGAGUAGAUUCAAGGUAUUAGUUGCUUUCACUCUUUGUUCAUUCAUAAUUCCAGCUUUCUGCUUCACUGAUAAACCUCUUUUUUCUCUUCAGGUCCCAAUUGAGGCCGAGAGAUUGAUGGACUACGAUCUCGUCUUGGAACAGUAUCUACCUCCAGUGUCACCUUCACUUGCUGGAUUCCGUCUAGACGCUUUCAGUGCAAUAAAACCUAGGGUUACCCAUUCACCUUCCUCAGAUUCAGAUAUCUGGGACAAAUCAGUAACAUUUUUAGAAGAUAGGUACAUCUCUCAAGCUGUGUUGUAUUUACAAGUAUCCGCACUCCAGGAACCACAUAACAUGGUAACUAUUGCGGAAUAUCGACUGCCGGAGGCUAGAGCCGGAACGCCAAUGUACUUUGAUUUCCCACGACCGAUACAGUCCCGACGAGUUUCAUUCAAGCUUCUUGGAGAUGUUACAGCAUUUGCAGAUGAACCUUCAGAACAAGAUGAUUCAGGAUUGAGAGCUCUACUUGUGGCCACAGGUUUGUCUUUGUCAAACAGAAUCAAGUUAUAUUAUUAUUGUGAUCCUUAUGAGCUCGGAAAAUGGGCAAGCCUUUCUGGAGUUUGAUCAUUAUUUAUAUGUCAGAGAAAGAGUUUUGGGUUUGAUUUUGAUUUUGAUUUGCAUUUUUUGUCAGUUUAUUGAAAUUUUUUCGUGGUAUAAAAUCAGAAUGUAAAGGUAUAAAAAUUCAUUGAUGCUGCAAUGUCUGCUUUUGAGAAAGAAGAAUUCAACGUCUUUUCUAUGCCAUUGUAUUUUCCACUGCUUGUAAACUUGGGCUGUCGAAUGCUCUGUGAACCUUAAGGGCUAAAGUAAUUUUCAAGACUGAAGGAUUUAUUAAUCGAGUUCAAAAGAUUGCAAGUUGGUGAGCGUUGGCAUUUAAAAAUCAAUUGUUAUUCUCUCAAUAAUCUCUCUCUUCUGCCGACACCCCAAGCUCAGAAACCCGUUGUUCCGACGGACGUGUAACACUUCUAGAAAUUAGCAUUUUCUUCUACAUGAAGGUUGGUCUCUCCUCGUGAAGUGUUUUCUUUUUUGAGUGAAGGUGGUUUUCUACUUACAUAUGUCGAGGGUCUUACGAUAUCUAAUGUGUGAAAUUUCUCUCUCAUUUUACCAUAAAGAAAAUGUUUGUAAUGAUCUGAAGCUUGAGUCUUAAAUUAUCUUAAAUUUAUAUUUAGGGUGGAGCUAUUGGCAUCCCUACAUUAUUCUUACAAAAUUCCACUUUAAAUAAAAUUACAAUUAAGAACAAUUAAAAAUUAAACACUUAUAAUUUUUUGUACAGCAAAUUACUUAAUUUAUAAUCAAUUCUUUUAAAAUAUAUAUAUAUAUUUGUUACUUCUUAUCUAACUAAAAUAAAUUGUACAAAUUUAGAAUAAUCUAUUGUUCUUUUUUGAUUUCUUAUUGAUUUAAUAUUUUUAUACUUAAAAUUACUUUGAAAUUAUAAUUUGAAAUAUGUGUUAUUUUAGCCAAUAAUUAACACUUAAAAACUUAUCACCCAUAUAACUUUUUAAUUUGUGUGUAGGGUAAUAAUAAAAUUGAAAAUAAUUAAAAAUAGCACAAUAAUGAGUUUUAACAAUAAAACAAAUCAAAUGAAUAUUUAAAAUUUUAAAAAGUAUAUCUAGAAAAAGAGGUAUUUUCGGAAAUAGUUUGCAUAUAACUAAAAAAAAGUUUUAUGAGGAGAUCAGAUGGGUGCCAAUAGUCCACCUCGUAAUUAAGAAUCUCCCAUUAUAUUGUGAACCAAAAAGACACUUGCAUAAGAAGAAGAAUUUUUCUGUUUGAUUUUAUUUGUGGAUCCAACAUUUCUCAUAUCUUGAGCGCCUUUCCGUAUCAAAUUAAAAUAGUAGUAGCAAAAUUGUAGUGCACAUUCAAUUAAUCAACUAAUAGUCUAAGAAGCAAAGAGAGGAUUACAAGUUCACAACACCAUUACAAAGGAUUCAAAAUUCCCACACGAAAACAUCAAUGUACAGAUAUAAACAAUCCUAAUUGGACACAAGAAAAACCCUUAAAUGGAUUGCUUGCCUUCCCAAUGCUACAUACCCUGCAAACUGCUUACUGGCCAAGAAAAUGUUUUCAAUUUAGUGUAUUUUCAAAAUGCUUAUUUUCUCAUAAUAUUAAAAAAAUAAAAUAAAAAAGAAUUCUUACAUGUUUCAUCAGCAUGAUUAAAAUCAAAGAAGAAAGAGAGACAUAAUGUCUCUGACAUAAUAAAAUUAUAAAAAUUUCAAGAAAAAAAAAGGUUAAAACAUGUAAGGUGGAUGAUUGAAAACAAUUGUAUGAUGGUAACCAUCAUCUUAAACAAAUAAAAUAAGGUAUGUUCAAAAGUAAUAAGGAAUACAUAGACAAAACAUCAUCUUAAACAAAUCAUAAUCUAGAAUUGGAGCAUUUUCGACAUACCUAAGGAGAAAGAAUACGUGAAAAUAGGUGAUUCAUUUGUUAAGGAGUGUUGAUUUGGUCGUCUCUGCAAAUUCUUUAGGGACUCGGUUCCAGUUCCUCUUCAUCAAAACUGUAAUAUAAUUCCCCUUCAUCAGAACUCGAAUCAAAUUCACUUGCAGCAGUUCCACUCGCGCUUGGCAAAUCAUCCAAUUUCCAAACUUCGGUACCAAAAUUGAGAGUAAAAGUGUUGGCUUUGAUCUCGCUGCGAUUUGCAUAUACCGGACAUACUCCGUAACGUUUUAUCUUGUGACCCUUUUGGUUUCGGUAACACUCAUUGAAGAACUUAAGUGAGACAGUUGUAUGAUGGUAACCAUCAGGAAAGCCAACAUUCAAGCAAGGUUUAAAACAAAGUAUGACAUGAUCUGAAUCAAGGGAGUAUUUAGAAUAGGUAGAAAAACCCAGAUCAACAUAUUUGGUUUCAGAGAGAGUCUUUAUUUCUAAGUCGGAUUGAAAGAUGACGUACCAAUCGCACUUGCAACGAGAACAAACUUUCUUAGAAUCAAGAACAGCACAAAAAGCAAACCCGAUUAAGUUUCCGCAAAAAGAUUGCGGUGGCAGUUGAAUACAUAUCGAAGAUUCUGAACUUUGAUGGCUGAACCAGUCAGGAAUUUCGCUCCCAGGUAAAACAAUUAGGGAUCCCCAGAGUUCAGAAAGUUUCUGUGAAAUGACAUUUAAAAAAAGAAAAUUGUAAAUUGAAAACCAUGAUUUCAGAUAUAACAAAGAGGGACAGAGUAAACAAGAGAGGGAAUUUGAUACCUCGUUGAUUGCCUUUUCAUAGCCCAAUCUCAGUGAUGCAAUUGCCAUAUGCCGAAUUCUUAGUCGUGAAUCUGCCAAAAUCUUGUUGUUUGCUUUUCCAUCAAGUUUCAAGCAGUUAGUAAACUCAAAACAAAUUGCUGCUGACUCCAGAGAUUGAAUAAGGUCAGGAGAGGGUUUCGAUAACUUUUCGAGUACGGAUGCAUCUAGUUCUUGUAGACAUGACGGAAUCUCUGGCAAAGAUUGAAGCCGCUUGCAGUUCCUUGCUUUUAGUGAUUGUAGACACAAUGGAAGUUCUGGUAAUGACCGAAGCAUGUUACAACCCGUCAAGUCAAGAGAUUCAAGACACAAUGGAAGUUCUGGUAAUGACUGAAGCAUCUUACAACGCUCCAAGUGAAGAGACCUCAGCCGCGACAGUUGCUUGAUACUUGCAGGUAAACUCUCAAAGUUAUUUCCACUUAGAUGCAAGCCUGUCAGUGAGGAUAGACAGGCAAUCUCUUGUGGAAUUUCCAUUACAGCACAGUUCCUUAUAUUUAGACGUCCCAAAGAAGAUAAACCUAAUAAUAAUGAUCGAGGCAAUGAUACCAAACCUUUGCAUCUAGAGAACUCAAGAAUUCUAAGUACGUUUGAAUCUGCAACAGAGGAUGGUAGUUGACUAAUAGCUGAUCCAGCUGCACAGAUGUAACGCAAAGAUUUUAAAUUGCCAAUGUUAUCCGGCAACUUAUCAAGUUUAGAGCAAUCUUCUACGAACAAUACUUCAAGUCCCGGUAGAUUUUCAAAUGACGAUGGCAGCUCUGUAAUUGCCGUAUGGCCUAAAUAGAUGCGUUUUAAAUGUUCCAUUUUCUCCAAGAUUUCUGGGAAACGCUCAAGGUUCACGCAGCCAUUAAGAAAAAGAUCAACCAACGAUCUCAAUUUACAAAACCCAGUUGAAAUCAUCUUCAGCCGUUUGCAAUCCCUCAAAUCCAACACUAUAAGAUCAGUUAGGCACUCUAUUGAUGAUGGAACUUCUUCUAUUGCAGACUGGAUUAAGUAUAGCCGUGUAAUUUUCCCAGAAAUCUGUGGAAACUCUACGAGAUUAACACAAUAGGAGAAAUUAAUAGUUACUGGACAAACAAAAUGAAGAUUGGUUGGAAAAGACCUAAGACUUUUGCAGCCCAUAAAAUCCAACCUACUGAGAUACUUGAAAUUCUGGAUAGAUGAGGGAACACAAGCCUUUUCUCCUUCCCAAAGUUGCUCAACUUUACUUAAACGCAAAUUCAGUUGAACGAGGUUCUUUGGCUUGAAAUUUGAUGGCAGUGUCCUUAAUGGAUAUGUGUCCCAAUGAAGAUAUCUCAAUUUUUUAGGAAGAUAAUCUAGACCAUUUGGAAGCUGCACUUUAGAGUAUGAAAGUUGCUCUUCAAUGAUCAUACUUAGAAACCUUUCAAUCCCAUAAAACUUAGGUACAUAAAAUUUGAGCAAUCUCAUACUAGACAUAUUUGUGAAGGUUCCGGGGUCUAAAUUAAUGCCUUUUAUUUUGGACAAAUCCAGAAAUAUGCCUUCAAUUGCAUCGGUCCCCUUAUUAAAAAAAAAACAAAGAAUGAGUAAUCCUAAAACAGAAAAGAAACAUUCGUAAACUUUAUUAACUAAGAGCUCCUUAAACAAAAACAAAUUCUGCAAUCUUUGAUUUUAUUUUUUUAAUAUAUUAAAUAUCUAUAUGCGAGAAAAGAAAAUUUUGGGGGCCAUUGCAAAAUUAAACUAACCGAAAAAAAAAAUUCAAAAUUUCUCUAAUUUACAAACCUGUUAUCUUAAUAUCUAGAAGUUGAGAAGACAAGGCCUAUUUGAUUGGUAUAAGAUUUCAAUUUUUUUUUUUUUUUUUUUUUUUUUUUGUCGAUAGAAUCCAAAAUGUUAGUUCAAAAUUAGGGAAAAAAAUGAAAGUCAUUUUUUUUUCCACUAGCUGUAAUUGUAUCCAAGUCAAAUUGAGAUACAACCCUUUUUGAAAGAAUUUAACCAUCUUACAACCUCCUUAAGGUACAUUUAAGAUAAAAGGAGUGAUUGGAGGCAGAACUAGGUGGGCCAAUCAGUCCAUUUUAUUAGCGACUGUUGCUUAAAAAAAAUUAUACUCUAAAACACACUUACAUUUUUGAAAAAAUAUAUAAUUAUAUUGAAGUAGAACCAGGUGGGCCAACCCUCAUGGCACUCACUUUGUUCUGACACUUUUCACUAAAUUUGAAGAAAAAUAAAAUUAUACUCUUCACACUCUUAUUCAACAUUCCAAAUUUGAUAAAAUCGGGAGUUUUCUUUAAAAAUUUAAAAUUUGAAGACUUGUUCUCUUGACACCCUCAGUCAUUAAUUUUACCUAAUUAUGGGUUUUAUGAUUUUGGUUGUUUUGUUCAUAAAAAUGCUUUUACUAAAGGAUGUUCUGGUAAUAAUAAAAUUUAUAAAAAAAACAUGGGUGUGCUGGUAUGGUUGGAAAAAUAUGAGUGCAUAACUCCAAACAAAUAAAAGAUAUAUAUAAAAAAAAAUGGAGGAUUCUUACCUUAUUAUGCUUGAGUACGCGGCGGAUUUCCUUAGGAUCCCACAACCUGCUGCGUUUGCCUGGCUCUUUCUCAGAUUCUUGGCGAACAAUCCGUCGCCCCAUUUCUUGCAAUAAAAUCAUGCAUUUGCAAGCAAUUCCCUGAUACUGAUAUGAGUGACUUAUCAAUAAGGACAUUCACGUCAUUCAGUCCAUAAGACUUAGAAUCAUCAAGUAUCCUUAUCACAAAAUCUUUAUCCUCUCCCUCAAAGAAACAAGCAAUAUCUAGAAAUACACUCUUGACAUUGGGCGUUAAUUCAUUAAAACUAAUCUUUAAUAUAUCAUACAUAUUAUGAAUAUCAGAUUCACAAAUCCGAUUUAAGUCGUCCAAUACGUUUCCCCAAUGGCUUUUCCUCUUGAGGGAGGAACCCAACACUUUAAGAACUAAUGGAUUGCCAUCAGCAUACUUUACAACUCUCCGUGACUCACGUUUGAAAUCUUCAGGACAAUGCUUUUCUUUAAAAGCGAAGUUACAAAAAUGCUCGAAAGCCUCAUCAAAUUUCAAUCCAUUAACCCUAUAUAUUUUCUCCACUGGAAACGUCUCGAGGACAUGUUUAUUCCUAGUGGUGAUGACAAUUCUACUUCCUGGACCAUACUGAUCAAGCCCUCCAAUCAAACCCUCUAAUUGUCCAUCUUUACUCACAUCAUCAAGCACAAUCAACACCUUCAUGCGUCGGACCCUCUCUUUAGUAAAUUGUGGAAUAUUGGGACCAUCUACUUUAAGUUUUUCUCUUAAUAUCCUUGAAAGAAUUUGCUUUUGUAGAUCUUCUAAUCCAUCCCCUCGUUCUAUAUUUCUCCUAACAUCUGACAUAAAGCACCUACCUUCAAACUCUCUGGAGAAUUGAUUGAAAAUAGCUGUGGCAAGGGUGGUUUUGCCUAUACCACCCAUGCCCCAAAUUCCAACAAUUUGGACAGUAUCCCACAAAUCCAUGCACAGAAAUGGUUUAAUCUGCUCAAUUCGUGAAUUUAAUCCAACUAGGCCAUUGGAUGAGUCCGUUGAGACUGUUAUUUUUUCCAUCUUCUUCAAAACAUCUUCGACAAUUUUGCUUACAAGUUGCGCAUCAUGCCUAAUAUGAAGGUGCAAAGAUGCAAAAACAUUGAGUCAAAUCGGGCCAACACAGAAACAGAGAUAAGAUGAAUUAGGAAAGAGAGUUACCUGAAUUUCGUGGAUUCGUGGCCAGCUAGAUGGGAUGUUUCUUUCAGUGCAUCCCUCCACUUCUGAACCAUUUCUGGCUUCUCUUUGAACUGUUGUUCGAGCUUAUCAAAACCGUGCCCAAAAAUUCCAGCUUGAUGCCGAACAUCGGACGGACUUACGCUAUAGAAAACUGGAAUAACGAUUUGGCCGUUUGUGUGCUUGCAUUCAAGAAUCUUGACAAGUUCAUUCAGGCACCAUUUUGAAGAAGCGUAGUCCUUUGAGAAAAUGACGACCGAAAUUUUCGAACCUUCGAUUGCGUUCAAAAGAGCAGGUGAAAUCUCAUCUCCUCGCCUAAGCUCUUCAUCAUCAAUAAACGUUUUGAUUUUCGUUCUUUCAUUCAAAUUAUAAUAGAGAUGGCAUGUAAAGCUCACGCGAGUGUCCUCUCCUCUGAAACUGAGGAAUACAUCAUAAUUGCAACAAGAAGAAGAGGAAGCCAUGAAGGAAAUUUUAGAAAUUUGGUGACAGAAACAGAGAAUUAAUCUUGAGAGUUGAGAGGGGAUAUGUAAGAAUGAAAAUGCGUAAAUAGUAAAUGAUUGAAUUAAUCUGGCGAGUAAAUAGUAAAUAAUUGAAUGGCCGGAGCUUUCUUAGUUUCCUGGAAAUUUCCUGGAGCUUUCGUAUACAUGAUUUGUCAAGUCAAGAAACAUAAUCAUGAUAAUGGGGCAGACCAGGAAGGAAAGAAAAUUUGAUCCAACCAAUAAAGGAAGGAAAAGUAAAGAAAGAAAAUUUGAAAGUAGAUUCAGAGAAUUAUAAAAAGCUAAAGGAUAUUGGAAUUUUGUACAAUUUCUCUAUUACAGUUUGGAUUAAGAUUUGAGCAAGCGGCCAAAACUACAUUGCGUCAGGGCUUUGGUGCCACACUCGUUUGUCUGUUAGUAGCAUUGGAUUUGAUCUGACGGCUGCAGAAGAGACACAAACAUAAAGAGGAGUAACCUGAGGAAAAGGUAAUAAGCCGGUUACCUGCAGAAAAUAAGUGCAUGAUAAAAUAACACAAGUAAUGAACACAAUGGAAGCGUAUAUGCAAGUAAUGGUUGGAAACAACUUGCUGGAAGCGUGCAAGUAUUGGUUGGGCACAGACCGACAUUAAAUUUCGCAAAUAGUGUCUGAAACAUUUGCAAAUACUUAAUUCAAAACGUCAAUAAAUGCUGGAAAAAAUACAUAUUUUUUUAUUUUUUAUUAAGAAUACAUUUAAAAAAAGAAUAAUUAUUAAUGGUACAUAUUUGUAACAAUUAUACCAAAAACAAUUAUCCAUAUAUUUAAAAAAAAUGUUAACAAUACAUAUUUUUUAGAAGUAUACAUAUUAUAUCAUAAAAAAAUUGAGUUGGAGCUUCGACAAGUAGAUCUUAAAAAACUAAGGUUGAAUUUUGGAGGAGCAGAUUCGGUCGUGGAGUAACAUUUGUUUAUUAUUAUUAAUUUAUUUUGGUAGUCCUAGUGAAACAUCGUUGUUUCACAUAGAUGAUGUCGCAGUUUGAUAGACGGGAUGACAUGUGAUUUUUUAUCAAAUAUAUCGGGCCACAUGGCAUUUUUGACUAGGUGAAUGGAGUGACAUGUUAAUUUUUUUUUUUUUUAAUCAAAGGUUCUUCUAUCUUAGAAGACUAGAUUAGCCUUAUGAUGUCAAGACUUGGAAACGACAACUAACUGACUAGUGGAUAGCAGACACAUGUUGUCAACUUAGGGUAUACAAGGAUACAUGUUAAAAGUAUUGUAGUAUAUGUGAUACAAGUGUCAUGGAAGGCUAUAUGAGUGAUAAUUACUCAUUAAACUAUAAGUUGCAAUAAUUUAACACAACAAGUGCCAAUUAAAAUGUAAUAAUUUAAAAAAAAUUAGGUAUUCUCCGUCUGUCUCCCUCUCAAUCAAUGUGUCCUACUUUGAAUGUUAAUAUUUAUUAUCAAACAUAAAAAAAUUCUAAAAUAUUAAAAAAAAAAAACAGAGUCUUCUAGGCACAUAAAUUAGAGUAGUUUCGUGAACAAAGAACUUGAGAAAGAUAAUGGUGGCACUCUCUUAGAAGGAAUCUAUGGGGUUAAUGUUUUCUUCCCUAUGUCUAUUUUAUGUAUCUUAGUUUCAAAAACAAGAUGUACACAAUUAGGGGUUGGUUAAUGCAGUUAAAACGGUGGAAAAAGGCUUAUAGAAAUAAAAUAUAAUUGUAAUGCAGUGUUUGGUAUGAAUAAGUAAACUAAAAAUAAGACAAUUGGGUAUACGAAUUUAUAAUGCGAUAAUAAUAUUUUUUCCCUAAGACGACCCGUAGGGUAAGAUUAUAGACUAAAUUGUUGUGUUAUGUUAAUGAUACGAUAUAAAAGUGUUGUUUUAGAAGCUGUAAAAGUUAGUUAAUGUGAAAUUUGUUUUUAAAGGUAAUUGUCUUGUAACCCCUUGUUUUUAAGGGUAAGAUUAUAGACGCAAUUUGUUUGUUUUGAAAAAAAGUCCCUUAUGUUGAGCUGGACUUUUUUUCGUCUUCACAAGUCCCUUUUGCCGAGCUGGAAUUUUUCUGACAGAGUCUCCGUUUGUUCCCAUAAUAGCGGCGAGAAUCUGGCCGAGCCUCGAUGAUAGCUCGUUGCUACGACACGUGACUGUGUCCAUUGAGUCUCUAUUCGAAAUCCAAAUGUCGACGACAACGGCCGCCUCCACUAACGGUUCUCAAAUCACGCCGUGCGUUGAUGACGUGGCGGUGGCAAUUAACAACAAUAACUUCAACUCGAAGGAGAGAUUCAACGACCGUGAUUUUUUGUUGAAGCAGUCGUAUUCGUUUGGAUUCGAGCGGAGUCUUGCAUCGAAGAGGAUGGUGAUGGAGGCGGUAAUGGCGUUGCCGUGGAAGUACAAGAGGGGGAGUUACUGGAGCAAACAGUCGUCUCCGUUUGGCUCAUUGACGAAGUCUAGAGUCUUCUGGAGCAAAGGAUUAUAUACUUAUCCUCUUUGUUUUCCUUUUACUGAUACUGUAGCUUUAGCCGAUUACCCAUUUUCCAAGUGUUAAACAUGAGCCGUUGUUACCUUUCUUUACUAUCUAAAUGGUCAUUCGCAAAAGGACAAAUGACUAGGGUAUCAAACCCCUUACGCAAUGUAGCUGGACCCUUAGCAAAGCAUUCACCUAAAUCUUACCUCCGCUGUAAAUUCUUAAGUUUUGAAAAUUAUGAGACCUUUAUAUUGGGAGAUAUUAUAAUCAAAUGAAAAGUUAAAAUUUUAAUAUUGUUAAUAAAUGACAAAGCCAUUUCAUUUCUCUUUUACAUGUUAUUAAUUUUUGUAACACGGGGUGGCAACAUAAGCAUAAUCAAGUAAAGCAAAAGGGUUUCAAAUUAUGGUGGUAAAACGUGAAGAAGGAUGCCAACUGAAUAAUUCCUUCCACAAAACGAAAAAUAAUCACAGAAAAAGGAAUCUCUUAUAAAAUGUUUGCGUAUUUUUUAUAAGGUUUGAAACUUUAGGUGGUCGGUAAAUGAUUUCUUAAUUGAAUAAUAUAUAAAAAAGCUAAUUAUUUAUAAUUUUAAAUAAUCUGAAUUUGUAUGUUAGAAAUUUCAUCUCUUUUAUUUUUGAGAAUUUUUCAUAAAGAAUAGAGAACAUAAUGUUAACAUUUAAAGUAACACAUCUCAAUCGUCGAAAUUAUUUUUCUAUUAAAUCCAACGAUAACGAAUUAAUGUCAGAAAAGGACAAAAUUAGUGGUGGCUUGCAAUAAUUGCAAGGUAGCUUUUGUAAAGACAGAAAUGUGAUGGAUUCAAAAAGAAAUUGAAGUGAUAAUGUACGUGGAUCCUUAAAAUAAAAAGCCGAAUCGCUUGGUGGCCCAGUAAAAUUACGAUUUGAAUUUUUUUUUUUUUUUUUUUUACACAAUGUGUCAAGCACAUAAAUGACGAAAGCCAUUUCAUUUCCCUUUCACACGUCAUUAACUUUUGUAACACGGUGUGUUCAUCGUCAAGUGAGGCAAAAGGGUUUCCAUUACAGUGGGAAAACAUGAACAAGAAUGCAUAAUGAAUAAUUCCUUCGAUAAAGCGAAAAUUAAACAUAAAAUAAUCCUAAAAUUUAAACUCUAAUAUCCUUCGAUAAUGUAUUGAUUAAAAAUAAUCCUAAGAGUUUCCAAUUGAAACUUCCGUAAGUAUUUUUAUUGUUUUGGAUAAACAAAUUGCACUAGGAUAAAAAUUUGGUAAAUUCAGAGGAUAAUAGAAAAUAGCUAUGGUUCAAUAGGCCAAAGAUUAGAGAACAAACAAGAAUUAGUUAUUGAUAUACAAAAGAGAAACACUCCAAAAUUUCAAGCAAAAAUAGUUUCAUAUACCAUUUCGAUUUUGGAAGGGGUGAGGUUUUGAAAUUCAAUAGUUUCCUCUAAAAUCAAAAGGCAGCAAUUAAGUUAGAAAGAGCAAAGAAGACUUAUUGGUACCUUAUUGAAGCUGAACAUUAUGGAACUUUCAAUGUCAUUACCUCACUGUUCAAUUUUUAUUGAGAUUUGUGCAAGCAUUUACCUAAAUUUUACCUCCGCCUGUAAAUUCAUAAGUUUUGAAAAUUUUGAGACGUUAUAUUGGGAGAUAUUAUAAUCGAACUAAAACUUAAAAUUUCAAUAUUAUUAUUCUUUGAAAAAAAAAUGAGAUAUCAGAGUAAUAUCACAUAGAAUGGUAAGCCAAAAGUCUAAUCAACCACAUGCAUAAAGCUAACUAGAACAAGUGAACAGAGAAACGCGUGGGUCCCUAAAAGAAAAGGCAAGCACAUAAAGAAAACGGAAAACAAACGCCAGAGAAAAGAAUUUCUUAUAUGCCUUGAUAUUGAUUAAUAUUCAGCGAUAGCUUAAUGCUUACCAUCAAGCAACUUUGAAAGCAGGAAGCUAUAUAUGACAAGAAAUCAAAGUAAUGUGAAGGAACAUGAUGAUGAAAUUGCAGGCCAGCACAAAAACACCCAUACCCCUGAUUUGUUUAAAUGUACACGAAGACCUUAAGGUUUGGUAAAAGAAAAUUGAAUUUAUAUUGUAUUAUAAUACAAUUUUUUUUAAACCAUCAAUGAUAAAAUCUUCUUACUUUUUUCCAUCCUUUGGAUCAAUAAGUACAAAUUUCUCAUCUAAAUCUUCAUACUUUUUACAAAUGACUUUUGUGCCAUAGAUUUUUUUUUUCUUUUUUUGGUUUUGCCGAAAAAACAAAACAAAUUCAUAAACAACAUUGUAUUUCACCAAUUAACAGUGCAAGUGUCAUUAUAGUUUCCACAUUUUAGUUCUGUUUUUUUUAGUUUCAUUUUCUUUCUGUUAUGUAACUGAUGUUUCAUUGCUAUAAAAUUAAUUGUCUGUUUCUCUUCACAACUGUUAUUUUGAAUGAUUUUUUCUGAAUUUUAUAAACAAUUUGUAUAUGACAGGAAAUGAAGCAGAGUGCGAGCAACUUGUAUGGAUUCCUAAAAGGUCUGGUCAGAGUGUUCCUUUCAAUGCAUACAUCUGGCGGCGAGGGACUAUUCCAAUAUGGUGGGGUGCAGAAUUAAAGCUUACUGCUGCUGAAGCAGAAAUUUAUGUUGCAGAUCGGGAUCCUUAUAAAGGAAGUCUGCAGUAUUAUCAGAGGUUGAGUAAUCGAUAUGAUGCUCGAAACUUUGACUUAGCUGUUGGGGAAAAUCAGAAGAAAAAGCCUUUUAUUCCAAUUGUAUGCAUUAACUUGCUUAGGAAUGCGGAAGGGAAAUCAGAAUCUAUUUUAGUUCAGCAUUUUGAGGAAUCUUUGAACUAUGUCAGAUCAACUGGAAAACUUCCUUAUACUCGAAUUAUUUUAAUAAAUUAUGACUGGCAUGCCAGUACAAAAUUAAAAGGUGAACAACUUACAAUUGAAGGAUUAUGGAAGCAUCUAAAAGCACCCACUCAGGCCGUAGGCAUUUCUGAAGGGGACUAUUUGCCAUCACGGCAACGACUUAAUGAUUGCCGAGGUGAAGUCAUCUGCAAUGAUGACUUUGUGGGUGCCUUUUGCUUAAGAUCCCAUCAGAAUGGAGUGAUACGCUUUAACUGUGCAGACUCUCUUGAUCGGACCAAUGCUGCUAGUUAUUUUGGUGCUCUGCAAGUAUUUGUGGAGCAAUGUAGGCGGCUUGGGGUCUCCCUUGACAGUGAUUUUGCAUAUGGCUAUCAGUCAGCUAAUAACUAUGGUGGAUAUACUGCUCCUUUGCCACGAGGAUGGGAGAAACGAGCUGAUGCAGUGACAGGAAAAACAUAUUAUAUCGAUCACAACACUAGGACCACAACAUGGAUUCAUCCAUGCCCAGACAAACCUUGGAAGAGAUUUGAUAUGACAUUUGAGGAGUUCAAGCAUUCAACAAUUUUAUCACCAGUGUCUCAGCUAGCAGAUCUUUUUCUGCUUUCUGGUGAUAUCCAUGCAACCCUUUAUACUGGUUCAAAAGCAAUGCAUAGCCAAAUUCUUAAUAUAUUCAAUGAAGAACCAGGAAAGUUCAAACAAUUUUCUGCAGCACAAAAUAUGAAAAUUACUCUGCAGAGAAGAUACAAAAAUGCAGUUGUCGAUAGCUCUCGUCAGAAACAGCUGGAGAUGUUUCUUGGAUUUAGGCUGUUCAGUUCAUUUUUUUGUGGUAGAAAUGUCGUCAUUUUAAAUUUAGUGUAUUUUCAAAAAGCUUAUUUUCUCAGAAUAUAAAAAAUAAAAAAAUAAAAAAAGAAUUCUUACAUGUUUCAUCAGCAUGAUUAAAAUCGAAGAAGAAAGCGAGACAUAAUGUCUCUGACAUAAUAAAAUUACAAAAAUUUCAAGGAAAAAAAAGAAGUUAAAACAUGUAAUCUUCAGAAGCAUAUAAUAAAAGAGCACUUCCACAAAUUACUACAAUUUCAUGCAGUAGAGAUUGAAGAGUUGAAUUCCACUUAUAGACACCGACCUCUUGUUUUGUCUAAUGUUAAAAUUACAACCUCUUGCUUUGACUUAUUAGCAGGUUUCAAAAGUAAUAAGGAAUACAUAGAUAAAACAUCAUCUUAAACAAAUCACAAUCUAGAAUUAGAGCAUUUUCGACAUACCUAAGGACCACGAAUACGUGAAAACGGGUGACUCAUUUGUUAAGAAGUGUUGAUUUGAUCGGCUCUGCAAAUUCUCUUGGGACUCGGUUCCAAUUCCUCUUCAUCCGAAGUUCCACUCGCGCUUGGAAAAUCAUCCAAUUUCCAAACUUCGGUAGCAAAAUUGAGAGUAAAAGUGUUGGCUUUGAUCUCGCUGGGAUUUGCAUAUACUGGACAUACUCCGUAACGUUUUAUCUUGCAAUCCUUUUGGCUUCGGUAACACUUAUUGAAGAACUUAAGUGAGACAGUUGUAUGAUGGUAACCAUCGGGAAAGCCAACAUUCAAGCAAGGUUUAAAACCAAGUAUGACAUGAUCGGAAUCAAGGGAGUAUCUAGUGGGCAAAUCGAAACCCAGAUCAACAUGUUUGGUUUCAGAGAGAGUCUUUAUUUCUAAGUCGAAUUGACGGUAGAAGUAAAAAUCACACAUACAACGAGAAUAAACUUUCUUAAAAUCAAGAACAGCACAAAAAGCAAACCCGAUUAAGUUUCUGAAAAAAGAGUGCGGUGGCAGUUGAAUAUAUAUCGAAGAUCCUGAACUUUGAUUGCUGAACCAGUCAGGAAUUUCGCCCCCAGGUAAAACAAUUAGGGAUCCCCUGAGUUCUGAAAGUUUCUGUGAAAUGACAUUUAAAAAAAGAAAAUUGUAAAAUGAAAACCAUGAUUUCAGAUAGGGAUAUUAUCAUUUUUCCACCAAAGGUAUUCUGACACAUCAUGUCAGUACCACGGUUUGGUAAAACUAUCAAUUUACCACCAAACGUUUAAACUGUUAGGAUUUUCCCACUAUUCCGUUAAAACUCAGUUAAUAUGUAACGGAAAAUUUCUAAAAAGUCAAUUUUACCCCUGGAGCAUAAAAGACCAUAUAAUUAACUUUUUAUGAAUUUUGUAAUUAAAUCAUCAUUUGUUGUUCUUCCUUCUUAAAGGACAAAAAUUACCCUUUAUAAAUUUUAUAAAAUUGGCCGUGUAGUGCUAGGUACUUCAUAAAUUAAUUUAAUUUUUAAAGGGCAAAUUUAUUUAUUAAAUUGAUGAGCUCAAGACAAUUUAUUCUACUACUAAAAAUCAAUUUAUGAAAGGGAAAAAAAAAAGAAUGUGCAAACGAAGUAAUUUAAUCUUUGAUAUGAUGAUAAUAAUUUUACACAAAAAAUUAAAUAAAUAAAUUUUCCCUUUAAAAAUUAAAUAAAUUAAAUCAAUUUAUGAAGUACCAAAUACCACACGGUCAAUUUUACAAAAUUCAUAAAUGGUAAUUUUUGUCGUUUAAGAAUAAAGAAUAACAAAUGAUGAUUUAAUUACAAAAUUCAUAAAAGGUUAAUUAUAUGGUCUUUUAUGCUCAGGGGUAAAAUUGACCUUUUAGGAAUUUUCCGUUAGAUAUUAACUGAGUUUUAACGGAAUGGUGGGAAAAUGCUAACAGUUUAAACGUUUGGUGGUAAAUUGAUAGUUUUACCAAACCGUGGUACUGACAUGAUGUGUCAGAAUACCUUAGGUGGGAAAAUGAUAAUAUCCCUUUCAGAUAUAACAAAGAGGGACAGAGUAAACAAGAGAGGGAAUUUGAUACCUCGUUGAUUGCCUUUUCAUAGCCCAGUCUCAGUGAUGCAAUUGCCAUAUGCCGAAUUCUUAGUUGUGAAUCUGCCAAAAUCUUGUUGUUUGCUUUUCCAUUCAGUUUCAAGCAGUUAGUAAACCCAAAAUAAAUUGGUUGUGACUCCAGACAUCCCGGUGCCCAUUGACGAAGGUCAGGAGAGGGUUUCGAUAGCUUUUCGAGUACGGAUGCAUCUAGUUCUUGUAGACAUGACGGAAUCUCUGGCAAAGAUUGGAGCCGGUUGCAGUUCCUUGCAUUUAGUGAUUGUAGACACAAUGAAAGUUCUGGUAAUGACCGAAGCAUGUUACAAUCCUCCAAGUUAAGAUAUUUUAGACACAAUGGAAGUUCUGGUAUUGACCGAAGCAUGUUACAACCCGUCAAGGCAAGAGAUUCUAGACACAAUGGAAGUGCUGGUAAUGACUGAAGCAUCUUACAAUCCGUCAAGUCAAGAGAUGUUAGGCACAAUGGAAGUUCUGGUAAUGACUGAAGCAUCUUACAAUUCUUCAAGUCAAGAGAACUCAACUGCGACAGUUGCUUGAUACUUGCAGGUAAACUCUCAAAGUUAUUUCCACUUAGAUGCAAGCCUGUCAGUGAGGAUAGACAGGCAAUCUCUUGUGGAAUUUCCAUUACAGCACAGUCACUUAUAUCUAGAAGUCCCAAAGAAGAUAAACCUAAUAAUAAUGAUCGAGGCAAUGAUGCCAAACCUUUGCAGCUAGAGAAAGAAAGAAUUCCAAGUACGUUUGAAUCUGUAACAGAGGAUGGUAGUUGACUAAUAGCUGAUUUAGCUGCUGAGAUGUAAUACAAAGAUUCUAAAUUGCCAAUGUUAUCCGGCAACUUAUCAAGUUUAGAGCAACCAUUUAUGAACAAUGAUUCAAGCCCCGGUAGAUUUUCAAAUGACGAUGGCAGCUCUGUAAUUGCCGUCCGGUCUAAAUAGAUGCGUUUUAAAUGUUCCAUUUUCUCCAAGAUUUCUGGGAAACGCUCAAGAUUCAAGCAGCCAAGAAGAAUAAGCCGAACCAAAGAUCUCAAUUUACAAAACCUAGUUGAAAUCCUCUUCAGCCGUUUGCAACCCAUCAAAUCCAACACUUCAAGAUCAGUUAGGCACUCUAUUGAUGAUGGAACUUCUUCUAUUGCAGACUGGUCUAAGUAUAGCCGUGUAAUUUUCCCAGAAAUCUGUGGAAACUCUAUGAGAUUAACACAAGAGGAGAAAUUAAUAGUUACUGGACAAACAAAAUGAAGAUUGCUUGGAAAAGACCUAAGACUUUUGCAGCCCUUAAAAGACAACGCACUGAGAAACUUGAAAUUCUGGAUAGAUGAGGGAACACAAGCCUUUUCUCCUUCCCAAGGUUGCUCAACUUUACUAAAACGCAAAUUCAGUUCAACAAGGUUCUUUGGCUUGAAAUUUGAUGGCAGUGUCCUUAAUGGAUAUGUGUCCCAAUGAAGAUAUCUCAAUUUUUUAGGAAGAUAAUAUAGGCCUUUUGGAAGCUGCACUUUAGAGUAUGAAAGUUGCUCUUCAAUACUCAUACUUAGAAGCUUUUCAAUCCCAUAAAACUUAGGUACAUAAAAUUUGAGCAAUCUCAUAUUAGACAUAUUUGUGAAGGCUCCGGGGUCUAAAUUGAUGCCUUUUAUUUUGGACAAAUCCAAAAAUAUGCCUUCAAUUGCAUCAAUCCCCUUAUAUAAAAAAAAAAAAAACAAAGAAUGGGUAAGCUUAAAACUCAAAAGAAACAUUCGUAAACUUUACUAAGAGCUCCUUAAACAAAAACAAAUUCUGCAAUCUUUGAUUUAAUUUUUUUAAUAUAUUAAAUAUCUAUAUGUGAGAAAAGAAAAUUUUGGGGACCAUUGCAAAAUUCAACUAACUGAAAAAAAAAAUUCAAAAUUUCUCUAAUUUACAAACCUGUUAUCUUAAUAUCUAGAAGUUGAGAAGACAGGGCCUAUUUGAUUGGUAUAAGAUUUCGAUUUUUUUUUAGUCCAUAGAAUCCAAAAUGUUAGUUCAAAAUUAGGGAAAAAAGUCAUUUUUUUCCACCAACUGUAAUUGUAUCCAAGUCAAAUUGAGAUACGACCCUUUUCGAAAGGAUUUAACCAUCUUAUAGCCUCCUUAAGGUACAUUUAAGCUAAAAGGAGUGAUUGGAGGCAGUUCUAGGUGGGCCAAUCAGUCCAUUUUAUUAGUGACGUUUGCUUAAAAAAAAAAAUUAUACUCUAAAACACACUUUUUUUUUUUUAAAAAAAUAUAAUUAUAUUGAAGUAAAACCCGGUGGGCCAAUCCUCAUGGCACUCACUUUGUUCCGACACUCUUCACUAAAUUUGAAGAAAAAUAAAAUUAUACUCUUCACACUCUUAAUCAACAUUCCAAAAUUGAUUAAAUCUGGAGUUUUCUUUAAAAAUUUAAAAUUUGAAGAUUUGUUGUCUUGACACCCUCAGUCAUUAAUUUUACCUAAUUAUGGUUUUUAUGAUUUUGAUUGUUUUGUUCAUAAAAAUGCUUUUACUAAAGGAUGUUCUGGUAAUAAUAAAAUUUAUAAAAAACACAUGGGUGUGCUGGUAUGGUUGGAAAAAUAUGAGUGCAUAACUCCAAACAAAUAAAAGAUAUAUAAAAAAAAGAUGGAGGAUUCUUACCUUAUUAUGCUUUAGUACGCGGCGGAUUUCCUUAGGAUCCCACAACCUACUGCGUCUGCCUGGCUCUUCCUCAGAUUCUUGGCGAACAAUCUCUCGACCCAUUUCUUGCAAUAAAUCAUGCAUUUGCAAGCAGUUAUUUGACACUGUUAUGAGUGACUUGUCCACGAGGGCAUCUAGUUUGUGAGACCCAGAAUCAUCAAGUAUCCUCGACACAAAAUCUUUAUCCUCUCCCUCAAGGAAACACGCAAUAUCUAGAAACAUACUCUUCUGCUUGCGUGUUAAUUCAUUAAAACUAAUCUUUAAUAUAUCAUAAAUAUUAUGAAUAUCAGAUUCACAAAUCCGAUUUAAGUCGUUCAAUACAUUUUCCCAACGGCUUUUAUCCUUGAGGGAGGAACCCAACACUUUAAGAACUAAUGGAUUGCCAUCGGCAUACUCUACAACCCUCUGUGAGUGCCAGUUGAGAUCUUCAGCACAAUGCUUUUCUUUAAAAGCGAAGUUACAAAAAUGCUCGAAAGCCUCAUCAAAUUUCAAUCCAUUGACCCUAUAUAUUUUCUCCACUCCAAAUUUUUCGAGGACUCGUUUAUCCCUAGUGGUUACAACAAUUCUACUUCCUGGACCAUAUUGAUCAAGCCCUCCAAUCAAACCCUCUAAUUGUUCAUCUUUAUUCACAUCAUCAAGUGCAAUCAACACCUUCAUGCGUCGGAGCCUCCCUUUAGUAAAUUGUGGAAUGUUGGGACCAUCUACUUCAAGUUUUUCACUUAAUAUUGUCGAAAGCAUUUCCUUUUGUAGCUCUUCUAGGCCACCCCCUGUUUCUGAUUUUCUCCUAACAUUUUUUGCAAAGUAUUUUCCAUCAAACUCACCAGAGAAUUGAUCGAAAAUAGCUUCAGCAAGGGUGGUUUUGCCUAUACCACCCAUGCCCCAAAUUCCAACAAUUUGGACAGUAUCCCACAAAUCCAUGCACAGCAAUGGUUUAAUCUGCUCAAUUCGUGAAUUUAAUCCAACCAGGCCAUUGGAUGAGUCCGUUGAGACUGUUAUUUUUUCCAACUUCUUCAAAACAUCUUCGACAAUUUUGUUUACAAGUUGCGCAUCAUGCCUAAUAUGAAGGUGCAAAGAUGCAAAAACAUUGAGUCAAAUCGGGCCAACACAGAAACAGAGAUAAGAUGAAUUAGGAAAGAGAGUUACCUGAAUUUUGUGGAUUCGUGGCCAGCUAGAUGGGAUGUUUCUUUCAGUGCAUCCCUCCACUUUUGAACCAUUUCUGGUUUCUCUUUGAGCUGCUGUUCUAGCUUGUAAAAACCGUCCCCAAAAACUCCGGUUUGAUGCCGCACAUCAGAUGGACUUACUUCAUAGAAGACUGGAAUAAUAAUUUGGCCGUUUGUGUUCUUGCAUUCAAGAAUCUUGACAAGUUCAUUUAGGCACCAUUUUGAAGAAGCGUAGUCCUUUGAGAAAAUGACCACCGAAAUUUUUGAACCUUCGAUUGCGUUCAAAAGAGCAGGUGAAAUCUCAUCUCCUCGCCUAAGCUCUUCAUCAUCAAUAAACGUUUUGAUUUUCGUUCUUUCAUUCAAAUUAUAAUAGAGAUGGCAUGUAAAGCUCACGCGAGUGUCCUCUCCUCUGAAACUGAGGAAUACAUCAUAAUUGCAACAAGAAGAAGAGGAAGCCAUGAAGGAAAUUUUAGAAAUUUGGUGACAGAAACAGAGAAUUAAUCUUGAGAGUUGAGAGGGGAUAUGUAAGAAUGAAAAUGCGUAAAUAGUAAAUAAUUGAAUUAAUCUGGCGAGUACAUAGUAAAUAAUUGAAUGGCCGGGGCUUUCUUAGUUUCCUGGAAAUUUCCUGGAGCUUUCGUAUACAUGAUUUGUCAAGUCAAGAAACAUAAUCAUGAUAGGAAAUGGGGCAGACCAGGUAGGAAAGAAAAUUUGAUCCAACCAAUAAAGGAAGGAAAAGUAAAGAAAGAAAAUUUGAAAGUAGAUUCAGAGAAUUAUAAAAAGCUAAAGGAAAUUGGAAUUUUGUACCAUUUCUCCAGCCAGGAACUUUCAUUGUCAUUACCUCACUGUUACAGUUUGGAUUAAGAUUUGACUUUUGAGCAAACAUUCGCCAAAAUUUUACCUCUGCCUGUAAAUUCUUAAGUUUUGAAAAUUAUGAGACCUUUAUAUUGGGAUAUAUUAUAAUCGAAUCAAAACAUAAAAUUUUAAUAUUGUUAAUCUUUAAUCUUUUUUUUAAAAAAUUGAACAACAGAGUAAUUUCUAACAUAGAAAAAGUUGUAUAAUUGUCCAAUUAUUUAUAAUUUUAAAUAAUCCGGAUUGGUUUGUUAGAAAAUCAUCUCUUUGAUUUUUGAGAAUUUUUCAUAAAGAAUAGGGAAUAUAAUGUUCAUAUUUAAAGUAAGUAAGUAACACAUCUCAAUUGUUGAAAUUAUUUUUCCAUUAAAUUCAACGAUGACGAAUUAAAGUCAGAAAAUGACAAAAUCAGUGGUGGCUUGCAAUAAUUGCAAGGUCGCUGGACCCUUGCAAAAUGUGUGAAAGUAAAUAAUUGAAUGCACAGAGCUCGCUUUCUUACUUUCGUUCCGGUUUCCUGGAAAUUUCUUGGAGCUUUCAUAUACAGGAUUUGCCAUGUUAAGAAACAGGGUCAUGAUAAUGGGGCAAACAUUUGAUUGAACCAAUAAAGGAAGGGAAAGCAAAGUAAGGAAAAUUUGAAAUUAUAAGAAGCUAAAGAAACAUCCAACGUCAUUACCUCACUGUUACAAUUUUUAUUGAGAUUUGAGCAAGCACUUACCUAAACAUUACCUCCGCCUGUAAAUUUAUAACUUUUGAAAAUUAUGAGAUCUUAGAUUGCGAGAUAUUAAAAUUUAGAAUUUCAAUAUUAUUAUUCUUUUAAAAUGAAAUUUGAGAUAACAGAGUGAUUGAUAAUAUAGGAGAACUUGACCACGGUAGGCCAAAAAUCUAGGCAAGCACAUGCAUACACAGAAAUGUGAUGGAUUCUGAAAGAAAUUAAAGUAAUAAUGUACGUAGGUCCUUAAAAUAAAAAGCAAAAUCGCUUGGUGGCCCAGUAUAAUAUAUAUAUAUUAUAAUACAAUAUAAUACAAUAUAAAUUCAAUCCUUACCUGAGGCAUGGAUGCACAACGAGUUACCUGCCACGCUGGAGCACCUUGAGGUCAAUUGUUGCUCGAAUCUUGCUUUCUUGUCACGGAAUGGAAAUCUACCUCAGGCUCUUAAGUACCUUCGUGUUGAAGACUGUUCAAAGCUGGAGUCGUUAGCAGAAAGGUUGGACAACACAUCCCUUGAAGAAAUUGAUAUUUCAGGGCUUGAAAAUCUUAAAUCAUUACCUGCCGGUUUGCAUAAUCUCCACGAUCUUCAAAAGAUUUGGAUAUCUGAAUGUCCAAAUCUUGAGUCAUUUCCCGAAGAAGGAUUGCCUUCUACGAAACUGACUCUGCUCACGAUAUGUGAUUGUGAGAAUCUGAAGGCUUUACCCAACUACAUGCACAAUCUCACUUCAUUGAAAACUCUGCGUCUCGGUAAUUGUCCGAAGCUCACAUACUUUCCAGAGCAGGGCCUGCCUAAAUCACUUUUGGAACUAAUUGUCUCUAAUUGCCCGUUGAUAGAAGAAAGGUGCAGAAAGGAUGAAGGAAAAUAUUGGCCCAUGAUUUCCCAUAUACCUUGUGUCCAAAUUAAUUUCAGAUCAGUUUUUAAAGGAAGAUCCAUCAAUUAGAUUGUGUAAUCAUAAUUUCUUUUUUUUUUCCACCUGUAAUUUAAUUGUAAUAUGAACUGACUUUAUCAAUAAAAGAAUAAAAUUAUGUUUAGGAUUGUCAGUGAAGUUGAUAAAGUAAGAAGAGCAGAGGAAAGAAGUAAUAAGAGAAGAAGAAACUCCAGUUCAAGGAGGGAUGUUAGUGAAACUGAUUAAAUGAGAAGGAACAGAGAAAUCGUGUACAUGCUGUUAUUGUGCUCUUGACAGCAGCUAAGCAGCUCACUUAAGCUGACGUGGAUUAGUUAGUUAUUUGGUUUAACAAAUUAUCAUUUUAUAUAUAUAAAUGAUAAAAAAUUGAAUUUAUAUUGUAUUAUAAUAUAUAUAUAUAUUAAACCAAACCAAACUUAUGUUAUAUGGUUUUUUAAAAAAAACUUAUUUUAUAUGGUUAAAAGAAAACCUUAUGUUAUACGGUUUCAAAAAAAUAAACUUAUAUUAUAUGGUUUCUUAUUAAUAAUCACACAAACCUUAAGGACUACCAUUUGUUUUUUGAAAAAAAAAAUUGAAUCUAAAGAUUUUUGAGAAAUGACCCAUUAUAAGUUGAACUUAUAUUAUAUAUAUUUUCUCCUUACAUGGACAACCACAGAAAAGACCGACCAGUUAUCUCCAUGAACUCGUAUAAAUUCAACCAAAAUAACAAUUCCAAUCUUACCAAAUUCUUGAGUUAAAUUUAUUCAAUGCUUUUUUUUUAUAGGAAAUUUUUUCCAAUGCUACUUUUCCUUUUUUGGGGAAAUUAGACCGCGGUAUGUGUAGAAGACAUUGAGGUGUAAAGCGACAUUAAUUUCAUGGGUUAUGCGUUAUAGGCAUAAUAUAUUUUCAGUCCAGAUUCAAUUAUGCAAAGAGGCUUGAGAACUUAAAAUUAACCACAAACUAAACAGACGAAGUAAAUACAUGAUUAUGCAACAUAACAUUAAUUCUCUCAAUUUAUAACUGUUUUUGCUACAUGAAUCUUGCACAGUUAGUCCUAAUUGAAGACUAAAAAAGAACAAUUGGAACAAGGUUUUGGAAUAGAAUGAUAUACAAUCAAUAUGAUCCAUUUCUAGUGGCCAAAGCUAAUUAACUGCAAUUUCUAGACUCCUAAGUAUACUAGUCAUAGGAAACUGUUUAGAAAACUAGUGAUCAGAUUAGAUUUUGAAAAGAAAUAAUGUUCAUUUCCCCUUCUCUACCUUUUUUUUUUUUUGUUUUAUUUUUAUAGCAAAGAAUUAUAUCAUGAAAAGAAUCAAUUUAAUCACCUUUUCCAGCAGCCCAAUUUUUCUUUUAUAAAAUUGGACCACGGAGACAAAGAAGAAUUAUUCAUACCUUCAUCACUAAGGAAAUACUUUUCGGUAUGGCUAAGGUGAGAAAAGGCUUUCCACAAACACUAGUAGUUUGUAUUCCUAUAAAUUUUCUUUGAAGUCAAUAAAAACCAUAAGUUUUUUACAAUAACCAUCUCUUUGAUCAAAAAGUGCCGUAUUCCUUUAGAAUUUAAAACCGGCAAAAACCGAAUCGAUCAGUGUCUUUGAAGAGACAUAAUGGUCGUAAUUCUUUAAAUGAGUUGGCUAUGGAAAUCCUUAUCCAAGAUUCUUUUACGCCAUAUUCUUUCGUAAACCAAAAUUCAUUUUGGAAUACUCCUCGUCCCAACAUACAGAGACAGUCUGUCAUAACUUUAGCCGAAUACUUAUGAUAAUGAUCAUUUGUGAUUUCAUCAGGCAUAGGCAAGAACUUGAACUUGUCUACUACCAACCAAAAGCCGAAAUUCGCCUGCCACCCCCAAUGAUUCCUAAUACUAUUUUAAUACCAAGUUUGAUCACAAGAUAAGAAUCAGAUUUAACACUUUUCCAAGUGUUGUUUCUCAAAGAGAAGUCAUACACAUUUUAUUUUCUACCAGGAACUGUUGUACUAUCUAGCCAAAUGUAAAUUUCCGGUCUUGGUAUUCUCUUACCUCUCUAGUGGAAGGAUUGUAUAUCUUAUAUAAAUAGUUAUUAUAAUUACGCUCCGAGUCUCUCUUUAGUCCUCAAGCACAAUAAGCCAUUACAAGAACCCAAUAUCAAAACCGAUUCAUAAAGCUAACCAUUGCUUUAAUUUGCAAGUUAAAGAAAAAAUCACUUCAGGUUUCAGGGAUACUGUACGUAAAAUCGAGGAAGGUAACUGGAAAACACUUGUAUAUAUGUCAAGCAAACUGCAGGAUUUGUGAUUAUAUGUGUAAAAUAGAUAAGACUGAUAAUAUAGCAAUCGCAUAUACAUGCCAAUCCUAGUGGAGUAAAAGCUCUAUUGCCACUAGAAUUCUGUUCGUGGAAUUUGUUCUCAAAUUUCAACCGUAUGUAAAGUUUGAACUCUAAUUGCUUAUAAUGUAUUGAUUAAGAAUAAUCCUAAGAGUUCCUGAUUGAAAUUUUUUAAUGACUUUUUUAUUGUUUUGGAUAUACAAAUUGCAUUAAGAAAAAAUAUUGUCAAUUUCAGAGGAUAACGGGAAAUGAUUAUGCUUCAAAAGGCCAGAGAUUAGAGAAUAAAGAAGCAUUCAUUACUGAUAUACAAAAGAGAAACACUCCAAAAUUGCUAGCAAACUAGUUUCAUUUACUAUUUGGAUUUUGGAAGGGGUGAAGUUUUGAGCUUCAGUUGUUCCUCUAAAAUCAAAAGUAGCAAUUAAGCGUUCUCAUUUAGAAAGAGCAAAGAAGACUUAUUCGUACCUUACUAAAGCUAACAUUAUGGCAUGGUUGUUCAUAUAUAACGGCUGCUCUGUUAUGCUAGCUUCUCUGUUUUUUUUUUUUUUAUAUUACAUGAGACUAUUGCUCAAAUUACAACUCAUAUUACAUGAGAGUAUAACUGAUAUUUACAAAUCAAACUAUCACUGGGACCAAUUUACAUCAAUGCUAAUGGAACUCUGCCCAGAUUUUAACCCUCACAAAUAUUCGAGGGAUGUCUACUCCUUACUUUUAGGUAAGGGAGAAGACUACCUUCACUCAAUUUUAAUUGAGGAAGAAAAUAACCCCACAAUGCAUUUGCUUCUAUUUUUGCUUGCAGUUUUGAACAUAAAUUCUUGCUCAAAUAACCCAUAAUUAAAUAACACUAAUAUGGCUCGUGAAAUCCCAUAAUAGCUAAUUACGCAACUUUCUCCUCCUCCUCAAUUCUGUCUUCCCCUGCUCGUACACUAAAUUCAAAAUUCAAUGCCCCUAAAAACAACACAAGAAAUCUUUGAGAUAAUUCAUGACCAGUUUAUACAUAGUAGCAAUUGAAAAAGGAAAAAGAAUGAAAGAGUUAAUUAUUAUUCAGACCUUCACGUAUUCGGAAGUUUGUUCUGCUAUUGGGUGAGAUCAAGCUCUCAGCAUAUACUUCCAUAUGAUACUUUCCAACAUUUUCUUGAAAGCCAUCAAUCAUAAAAUCUUCAUACUUUUUUUCAUCCUUUGGAUCAAUAAGUACAAAUUUCUCGUCUAAAACAUACAAAAUAAAAUCAUUGUCCUUCUUGGAACAUAAUGGCUGCAAUGCCUGAAUUGAAUUGGCUAAUGAAAUUUAAGUCCAGGAUUCUCUCAGCCCAUAUUCUUUCAUAAUCCAAAAUUCUUUCGACCAUAAUGUUGACUCUGAGAUUAAACAAAGGCAAUUUCCUAUAAUUGAAUAUGAAUAUUUGGAAUGAUAUGGGCAAACAUUUUUCAGGUAAGGCUAAGAAUUUGAACUUGUCUUUUGCCAAAACAAAUGCCGCAAUCAUGUAAUCAGAAUUGAGCUUACAAAAACCGAAGUGGACAGUUCCAUUGAGAUUGGUCACCCGAGAACAAUGAUGAAAAAACUUAAAAUCAGUUUCAAAGGUGUUCCAAAGUAUUUUUCCUUAAAGAGAAGACAUGCACACCUACUACUACUUUGGCAUUUCUAUAAGAGUGAGAAAACCCUAAAACCUUGAACUCAUCUAUUGAUUGAGCAUAACCUAAGCUAACUAACGGUGUAUCUCUAUUAGUGAAGGGUUCAUAGUCGUUUGGUAUUCUCUUGAACUCUCUAGUUGAACAAUUGUAUAUAAAUAAAGUUUCAGUUGCAGUUUCAUCUCGGAGGGAUAAGCACAACAAAGCAUUACAAGGGCAGCAUAUCCUAAGACAAUCAAAAGAGCUUUCUUUAAUUGGAAAAUCAAACUGAUCUUCCGUAAUAAUUUUGCUAUCGAGGUCUAUACGGAGAAGAGAGUUUCUUACCAAGCUCUUGACCAUAUCAACAAGAACCAGCGUUUGUCCUUGUUGGUUUUUAGUUUGGUUGAUCUUGACGAACCGAGGAUUAGUAAUUAAGGCCCUGAAUGACUUGGAUAAACACUUGAAUAGGCAGAGAGACUUGGCGGGGAGUUUUGCAAACACAUCGACGAUGAUAUCUGGAGGAAGAGCCACAUUGCUUCUUCACCAAGUUAAGCAAAGACUUUAGGGUUUCUUGAUCUCAAUUUGGUAGCCGUGAUGUUUGUAAAGAGCAGUCAUUCGCAUAAAAACUAUUAAAUAUAUUAUUUUUUUAUUCUAAAACAAUAUCAAAGCAUUUUUUAAAUACUGCUCCGUUAAUUUUGAAGUAAAGUUUUUGGGCUCCUUUCAAAAUAUUUUGCCUCUACUCCCAAAUGGGGGUUUUUAAUUAAAUACCCUUUAAUAGUUUUAAAAUUAUUUAAAUACCCCAUCCUUUUUUAGUUUUCAUGGAUACCCUAACAAAUGUGAGUAAAGUCAGAAAUACCCUUAAUGAAUGCAUCAAAUUCACUCAAUGAAUUGUCUUCAUAUUUCUUUCCUCAUUUCUUUCACCCAAAUCUAUUUUUGCUGCCGAUUCUCUCAAAGUCUCUUAGAAUCUCUCAAAAUCUCUCAUAACUUCUUACACAAAUACAAUUAUGUAUUCAUUUCUUUAACACCCACUCUUUCUUUAAAGGUGCAUUGCUUAUUAAACAACCCAAUAAGAGAUGUUAAUGUUGUUAGGUUUUAAAUUUUUUAAUUUUUAGGAAAAUUUAGAAAUUUUCCUCACAUUACAAUGUUUUAUUUUCACCAUUUUUUCUUAUAUGUAGAAAUUUAUGCAAUGUAGGUUGUUUGAUUAUUUUUUUCAGCAAUAUAGCUUAUUUAUGGCGAAAAUGUUUCGCGUUAUGCAUUCUUUUGAUAUCGUGUACGUCAUAUAGUUAGUCAUAUAGGUCAUGUAAAUAAUAUAGUCGUGUAAGUCGUGUAGGUCAUGUAAGAAAUAUAGUCAUGUAAGUCGUGUAAGUAAUAGAGUCGUGUAGGUCGUGUAGUUACUUGUAUAUGAAAUUUGAUAUUAUUAUUUUUAUUGUAUCAUCAGAUAUGGGAAGUGGCUCGUUCUCACUUCGAGGGGAGGUGUUAUGGGAUUAUGACAACUAACAUUGCAGAAAGUAUGAAUUCUCUCUUGAAAGAAGCACGAACCUUGCCUAUUCAUAAGUUAAUGGAUUGUAUCAUUGACAAAUUACAAGAAUAGUUUGCAAAAAGGCGAGAUAUGGAAAUGGAUGCAUGUACUCUAAUUUGUUGCAUUAUGAAAUAACUAAAUUUUUUUACAUUCCAAUUUAAUUUCACUUCUUUGUUUUUAUAAUUUCAGUUGACAUUUUCUACAUAGCAGCAAAUAUAAAUUCUUAGCACCAAUUAAGUCUUUAAAGAACUAAAUUAAUCUAAUGAUUAUUGGAAAAAGUCGUGUAAUACAAGAAGUCGUGUAAUACAUGAAGGUGGUGUAAUCGCAUAAUAUAUGAAGGUCGUGUAAUACACGAAUAUAUUACAUGACCUUACACAACCAAAUCGUGUGUUCAUAAAUUACAGCAAAAAAAUAAAUUUGCAUAUUCGACAGUUUGAGAAAUGAUUAGAUUAAUUAUUAUAAACAAACAAAGUUAUUAGUUUACAAUGUCAAUAUUUGGAUAGGAUACACUAAUGGGCAUCGCAAUUAAACAAAUUACAACCAUUUAAAAAGUUUUUUUUAUCUUCAAACUGUUUUCUUCCUCUGCCCAAGCAUACAUGAGGAAUGUCUGCAAAUAAUAAAUUCAUGAAAUCAAUUAGAAACAACUCUUAAUCAAAGGCUGCUUGAAAAAACCACUUUAGUUAAUUCUUCCUAUUAAUAGCCCAGGACCAUUGAUAGUGAUGGCCUAUAAAAUUUCAUUUUACUAAAUCAAACUAUUCCACCAGCAAUGACUUCAUUUAAAAAAACAAUACUCACAUGUUAGUUGUUCUCCGAAAGUAAUGACUGGUCAUAGAAAAGUCUUUCAGCAAGUUGCUUUCAUGAAGGUCGUGUAAUUGCAAUACAUGAAGGUCGUGUAAUCGUGCAAUACAUUAAGGUCGUGUAAUCGUGCAAUACAUGAAGGUCGUGUAAUACACAGCCUUAAAUCCUACAUAACCUUACACGACCAAAUCAUGUGUUACAUGACAAAAUUAUAAUCGGCACAAUCCAUCAAAUUUUCACAAUUUGCAUGCAGCAAGACAACUAGAAAUUUAUUUUUGAACAUGUAAUGAGAGACCCGCAACUAAUUAAUCUAUAUUUUCUAUAGAAACCCUAACUUUUUGUUUUUUUUCCCCGAAUAUCAACAAGAAAACUAAUUAUAGGGAAUUGCUUACCUCAACUAGUUACAUUAUGACCAUUUUAUAGUAAAAGAUCAACUCUCACCGAUGAUUAUGUAGCGACAAACUAGGCUUCUCUUUCUCAGUUGUGGCAGCUUCUCCUUCUCAGGCUCAGUUUGCUCGUGUUGAAGUUCGAUUUAGCAUGUAUGGAAAAUGAAUAUUUGUUUCGGUAGAGGUGAUGCCGGUGAGGGAAUUGCAGAUGUGAUGCUGGUUGAUAUUUGAUUUAACAUGUAUGAGAAUGGAGGAUGAGUGUUUGUUUGUUUGAGUAAAGGUAAUGAAAGGAAUUGCAGCAGAUAUGAGUGUUUGUUUACUUCAGUAGAGGGGGGAGAGGUGUUGUCCGUUGAGUUGAAAUGUUUUAAAAUGAGGAUAACUUAGUAAUUUCCUAUCAAUUUUUAAAAGAUAUUGAUGAAAAUUUUGACAAAAUCAAAUUUUAAGGUAUUGAGAUAAUUUUUGAAGUAUGGAGGUGUACUUGCCGCAAUUAACUUUCCCAAAUGCCCAGCUAAAUACCCAAUGAAUAGCUCCGCCUCGAAUAUCAGAUGAAUAUCUCCAAUGAAAAUCACGUUCAACUCUUUUUUUUUUUUUUUUCCUCCCCAAGAGCUGGUUUUCACAGAGAAAACGUCUACAAUUUUUUCACAAAAACCAAAUUUCACAAUUUUGUAGUCAUCAAUUUGCUCAGCAUAACAAAACCCAUAUAAACUUUUCACUAUUUUACAUAUAGUAUAAUAUAACUCUUCUCCUCAGUCCUCAGUUCCCUCUUAUGAGAAAACUAAAAUUCACGUCUCCUUCUUCGAUAACAAAUUCACGUUAAAACCCUCAAAAACAACAAGACUUGCCAAUAUUUUAUAAUAAAGAAGAGAGAAACAAUGCCUUCAUAUCCUCGAAGUAAAUGAGAACUUGCAAUAAUUAAAGUAAGUAGUAACAUACGGUUUGCGACCCUGUUGAUGAUAGGCGUCUAGGCUAGCAAGUGGCUUUAGUAUGUAAAACUAUCUAGAAUCAAAAUCUAUGUACAUUCGAUAAGCGGGUCGGUCAGCAGAGUAGUAACCUUGGAUCAGGGUAUCAACUUGGAAACCAAAUUUCUUGUAAAGAUUCACAGCGGGAGUUCUCAAAGGAUCAACAUGAAGCGUUAUGCGGAGCACAGUUCUGGUUCUGCAUUUCUUAAUUGUUGCUUCCAGCAGUGCCUCUCCGUGACCUUGUCCCCGAUAAUUCUCCUUCACUAAUUAAGUUCACCCCAAAACCCAUUAAUUUCAUGUCAAUUAAAAAAAGAAAAGAAAAUGAAUAACUAACAAAUAUUUCUUUGAGGACUUUUAUCAAACAGUUGAGAUUACGGGCAUGCAGUGGAAAUUUCAACAAUGUGGACAAAGAUAUGGGACCUGCAAGCUUGGUGAUAGAAGCAGACAAGGAAGUAGGCCACGCGUACAUGACGUAGCCAACGACUUGUCCAUGAAUAUGAAUGUAAAGCAGGCCUGAGUUCUUCUUUUUCAGCUCUUCAUCAAAAGAUCUUGCCAGUGAUUCGUGCUUGGGAAAAAUCUUCUUCUCCAUCUUCACAAUCUCGUCCACUACGACAGUCCAGUUCGUUGAGUUUCUCUGCAGCUCCGUGACGGUUCCAUUACUCCCCAUGGCACGUGGCUUGUUGCGACUUACAGUUGAUCCAGCACGUACAGAAAAUUAGAAAUGAAGCCUCCUAGCAUUCUUUCGAACAGGCAAAAAAGUCAAUGGACAUGGAGGCGCCAUGUGUGGAAAUGUUAAGAGGAUGAUGAAGCCCCCAAGAGGCCAGCGUGGCGUGGCAUUGCACCUCAUCAUUUUUUUAAUGCUAAUCUGUAGAGCGGCCCAAAAUGACGGCACAAUAUAUAGCUGGCAAAGCCCACCCAAGCCCAACUAUUUGGGCCAACAUAUCAUAAAUUAAAACAAAUAUAAAAUGCACUGUACAGCGCAGACAAAGAUGCUUUGUGCAGAGAUGUGUUUUCUUUAUGGGUCCAAUUAUAUUGGUACCGCUCUAAGGUAGAGUAUCAUUUCAUAACUACAUUAUCAAAAUCAUAAUUAUUUUUUUAUUAUUUAUUACUUUGCGUGUGUGACUGAGAUUCGUGAUCCAUCAUAGAUCAGCUCCAACGUAACAGAAGCCUUCUUUUAUUGCUCAUCAUCUUUAGCAAACAUUCAUUGGCUUUGGAUGUUGCUACAAUUUAUUUUGCAUAAUUGAAAAGUAUAGUAGAUGUGCAUAAUGUUAGAAAUUUUAUUAUAAUAUAACAAAAUACGUAAUAACUUAUACUAAGAUGUUAAGAAUUCAUUGUGCCAAAUUCCUAUAUUUGUCUAUAAUAAAUCAAAAUUUCAAAAUAUAAAAUAUGGAUAAAAUUAAAUAGAAAAUGAUUCAAUUUAUAAAAUUAAAAAUGAAAUUUGAUUAAAUCAUAUUUCUAAGUAUGAAUAUUUAGUUAAACAUUUUUGAAAUAAAGAAAAUUAUUAAAAUUGAAAAAACAAAUAAUUAAAAAAUAGAAUUUUAAAAUUGAAAUAAAACUAAUUUUAUUGAUUGAUAAUAUAUUACAAAGAGAGAUGAGAAAAAUAAAUUGAGGUGAAAGAAGAGAAGAGAAGGUGUGUAGAGAUGUGUUCCACCCUCUUCUAUUUAUACUAAUACAUGGUUAAUCCAGACUACGCAAAUAAAUAAAACUAAUUACACCUUAACCGUAUAUUUGUCACACUGAUAAAACACAAACUUAACUUAAUCCACUAAUGCAUAUCCAACACAUUCCGUUAACAAUUACCAUAAAGUAGUGUACUAGGGUAUAUACAUAAUCAUUUUACAUAACUAUACGCUGAAUGUAAUACAUCAGCAAACUUGGAAAUCAUACAUUCAUUACAAAACUGCACCAUAUAAUACCCAGAGGAAAUAAGUCUCAAUACUUACCGAGAUCAUCAUCGCAUGAAUAGAGGAUAGAAAACCUUUCAAUACCUAACAAAACUUAACUACAUCAUACAGGUAAAGUAAUUUAACUCUCAAUACACAAUGCACAUAGCUUAUAAAGAAGACUACAUAUAUGAUGAUUGGCAAUCACAUAUCAUGACUCAAUUAAAUAUAUAAUACGUGUAUAUAAAAUCAUAACAUGAUAUUAAAUCAUAUUAUCAAUCAUAAAUGCUUCAUAGAAUACAUAAUGGUAAUAAUUGUCUCUACUCACAGAUUUUGUUUCACUCGUGGGUUCGUUGGGGCUCCUGUGGGUUUCUAAAUUCUUGAAAUUCUCAUAAAAUGCAGGAUUCAAAAAUUAACUGUUAGAACUGAUAUAAAAAUUAAUACGUACGAUGUAAAUUAAAUCAUAAUUUCUUAUAUUUCACAAAUCUAUUACCCACUGACUCACUUAAUAUAGAUCUAACUGUCCAAUUCUAUUUCUUAUAAUAUUUCUCUCAAUUCCACUUUUCAAAUUCUUUUCCACUCACAACUUUUUAAUUUUCUUUUUCACUCUUUUCUUUCUUUUCCUCAUUUCCCACUCUCGGCUUCUUUCUUUUCUUUUUCUUCUCUUUUAUCUUCUCUACUUUCUUAUUUCUCUCAUGUUUCCUUUAUUCAUUCUCAGUGCUCAAAUUUGAUAAAAUGAAGCAGUGUCAAAAUUUUGCAUUUAUAUAGCCACCAAACAGCCACCGAAUUGAAGCAAGUAGCUCUCACUUUUUAAAUAUAUGUAGGCACCACUUGAAGCAAGUGAAUAUGUAGCUAGCUGCUUCCAAUUGCCUGCACUUGUGCUAUAUAAUUGUAAAAUUGGACUUGGGUUUGAGAGGCCUCUUCAAUGCUUUCUAUUCUCCCGUAAUUAUUGUUAUUAGAAUAUUCCAACCUAGCCUACGUACAACUGCAUUCUUCACUCGUGCUCAUCGUAGGCCUCUUUCAGCCAAUGGUUAAUACUAAAAAACUUAUCACCCAUAUAAUUUUUUAAUUUGUGUGUAGGGUAAUAAUAAAAUUGAAAAUAAUUAAAAAAUAGCACAAUAAUGAGUUUUCACAAUAAAACAAAUCAAAUGAAAAUUGAAAAUUUAGAAAAGUGUAUCUAAAAAAAAGGAGCAUUUUUGGAAAUAAAAUGAAUAUAACUAAAAAGGGGCUUUUAUGAGAAGAUCAUAGGGGUGUCAAUAGUCCAACUCUUAUAUUUAAAGUUAUUUUGACUUUGUAUUUCCGAUGAUAUAUUUAUUAGGUAAUUUUUAAUUGAGUCAUUAUUUGUAGAAAAUUUUUCUGAGACCAGAAGUUUAUAAAAUGAAUCAAUUAAAUCCCUCUAAGUAUAAAUUUAUGUCAUUCAAGUCUUUAACUUAAUUUCUUCGUUAAAAUUAUUAACAACAUCAAGGACAUUUUAGUUAAAAAACAAUUAAGCACCUUCUCAUUCUUUAUUUUUGACAGCCAACAAUAGUUUAAAGUAAACUCAAGUAACCUAAAUUAAUGUUCUUUAAAAAAAAAGAAAAAAGAAAGAAAGAAAAGGUUAGUUAAUGUGUAGGCAAGCAAUAUCACUUCAUCAACUGCACAGAUAUGAUUUCUUUUCAAGCAAGUGGAUUUCUUUUAUAUAUAUUCAUCAUGUUAUCAAAUGAAUUAAUAAAUUGGUGAUCCUAGUGAUGUGUAUGGAACCAAUAGGAUAUCACUAGCUAUACAUGUUUGAUUUGAUUGUGAAAUCCUAUUGAUUAAUUGUUUUUAAUAAAAAGAAAUUGAAGUCUCUUUUUUCUUUUUUCAUUUUUGGACGGCAUGGAAUUAGCCCACAAUCUCAAUAACUAGAUGUCAAUGAAUAAGCAAUUGACAAUAAUUCUAAACAUGCGAAUUAGACUUCAAUCAAUGUCACUCAACCUGUGGGACAACAUACACAACUUUUAUGGGCUGUAUCUCAACCUCAAAAUGAAGAACCAAUGUUAUUGACAAUGAGUAGAAUAGUACAAUAUUCACCUUGAGCUGGCAUUUAAUUCUCCAAAAUAGAAUCUAGAAGACAAUUAACUAUUUCUUGUACUUGAAUUUCAGUUUACCAUAAUGUUGUCAAGGUGUUUCUUAGUUUCAAUUUAAUUGACCUUCAUACUUUUAGUUUUAUUUUUAGACCGAAUGUUAUUGUGGUUUUUCUAAUAUUAUAUUCAAUACAUGUUAUUUAGUUUAACAAUCAUCGUAUAUUUUAUAAAUGUGACGGAAUUACAUUUUCAUGUGUAAUUCCAAGAGUUAUUAUGGUUAUGUUUUUUAGUGGUGCUCUCUUUAUUCGAAUUAGUUUAAAAACUAAAGAUUUUGUUUAAAUUGUUGCAGAAAUUUGUUCCCGAUUACUCAAAUUGGUAAAUAGGCUAUUAGGCUCUGAAAAAAAAAUUAAUGCAUAAGGGUAAAAUUGUACUUUAAAUCACUAAUAUGAUAUAUAUGGGAAUAUAGUUAUCUUUUUAUGUUUAAAUUAACGUUUUCACUAACUUUUAUGGCCAAAGAAUUAGGUGAAGAAUCUGAAAGACAUAAAUUUGUAUUUAAAAGGAUUUAAUUGAUUCAUUUUAUAAACUUUUGGUCUUUGAAUUUUUUUUCUAUAAAUAAUAAUGACUCAAUUAAAGAUCAUCCUAUUUAUUAUUGGCUGUUUAAAAAAACAAAAGAGAUGACUAGAGUUUAUCACUUUGACUAUAACGUGGGUCAUAUUGGUAGUUGCCAUGAUGGCAUGUCGAAUUUGGGAUGAUACGUUGAGGACUUGAGGUUGGAUUUCUUUCAGCUUAAAAAAAAAAAAAGUAUGCGGCCAAAAUUUUGCUUAAAAGGUUAAAUGUACCCCUGUCAAAGGACCAUCUCACCUCUGACCAUUUAACUUCUACCGUUAAAUCUGGUAUAUUUAACUAGUUUUGACCUAUGCAAUGAUUUUUUCUUGCAAGUUGUGUCAUGUGUGGAAGGGUAAAUUUGUUUUUUUUUGGGUGAACUUGUUCUUUUCUUAAAAGUUUCGGGGCUAUAAGUCUCUUAACUUAAAGUUAUAAUUAUAAUUGCACUAAUGAUACAAUAAAUUUUUGAUAAAUAAAUAUUUAAGAAAUUAAUAACUUUGGGUAAAUAACACACUUCUCCCGCCCCAACUUGCACUAUUUAAAUUAAUAAUUUCAUUUAAUGCAUAUGAUAAUAUUUUUUUUAAAUCCAUUAAGGCCCAAUGAAAAUAUAAAUUAAUAAUUAAUUAAAUAUAAAAAUUCAUAACUACUAAAAUAUAAAUUUGUAACAUUAAAGAAUUCUGUUUUUCUUACAACUUCAAUCAUCUAAAUUAAACUCUUUGCAAAUAAAUGCAUAUAGAGUUGUUUGCUUUUUUUUUUAAUAUUUAUUCCUAAAUUGAAUUCAAUCUCCUCUCUUAAUUUUUUUUUUUUUUUUUGUAGAGCAUGCACCACAUUUAUAACUUUUUUUUUCAUGUUUUAGAAAGUAGUUACUUAAUAUUAUUAUUGCUUGAAAGACCUCUUUUGCAGAAAUAUUUGGCAAACACAAUUAUCAUAUGAAUCGUAAUUGUCAUCAGCAUAGUUAUCUAAUACCCUUUUAAUAAUCUGGUUGAAUUAGUGAGUGAUUCCAUCACUACAGCUAUGCUAUUAAAUAUAGUAGUCAUCAGAGGAGAUAUUGUUGACAUGAGGAAGUACGAUAUGUGUUUAUACAUAAGUAAAAAUAUUGAUAAAACUCUUCCUAAAAACAAAAUAACAAAAUUAUGUUUCUAAAUUAAUAAAUAUUCAUUGAUCAAUAAAUUAAUAAAUUAUUAAAAUUUAUAAAUAAAUAAAUUCUCUAAAAUGAUAUUUUUUUCUUAGUCCUAGCAAGUAGCAAUAUUAUUUUAUAGAGGUUUUAUUUUAGUAAUAGCAAUAGUAUAAUUAUAAUUAUUAUUAUCAUUAUAUAUAAUAAUUAGUUAUAAUAUUUACUAUUAUGAUAGUUAUCAUUAUAAUUGUUAUUAUAAUUGUUAAUUAUCACUAUCAUUAUUAUUAGUUAUUUUACUAUUUAUUAUUAUCGUUAGCAUAGUAGUAAGAUAUUAUGUCGCUAUUAUUAUUACUAUUAAUUUUUUUAUUUUGUAAAUGGGGCAAAUUUCAAAUUUUAAAAACUAUAAGAAGAAUUUCAUUAUUUCCACUAGUUUCAUUCUCAUAUAUAUAGAUACACACACAUAAAGAAAUACGAUCAAUUAUUCACAUUUCUCUAUCCCACGAAUAAAUACUGUAAAUUAUUAUUUUUUAAAAGAAAAAUAUCAAAACGGUGUGGGUCCCAGCAUAAGCCUUCUAACCUACCUUCUCCCUGUAGAAAAAAAAGAAAAGAAAGAAAAACUCAACUUUUAGGAAAAUGUUUUGGAAAAUGAGAUUCUUCCCACGUUAAGCACCACAAUAAGCACCAAACGGUGCGUUUUGGGCAUAGUAUAAAAUGAGCCAACUCACGUGAUACACACAUAGCCACCAGUAAACACGCGCAGUAGAUCUCACGCGAUAUACACCUUUUCUCCAUUUGCUCUCACAAAAAUCUCACCGUUUCUCUCGCUGUGUCUCUCUUUGAUCUCCAUUCUCAAACUUUCUCAGGCAGUGGUGCUCGGCGUUGGUCUCUGGCCGUGGGUUUCCGGCUGUGGGUCUCCGGCCGUGGGUCUCUCACCGCUGGUCUCUCACCGUGGGUCUGCUCUCUCUCUUCUCUAUCAUCUCUAUUCUCAAACUUUCUUAGGCAGUGGUGCUCGGCGUUGGUCUCUCACCGUGGGUCUGCUCUCUCUCUUCUCUACCGUCUCUGUUCUCUCGAAUUGUAUAGGUAAUGGCAAAUUUCCGUGAGUUGAUUUUUAAUUUUUGAAAAUCCAGUUGAUAUUGUGAGCUUAAUUACACUUGGAUUGAUGUUGUAGUCGAAUUGUAUAGGUAAUGGCAAAUUUCCGUGAGUUGAUUUUUAAUUUUUGAAAAUCCAGUUGAUAUUGUGAGCAAAUGAGACAAUUAUUUUCAAUAGUCUUAGGAGAUGGCCUUGUGCUGGAGAUGGGAUUUUGAUAGCCUUAAGAGAUGGUCUUGUGCUGGAGAUGUCAUUUUGAUAGUUAUUUACAUGCAGUUUCUUGGUUACAAUUGGCAAUCCGUUAUAUCCUUUGAACUUGACUACUACAAAUAUUCCAAUUGAUGGAUGAGUUGAUUAUUCUUGUGUUCCUCUUAGACAUUUUUGAAAUGAGUGGCAAACAGACCAUAUUUUUCUUCUUUUUGUUUUCUUUGUAAUUGAAAUUGAAUAAUUUUAUUUGAGCUGAAUGAAAUUAGUGUAGACUUUUUGUUGUACUUUUGAGAUGAAUGCAGUAAGAUGUAUUUCUUUUUUUUUGGGGGAGAAAAAAAGAAAAUUAGACCUAGCACAUACUUAUGUAUUUCUUUUUUUUUGUCUUUGCCUAGGUGAAGUUGAAUUGGUGGUCAUUAGCAUAAAGAUGCAAUUGGUAAUUUUGAAGUUGGUUCAGUAAGCUGGUUUUUAAUAAAUUGACUACCAUUUUUUCUUUCUGGAAGGAAUCUGGGUUGUUGUGUAUAUUGAACAGAAUUUGUUCAAUCAUUAUGUCUUCAAGCACAAGCGAAAUGCAAACACAACUAAAAGCUUGUGAUAAAUGCUGCAACAACAAUAAGGUCUUGCAAACUUCACGUACAAAAGAAAAUCCGAAUCGUAGGUUUUGGAAGUGCAAAGGAUGUGGGGCUUUUGAAUGGGAUGAUGAUUGGAAGAGCAGUGAAUGUACUGAUUUUAGAGGGAUGGAAGAUCGUAUUAUAAAUUAGAAUAAAAUUGAGAUGUUGAUAGCAGAAGUCCGCAAGUUGGGCCAUCAAAUCGAAUGCUUAUCUCUUAAAUUUCAGUUGCUUGAGCAAGAACUUCAACGAAGACAACAACCAAGUGUUCUUGUAACAUACAUCCCGCAAAUAAUGAUAACUCUUUUAAUAUGUAUUAUAUUUAAGUUGUGCAAUUAAUUAAUGUAUUGUUAUUUUUCUUUUUCUUUUUGGCGAAUUGUAUCAUGAAUGCUUCAGUGGAUGUAAACAAAAACUAAUGUUUCUGUAAAGGGCAGGAAAGAUUAUGCUUAUGAUUGUUGCUGUCAUUUUAAUUUGCCUUAUCAUUUGCAUCUUUCUGUCAUUUGAUCCCCAUAACUAGUUUGUAAGGGAAUUGUUCCAUGCUUUUUCACAAAAUAUAGAUAAUUGCUGCACAUUAAAAACACAUUUAUUCUUUAGGAAAUAAUUAAAGAAUAACAAAUCUGCAGUUACAGAGGAUCAAUUCCAAUAGCAUACAAUUAAAAAAUAACAUAAUAUCAUUUAUCUCUCCACCAUUUCAGUAGCACACAAUCAAAGAAUAACAUAUUUGCAGCAUCUCCUCAAUUCCAAUAGCAUACAAUUAAAAAAUAUCAGAAUAUCAUAUAUCCUCUCACCAUUCCAGUAGCACACAAUUAAAGAAUAACACAUGCAGCAUAUCCCUCCACCAUUCCACCAGCAUAUAAUUCAAAAAUAACACAUGCAGCAUAUCCCUCCACCAUUCCACCAGCAUAUAAUUCAAAAAUAAAACAUGCAGCAUAUCCCUCCACCAUUCCACCAACAUAUAAUUCAAAAAUAACACAUGUAGCAUAUCCCUCCACCAUUCCAAUCCAAUAGCACACGGCCAAAUAAUAACACAGCUGCAGCAUAUAAAUCUAAUAAAGGAUCAUGCAUAGAUAAAAAACAAUUUCAUGUAUGAAAUCCACAAUCUUACAUAUCAUAGCCAAGGGCUUGUAUCCGAAUAUUAAUGAGAAUAAAACAAAAACAAUGCUAUUCUAGGAAAUCACUUCGAAACUCCUUAUCAACUUCAUAUUCACUAUCUUGCUGAAAGAGUAGCUGCUGAAAAUGUCCAUGCGGCUGGAAUUGUGGUUCCUAUUAAAAAUAAAUAAAUAUUUUGUUAUAAUAAAAGAAAAUAAAGUAGAUAAGAUGAAUAAAUACUAAAUUUAUCACCACUUACCGUACAAGAAUUUUGUGUAGGUGUUGGAUAAACAUUAUCCCCAACCAUAUGAUGUAAGCUCAUAAGACCCUAAAACAAACAUACAUUAAAUGAAGCGAUAAUAAAAAAAAUUCAUAACAUAUACUAUGAAAAACUUACAUUACAAUAGUCCAUAACUCCAUGUGGGUACAUAUUCAUAUCAACACAACUUCCUUCAGGAUUUUGAAAUGCCUAUAGAGGAUCAAUAAUAUAUUAGAAAAAUGUCUAUGAUUAAGUAAUAAAAAUCAACGACAUGCAUAUGAAUUCCAUAAAACCUACCGUAACAACAUUGUUCUCGUGUGUUGGGAUCACAGUCAGCACUUGCUCGUUCACCUGUCCAUCCUGCAAAGUCAACAAAACAUACAUUUGAACAUCAUUUAUCUCAUAAAUUUUUUAACUUUAAUUAAAUUGAAAAUACAUUUUAAAAGUACCUUUGCAUUAGAACGUGAGGAAUUCAUUUUAGAUUUUGAAAAUUUAUUAUAUUUUUUUCUUUGACAAGGUGGCCGACCUUUACGACGCCGAGCUACUGGAUCUCUAACUGUUUCUACUUCCACACUACAACUUCCUUGGCCUGUAACAAUAGUUACUUCAUUAUCUCCGCAAGGAAUUGCCUUUGAUCAAUCCUCCCGUACAUUCUCAAUCCAAUUGAAAACAAGAUUAGAGCUUUCAAUCUUAUGUGCAGCCAUAUUCGCAACCUCCGCGAAAGUAGCACACAUUUUCUCAUAUCGUUUUUGCUCAUCCGUACAGCUAUGAAGCUCAUAACUCGCUUUCACUCUACUAUGGCAUCUCCACACAUCUUUUCUCCAUCUUCGUAAAAUAUACUUUUCUGGAAGUACUUCUACGUCAUUGCGGAUCAUGAUUGUAAUGGCAUGCCUACAAAGAAUACCUCUAAAUUGGAACCUUGAGCAGCUGCAACGUAUUUCACCAUUUUCUUUUUCAAAAUAUACUUCAAAAAAGGUUCUCUUUUUACCCUCUCCAACUUUGACAUCCUCUCUAACUAUAUAUUCACAACCCAUAGAAUUGACAAAUUCGCAAUACAUUUUCCCAAUCAAUUCUUGCUGAAAUUCUUGAAAUUUUGAAAUAGUGUACACAUCUCGGACUUGCCUCUCCAUUGCAUAAGAUGUUACACGUGGCAUUUGUUGGGAAAGACACCUGACAUCUUCUUCAACUUCCUUCUGAACUUUAUUCUUCAACGCACAACUGUAUUGCUCUACAAACUGCUUCAAAGUAGUCUUUAAGUUAACAUAACCAUCAAAAAAUGCAUUCAUACUUUCACUGCGUUGAGUAGAUUACAUUCCUGCCCAAAAAGUAUUGUUUAGAUAACAAGGUACCCAAUGAUGCCUCUCAUCAUAUAAGCCUCGUAACCAUUCGUUAUCCCCCAAAUCAUAUUCUAUAAUCAUGUGGUGCUAAGUUUCCUCAAAUUUUGCAGCACUCUGGGAAUCAUAAACAGCACAAUGCAAGACAUUACUUAUGUUGCGAUAUUCUUUAUAACCCCCUAGCUUCUCUGGAAUUUUCUUCAUUAUAUGUCAUAAACACCACCGAUGUCGAGUAUUGGGGAAGACAUUCUGAAUUGCAACUUUCAUUGCCCUGUCUUGAUCUGUAAUGAUUCCAUUGGGAGCUGAAUUAGACAUGCAGGAUAGCCAUGUUCGAAAUAACCACGUGAAUGUCUCAAUAUCUUCGUGUGAAAUCAAUCCACACCCAAACAAAAUAGAAUGCCCAUGAUGAUUAACUCCUACAAAUGGAGCGAACGGCAUAUCAUACUUAUUUGUAAGAUACGUGGUGUCAAAUGUAACAACGUCUCCAAACUCCUUGUACGCUUCCCUAUUCCUUGGUUAUGCCCAAAAAACAUUUUUUAAUCGUCCCUCAUCAUCCACUUGCACACUAAAGUAAAACCUAUUAUCUUCUGCUUGCACUUUCAUAAAAUAGUUUUGAAGAGCAGCAGCAUCUCCAUCUCCAAGCCGUAAUCUUCUUUCUUUCUGAACAUGAUUUCUACAAUCUCUUUCUAUGAAUGUCACAUUUUCAUGACCGCUAGCCUCAAUAACAAGUGAUUGAUAAUUUUUACACAAUCUGAUUCCUGCUCGAUCAUUCACAUCAAGCAUCUUUUUUGCAUAUGUAUUGAGGCUAAGAUUGCACCGAAAAUACUUGGAUUUGGUUGGAGUUAACAGCACAUGGUUGUGUUCAAGAUUUAAGCUUCGAAUUGUCCACUUUCCAUCAUCCCCUAAACCAGCUCUCAAUCUAGCAUUGCAGCUUGUUUUUGCAUUAGGUUGGGGCUUUAAAAUUUUCACAGAUUUGCUUCUUGUUUCACCACUUCUCCCACAAGCAAAAGUCACAUUUCUAAAUAUCCCAUCACUAUCCUUUCUACUAGUUCUCCUCAAAACCGGAAACCCUUUUCUUUUACCGUACUCUUUUAAGUAAAUAAACAAAUCGACAUCACUAUCAAAUGACAUCCCAAUUAUUGGCUCAUCAUCCUCCUCAUUUUUCUCCAACUCUUCAACUUCGAUGUCCUUUUCCAUAUUAUUUAUUUCUACAAAAUUGAAAUAAUUCACAUUGACAAAAUGAAAGUAACAAAAUACAAAUAAUUCAGCACAACCUUACAAAACUAAACUAACUAAUGAUGCAAAUUGUGAACACAAAUUUAAUAUAUACCAGCUGAAUUUGCAGCAUAUAUUUAUUUAUUUCGUGCUUACUAUUAACUUUGUAAUAGACAAUUAAACAAAUAAGUAUGGAAUAAUUUAUGGCAGUGUAAAUUACUAGCUGAAUCUGCAGCAUAUACUAGAUAAAAUGCCGAUCACUGUCUUGAUUUUUUAUUUUUCCAUUUCAUUAAGUAAUUUGUUUAACUUAAUUUAAAUUAAAAUAAUGGGUUGCAAAUUGAAAUUUAAGUGAAAUGGGCUGCUGCCAUUUCCUGCCUUGAGUUGAUAGAAAGGUGCUUACGGUCUACAACAUAUGAUGCGGGUUUUUGCCCAUGCCUUUUUGUUUAUAGAGAUCGACUAGACAAGUUUUUUACAAGACAAUGCGUCAUUGGAGAGGAUGAAAUGGUUUAGGCUCCUAAGGGCUGCAUUCUUUUUUUUUUUUUCUUUUUCAAUGAAAUUAAAAAAAAAAAGUAUAUCCUGGAUCGCAAUUAGUGCGUCUACGAUUUAACUAGUCGUCUUGAACAAAGAUUCUAUAACUCCUAAUCUGUAGCAUAUACGCAUCCAAUGCAUACCUGCAGAAAUUGAUUGCCGCAAUCGACGAUGAGUGAAGUCAGUCACCAAGAUGCAACUCAAUUCUUCACACAGCUAAGAGGAUGAUAUACCGUGAGAGAGCCAACGGAUUUCACACCGUGAGGAACAGUCCACAAGUAAAACAGAAAAUGCCUUAGGAGAAUUAGUUGUUCAGAUUUCUAGCUUGAAUGAGGAGUGGGUUUGGUGUGAAUGAGAGUGAGAGUGAUGCGUGCGUGAGAUGCACGUGUAAUGUGUUUGUUUGUUCAAACAGUGGCCUUUUAUAUUGCACACAAAACGUACUGUUCGGGACUUAUUGUGGUACUUAUUGUGUGCUGAAUAUCGGUGCUGAAAUGUUUUUAUUAAGAAAAAAACAAAACAGAACGUAGAAAUAGGAGCAAGCAGGCCGCAGGCCAAAACCUUGGGGGUACCACCAUACGACUUCUGACCUCCCUGCGGGCUUGUCCUUUGCAGGGGUGGUGACAUGUCACAUGCGUACCAAAAAAUAAAAUUAUCUUUUUGUAUUUUUGUAUUAUUAUUUUCCUCCGCUCAUUCACAAGUAGUGGAUGUGAAAGAAGAUUUUAUAUAGGACCGCCGCACUAUUUCAGCAUGCCGUAUUGAAUAACAAUAAAUCUUAUAAGCGAAAUUAAUGAAGAAUCUUAUAAUCCUAUUUAUUUUAGAAUCUGCUUUUCUAUUAUAUGUCUUCUUUUUUGCCCCCCCGCCCCUCCCCUCUUUUUUUUUGCUAGUCCCAACGAUUUUGAAAUAUUAACUGAUUCCCACUGGUUGAGAUAAGGAUAAUUUUUAAAAACCUCCCUGAAGUUUGAGGUUGUUGCAAGUAGACCGUCAAAAUUAUUUUAUUUAUAAAAAAUCUCAAACCGUCAGUUAAAUUUUUCUUAACUAGUAGUUGACUUUGAAAAGAUAAAAUUAUCCUUAAUGACAGUGCAAUCCUUGGCGUGAAAAUCACCGUUCUAUUUUUUAACAUUUUUAGUUACAAUGUCUCAAGUAACUAAAAAAUUUAUUUUAUCCUAUUUAAAUUAUCAAGAUUUCCUUAAAAUCCUAAAAAAAAGAAAAAAAUUGAAGAAAUAGCAACUACUACCAAUCCCAUCAUCACCCAUUCAAUUUUUUUUUCUAGUCAAUUUCUUCAAAAUUGAUAAAAAAACAUUCUUCAUCAUAAUCUACAUUCAGCAACAUCAUCAAGCCUAUAACUAUACAUCGCCUAAUCCAAAGCAUUAAAGACGAACAAGAAAAGAGAGUUAUGUGAUAUGUGAUCGUAGAUCACAAUCUAAAGAUCAGAUCAGGCCACUCUCAAACUUCCACGUCAACGUCCUUCUUGACCGGAGAGCAAAUGAGCCAUGUGAAACCACAUGGAUCCUUGACCUUUUCCACGUGCCCAGCCGCCCACAACAAUACGCGCUGUUGCCUUUAGCAAGCUUACCCUCAUCAACAAUUCCAGCACUCACAGCCUUGGCGAGGGCAGCCUCAACAUCAUCAAUCUCCAAGCAGAGGACGCAUCCGAUUCCCAUAUUCUUAGCUGCAGCAGAAUCAUCGGAAAAGUCAGAGACAAGAAAAAUGGAGCCAGCAAUCUCGAGUUGAGCUCUUGUUCAGCCUUUCGUUUGGUUUCCAUGUUGCAGUUGAUCUCCACAGCACCAAACGCUGUCUUGUAGAACUGAACAGCGUCAGCAACCUUCGAUGCUUCCACAAGCAACUGCGGCUUCAUCCCAUGAAGUUGGCCAAGGUAGCAGGAGCAGUCAUCUUCACGGUGCAGUUCAGAACAUCAGCCAUUGAGAGAGUUUUGGUGUCUAGACAAAGGGAAAGAACCUGAACUUAGGAGAGAGAAAAUCAAAGAGAGAGAAGAAAGAUGAAACCAAAGAGACGAAAUAAAAGAAAAUGAACUUCACCCAUUUUGAUACAGUGUUAAAGGCAAUAAAACGAUAACUCUUUGAUAACAAUACAAAAUAUCAAUAAUGCCCUCAAUUAGUCAAACGGCAACCAAACGGAACUAAAAUGUAACGGAUCUUUUACAACUAAAACGAUUUUGGCCAUCUACUUAUAACAGCCUCAAAUUUCAAGAAAUAGGGAUGGCAAUGGGGCAGAUAUGGGUUGGAUCUACUCUGCUCCAGAUCCAAAUCCAUAAUAAAAAUCAAGAUCCGUAUCUGCUCCAGAUCCGUUAUGAAUCCAUAUUUUUCGCUCCAUAUCCAAAUCCAAAAAAGAAAUAAAUAUCUAUAUCUGCUCCAAAUCCGAAAAAAAAUUAAAAUCCAAAUAUGCUCUAGAUCCGUCAUGAAUUCUAAAAUUCCGUAAUAAAAAAGUAAUAAUUUUUUAGAUUGAAAAUUGAAGGCUAAAAUGUAUUGAUAACAAAUAAAUUAUAUAAUUUUUCUCAAAAAUAUAAUAAAUAUUGUAGCUUAUACUUCUAUACCAAAACAACAAACAAGAAUGAUAAUAAAAUAUCAUUCAGAAGUAAUUGCAGGAGUAAGAUCAAUCUAAUAUUCUAUUGUCUCCUUCAUCAUUCUAGUAUCCACGAUACACCUACCCUCAUUUCUACAACAUUAGAUAAUGACAUAUAAAUUAAAUAUGAUUUAUAUUCAGUCCUUUAUUAUUUUUAUUAUGACCAUAUUUGACUAAAUAUAUGAAUAACUAUAUUCCUUAAAAAUUAUUUGGCCAAUAAGAUAAAAUAAAUUACCAGGUUAUAUUACUUGGAUUGCAAUUUGAAUAUUGCAUGUACAUGCUUUGAGGCUGGUUGAUCUUUAAAUUUACAAAACUAACCUUUAAGUUUUAAGAGUUUAAAUUCAUGAUAAAUACUACUAAUAUGCUAUGAAUAAAAUUUAUUAUCAUUAUCAUUCCACAAUUAUUAAGAAACUUUUAAAAUAAAAUAAAAUUAAAAGAUGAGUGGAUAUGGAUAUGGAUUUAGAUAUUAAGAUAGAUCUAUAUCUGCUCCAGAUCCGUCUUAGAUCCGCACAUCGAUAUCCAAAUCCGAUCCAAAUCCAUUUUAAACCGAUCCAAAUCCGAUCCGAUUGGAUUUGGAUCACAUGAAUCUUGGAUCAAAUCCAAUCCAUUGCCAUCCCUAUCCAGAAAGAUUUUUAAAAAUUACCCGUUGAGAUAACGUUCAUUAAUGGUAUUAGAUUCGGAGCAGACUGCAGACUCAGAAUUUUUUUUUUAGAUAACGUUCAUUAAUGGUAUUAGAUUCGGAGCAGACUGCAGACUCAAUAACUUUUUUUAAAAAAAAAAAAAUUCUGGAGAUUAACAACUUUAUUAAUUAUUCUUCGUACAUAAAUUUUUAGCCUGGAUUAGAUUUAUUUCAAUGGAAUCAGCUUUUCAUUGAAGAAAAUAAAGAUUGACGCGGGGGCGGAGGCCAACCAAUUUUUGGCAUCAGGUUCAACAACUUUAUUCUUUAUGCAGAAACUUUUAGCCGUCUGAUUAAUUUUAUCAUACAUUGAUAUUCGGUCGUUGGAUUAGAUCUAUUUCAAUUACGUGAGACAUAAUUAGCUUUUAAUUAAAGAGAAUAGAGAGUGACGCCGGGACCACCAAUUUUCUUUCCUGACUUUUGUCUAAAAAUUAUUGUGAAGUGCUUAUCUUAACCGUUGACCUGAAUCUAAUCAGAGGGCUAAAAAUUUGUGACUAGGUAAACAAACAGGCACCCAAAGUUCCAUUUAAGAUCAAUCGGAAAGAAAGUGAGCGAGCAUAAUCACAGAGAGAAAAACCUUGUUGAUUUUCCUUAAUACCUUUUCUUCUAAACCCCCCCCCCCCCCCCCGCCCCGGGGGAAAAAAACAAUAACAACCAAAAAAUAAAAAAUAAAAUAAAAGACACGCACAAACACAUUUUUUUUUUUCUAUAGAUUUCAGUUUUCUGUAGAUUUAUCCUGCCAACAUUUUUUCAUAGUCAUUUUCUGUCAAUUCUUGUCGUCCUUCCCAAAAAAAAAAAAUGUCGAUCGUUGGAGAAACCAUUCUAACUGUCACCAUUGAGAUGUUGGUGAAAAGUUGAUAUCAGAUGUGAUUCAGCUGUUCGCACGCCAAGAACAGAUCCAAGCCGCUCUUAAGGAUUGGAAGAAGAAACUGGGGAUGAUCAGGGCGGUGCUCGACGACGCCGUUGAGCAGCAGACAACGAAGCAGUCAGUGAAGACGUGGCUGGGCGGACUUGAGAGCUUAGCUUAUGACGUGGAAGACAUAUUGGACGAGUUUGCAGCUGAGGCUUUGCGGAGGAAGUUGGUUUUCGAACCCGACGAUCUCGUUCAACCUCGUGCAGGUUACUUGCGGAAACUCAUUCCUACCUGCUGCACUAAAUUCAGUCCGCAAAAUGUGAGGUUCGAUUCCAAGAUGGCGGCGAGGAUAGAGGAGAUUACUGGCAGAUUCCAGGACAUCGUAGCGCAGAAAGACCUGCUGGAUUUGAAAGAAAAUUCAGGAGGAAAGUCCAACAAAUUAAGCAGUCGUCCAGAGACCACCAGUUUGGUGAUUGAAGCCGAAGUACAGGGCAGAGAAGAAGAGAAGAAAGCAAUAGUGGAGCUGUUAUUGAAAGAUGAUUUAAGUUCUGCUGGUAGAUUCUCCGUUAUUCCUAUUGUAGGCAUGGGAGGGCUGGGGAAGACAGCUCUUGCCCAACUUGUCUACAAUGACCCAACGGUGGAAAGCCAUUUUGACUUCCAAGCUUGGGUAUGUGUCUCAGAAGAUUUCGAUGCUGUCAGAGUGACAAGAGCCAUUCUCAACUCUCUGCAAAUUUGAAAUUGGAUGUAAAAAAGUGGUGUGGAGAAGAAGAAGUGCAAUGGUUCUCAGCCCACAGAAUUCACAGGUUACAAAUGAUAUGUCAAAUCGAGUGUUCCUAAGAGGGAUACUCCAGGAAGAGUUACCAAAUUUAGAAGAAGUGUCAAUUAAAAACAACGAAGAGCUAACAUGCUUAUGGCGGGCAGGACAUGGAUUACUGCAAGACAUUGGUUCCCUUCACCAAUUGAAGAUUGCGAGUUGUCCCCAACUUGUUUCCUUGGUGGAGGAGGAAGAAAAAGGCCAACAACAGCAAGGGUUGCCAUGCAGACUUCAGGUUCUGGAAUUAAGGAGCUGCCCAAGACUGGUGAAGCUACCACAAGCAUUUCUCAGCUUUAGUUCACUUCGGGACUUGAAGAUCUCAGACUGUGAUUCAAUGGAAGCUUUACCGGAUGCGCUGAUGCACAAAGGUAAAGCACCGCUUGAAAAGUUAAUCAUUUCUGGUUGUCAUACUCUGUAAUACAUCGCCAGGGCCCAGCUACCUCCUAGUCUUAAGAAGCUGAGGGUCUACUAUUGCAACAGUCUUAGGACGUUGGUAGAUGAAGAUCAAAUUUUAGACAUCAAUAGUUGCGGUGGGUACACCUCUGUUCUUGAGCAGUUACAGAUUAUUCAUUGUCCAUCUCUGACAUCCUUAUGGUCAAAAAGCGAGCUACCCGCCACGCUUGAAAAUAUUUAUGUUGAUCGUUGCUCGAAGCUUGCUUUCUUGUCAUUGAGAGGCAAUCUAUCGAAGGCUCUUAAGCACCUUUAUAUUGUUAGUUGCUCAAACCUGGAGUCAAUAGCAGAAGGGUUGGACGACAACACAUCUCUUGAAACUAUGGAAAUUUUUAUUUGUCAAAAUCUGAAAGUUUUACCCCAUAACUUGCACAAGGCCCGCCAUCUUCGACUAUUGAGGAUAAAUGAAUGUCCAAAUCUUGUUUCCUUUCCAGAAGGAGGGCUGGCGCCUUUUAGUAAACUGACUACGCUUGAGAUAUUUAAUUGUGAGAAACUGAAGGCCCUCCCCAACGGCCUCCGCAAUCUCACAUCUCUUCAAUACUUAUUAAUACAAGAUUGUCCAAGCAUAGGAUCUUUCACUGCGAAUUGCUUUCCCACCAACCUUACUUCAGUUCGUAUUGACUAUGAGAAGAUUUAUAAGCCAUUGAUAUUGGAGCGUGGCCUGGGAUUGCACAGAUUCACCUCUCUUAGACAACUCACGCUAUUUGGAGGAGAAUGUUGCAGCUUGGUAUCAUUUCCACUGGAGAAAGAUACAGGAAAGGCACUUCCUGCCUCUCUAAAGCAUCUGUCUAUUUGGAAUUUUCCUAAUUUGGAACGCAUAUCCUCAAUUGAAAACCUCACUUCAUUUGAAUCUCUUCAGCUCUGUUGUUGUCCAAAGCUCCAGGAGUUUCCAGACAAUGGCCUGCCUAUCUCACUUUUGAGACUAGAAAUCUAUGGAUGUCCGUUGAUUGAAGAAAGGUUCGAGAAGGAUAAAGGACAAUAUUGGUCCUUGAUAGCCGAUAUACCUUGUGUCCGGAUAGAUUGCCAUUAUGUGUGAUAGAUCCCAAAGCACAGAGACAACUGUAUCCUGUUUAAAUUCACAAAAUCCAAUCCCAGGUAUGUGUAGUUAGGGAUGGCAAAAAUUCUCACGGGACGGGUAGUCUCGGGGAUUUUUCCCAUUCGGGGAGGGUAUGAGGAUAAUUUCAUACCCAAUUUUUUAUUCGGGGAAGGGACAAGGAAAUUUAAUUUCUUAUUCGGGGAGAGGACGGGGAUGAGGUGGAAUCCCCAUCCCCUACCCAUUUCCCCAUUUUAAUUUUUAAUUUAAUUUUUAUUUUUUAAAAUUACUAGUAAAUAAAUAAUAAAAUUUGAAUUAUAAAAUUAUUAAAAUUGGUAAAAAUAACAAAUAGCAAAAUAUUUAUAUUAUUAAACUUUUAGGCCUAAUUAACUAAUUAAAGUCCUAAAUUUUUAUUUAGGACAUUAAAAAGACCAGAUAGAUUCUAUUAGCCCAAAAAUUUUGUUUUAAUUUUAAAAUUCAUUAAAUAUUUUAAACUUAAAUCUAUUUUUUUAUUUAUUUUUAGAUGUUAUAAUUGUCCACAGCGAAUCACAAUUUUAAUAUCUAAUCUAAUAUUUUCUCUUGAUUUGCUCCGACUUAACUAUUGUGUUGUAAAGGAAAUAGUCCACAUUUAUAAAGUGCCCACGCCACCAUUGAAAAAGUUAAUUUUGAAUCUAAAUUUGAUUUUAUUUGUAACAAUUUUGUAUUACACUGUUAAUUUGUUCAUGAUAGUUUGUAAAAGAAGUUUGUAUCCAUUGCAUGCUGCGUUACUUACUAAUUUAAUGUAUGUGACUUUUGUAAUGAAUAUUAAUGUAAGAUAUAUUUCGAACUUUACUUUUAUUUGAAUUUUUUUAUUUUAAUAUGAUUAACUUAAAAUCGAAAACAAAAAAAUGUAUUAGUUAUUCGGGGAUCGGGGACCUUCGGAGAUCCCCUGUUAUUAUUCAGGGAGGGGAUGGAGAUUCUCUCAAAUAAUUCUGACGGGACGAGGAGGGGACGAGGACAUACGCAAAAUAUCGGGGAUGGGUACGGGGAGAUUGAUCCCCUCCCCUCCCCUCCCCAUUGCCAUCCCUAUGUGUAGUUAAUAAAUAUCCAACCAAUUACAAUUAUGUUUUAAUUAUAUUUCUUUCUUUUUAAAAAAUUAAAUCUCAUGGAUUCUUCUUUUUCUUGAUGUUCUGAUCAAGAUCCAAACAGCUGAUUACACAAUUCCCCACCUGCUCGUUUCUUUCUAUAUCAGCUUAUCAAGGCAAUUUUUUAUUUUUCUCUUUUCAUGGUGAGAAAUACUUUUAUUUAUUAUUCUUAUUUUGUUUCUUUUCUUGACAAUUGACAAAGCUGAGCUACAUCUAAGUCAUUUUCCUUUAUGAUGCUGACCACUGAUGGUUGAUGUUAAGGAAGCUCACAUUUGCAAGAUUAUCAGCAAAGCAGAGGAUCACAGCAACAAUCAUAUGCAGUUACGAGUUGAUGACAUGGCAUGCCAGCUGGAGCCUGGUGGCUAUGUAAUCAGUUAUGCAUGUAUCAAUUAGCUAUAAGCUGUUAUAGUUAGUUGAAAGGAUUAGUUAAUAAUUUGUUGCUAAUUACAACUAUUUGUGCUGAGCUUCAGCUUAGUAUAAAUAACAACAGCUUUGUACAUAUCAUUAAUAAUGUGAUUAAUGAAAUUUAGUUUCUAGAAAACACUCAGAUCUAGUUCAUAUUUUCUUAGUUGCCAAACACGUUUUUCUCGUUCUUCAACUUGGUAUCAGAGCUAGUAACAAUGGCUUCAGUCCAUCUAGCUUCUUCUUCUUCUUCUCAAGCGCCAAUUAAUCAAACAACUGUUAAUUCAACAAAUAUGACAUUCACUUUCAAUACACCUAUCAAGUUAGAUCAAUCCAAUUAUUUGAUUUGGAGAUCUCAAGUUCUUGCUUCAAUUCGCGGCAACAGACUUGAGAAAUUCAUUGAUAACUCAACCACUCCACCUCCUUCACACAUUGCUCAGAGAAUUGAAGAUGAUCUAAGAUCUGUAGAAAAUCCAGAAUUUGCAACUCGGAGAUCACAAGAUCAGGUGCUGCUUGGCUGGUUACCUUCUUCAAUGAGUGAAGGAAUCAUCAGUCUAGUCUUCAAUCUAGAGACUUCUCGAGAGGUAUGGAAAGCUAUAGAAGUUCAAUUUGGAUCUCAAUCUAAAUUUAGACUUCUGCAUUUACGAUAUAUGAUGAAUUCAACUAGGAAAGAUGAUCUGAAAAUUACUGAUUACUUCAUUAAGAUGAAAAGUAUUGCUGAUAAUAUGGCUGCAGCUGGUAGUGCGUUAAGUGAUGAUGAUUUGAUUUUGCAUGUACUCUCUAGCUUAGGUCCAGAUUAUAACUCUGUUGCUACCUAUAUCACUGGACAAGUAGGAGUAGGAAAAAUGAAUGUAAAUGAAGCUUAUACUAUGCUUCUAACUCAAGAAGCUAGGAUUGAACAACAAACUCAUAUGCUAGCUAAUACUGAUGUGAUACAAAACUUUGAGGCUAAUCUUGCCUAUAACAAAGGUUAUAAAAUGGGAAAUAUGUCAGGAGGAAGAGGUUUUGGUAGCUUUGGAUAUAAUUCUGGUUAUGGAAACAGUGGAAACAGUAACAGUAAUGGUUACAAAGGAGGUUAUGGAGGCUCUGGAUUUAAUGCUAAUAGUGGAAAUGCUUAUGGAUCUAACAAUCAGUUCAAGGCUUAUCAAGGAGAUAAUCAGAGAGGUGGAGGAGGAGGUAACUAGAACCAGAAUGCUGGAAAUAGAGGAUUUAACAAUAGCAGACCACCUGGAAACACUAAGCCUCAAUGGAAUGUCUCUAAGCCAACCUGUCAAAUCUGUUGUAGAACAGGCCACACUGCAAAUAUUUGCUGGAAACUUGAGGAAUUCAUGGCAUUUGGAGCUUACAGACCACCACCAAACAGAAAUCCAAAAUCUGCAUAUUUGGCUAAUAUGGAAGGCCCCGCUGAUACUAACUGGUAUUUGGAUAGUGGUGCAACACACCAUCUGACUAAUGAUAUCAACAUGCAUGUUUCUGAAGCUUUUACAGGUAUAUCUAAACUUGUUGUUGGCAAUGGUGCUGGAUUGGAUAUAACACUUAUUGGAAGUGCUGCAUUGAAAUCACAUAACUCCAAUAAUGCCUCUUUAACUUUUAAACUAAAUGAUAUCCUUUUAGUGCCACAAAUUACUAAAAACCUUAUCAGCAUCUCUAAACUCACAAAGGAUAAUGAUGUUGUGAUUGAGUUUACUAAUAAUUUCUGUUUUGUGAAGGACAAUGUGAGAAAUUUGAUCAUAUUGCAGGGCAAAGCUGAAAAUGGUCUAUACAAAUUGCUAUUGGUAAUAGGAAUAGUGUACUGCUGAAGAAGAUUGUACUGAAAUUCAGAAGUUUUGGAUGGAGAAGAAGAACUGAAAAUUGAGGAAUAUGGAAAUGAAGUUUCAUAAAAAACAACAUGACUUGCUAUAUAGAUUUUUCCAAAAGAAUGGAGACAUUUAAAACCCUUAUGCAAAGGACUAUACCCCAGAAAAAUACAUUUGGAUGUAUGAGACUGAAAUUUGUGUUGAUUAUAACUUCUAAGGAAGGGAAAGCAUGAACAUCCAAAUGUUCUCAAGAAUUUGUAAUCUGGAGAGAUGUGAAAUAUAGACUCAUAAGGAGAUUUCAUUGACUGAACUGGUGUAGGCAAUCUGUUUAUAAGGUAUGUGGCUGUAUGAAAAGACUCCCACCAGAAUUUAAUGGGUAGGUUUGCUUGUGCAAGUAGAGUAAGACCAAGUUCUGUAAUAUGCCUAUGCUUUCUCUCUACAAUUCCAUUUUGAUUGUGAGUGUAUGGACAUGAAUGUCUGAAGUGUAUGCCCUCUGUGUGAAGGAGGUUAACAAAGGAUCGAAAUUCUCCCCCCCAGUCUGAUUGAAGACAUUUUAUGGGUUUGUCAAGUUGUUUUUCUAUCUGGUUUUUGAAAAUUUUAAAGACUGAUAGUGUUUCACUUUUGGUUUUCAAAGGAAAGAUCCAAGUAAAUCUUAUGAAAUCGUCAACAAAGCUUAUAUAAUAUAUGUAGCCUUGUGAUGAAAUCACAGGGGCUGGUCCCCAUAAAUUAGUAUGCAAUAUUUCCAGGGGAAACUUUGUUUUGAUAUCAGAAGCUGGAAAAUGAAGUUGGUGCAUUUUUCCUAUUUGACAAGCAUCACAGAAAUUAAAGGUUGUAUUCUUAUUGUCAAGAAUGAAAGAUGAACAUGUUUUGAUUACAUGAUUCAAAAUCUUAGAAGAUGGAUGUCCCAAUCUCUGAUGCAAUACAGAAGUACUUAACAAACACUCAGAGUUUUUACAAGUAGCUGCAGUAGGCAGACAGGAGGUUUUAUUUGAAAAAAUAGAAUUGACAACUGAAAACAUUAAAAGAGGAGAAGUUGAUACAACUGACUCAGCAACAAAGUUUUGACUAUAAGCAGAAGAGGCUGUCUUAUUAGGUGAAACCAAUAGCAAUUUGUAUACCUUUGAAGCUGAAACUGCAGGUAAUGAUUCACAUUCUAAUCACCUUGGUCCUAUAUCUUCACCACUCUCUCACAACACCAUCCCAACCCUCACCACCAGCUGUUGUAUCUCAGCAAUCUAUACCUUCUUCACCAACUCAGCUCAAUCUUCCUAUACUUCUACCUGAUACAACACAAAAUACAUUAUUCUCCCAACCUCCUAUAUCUCACUCUCUGAUUCAACCAACCCACUCAUCUCAACCUAAACCAAAUCUCUCCACACAUAAAAUGAUCACUAGAGCAAAGGCUGGCAUAUACAAACCAAAGGCCUACCUAACAGAUCAUAAUAGCCUGGAACCAUCUACAGUUUCAGAAGCAUUAUCUGAUCCCAAAUGGAAAGCAGCAAUGCAGACUGAAUACCCUUAUGCCUAUGUGCCCAUCCUACAAACUAGUUGGGUGCAAAUGGGUGUUCAGAACCAAGUACAACACAGAUGGCUCAGUUUCAAAACAUAAAGCCAGACUGGUAGCCAAGGGAUUUCAUCAAACUGCAGGUAUUAAUUAUUCUGAAACUUUUAGUCCUGUAGUGAAGUCUUCAACAGUAAGAUUGAUUCUUAGUCUAGCUGUCAUGAACUGUUGGAAGGUCAGACAAAUUGAUGUGAAUAAUGUCUUCUUAAAUGAGGAUUUGUCAGAGGAUGUGUAUAUGGUUUAGCCUGAGGGUUUUGUGUCCAAAGAAGGCUACAUAUGCAAGCUUACCAAGGCUCUAUAUGGAUUGAAACAAGCUCCAAGAGCUUGGUAUGAUAAACUGAAAGGCUGUCUUACUGCCUGGAAUUUCAUCAAUUCAAAGGCUGACACAUCUCUUUUUGUUAAACAUGAUGAUAAGGGCAUUAUUAUUAUCUUGGUCUAUGUUGAUGAUAUUCUGGUUACUGGUCCUGACUCAGCAUUACUUGAAGAAUUUAUCACUAAACUAAGUAAGGCUUUUGCUCUCAAGGAUCUGGGUUUGAUAGCUUAUUUUCUUGGAGUGGAAGUAUGUUACACAACUCAUGGAAUGCAUCUGUCACAGACAAAGUAUAUUAAAGAUCUGAUCAGCAAAGCUUCAAUGCAGAAUUGCAAAGGGUCAGAUACACCCUUCAGUACUGGAUUUAAACUAGAGAAAAAUGUUCAAGGUCCUCUGGGACAAGAAUUUGAAGAACCAGCACUUUAUAGGAGCAUUGUUGGAGGGCUUCAAUAUUUGAUUCUCACCAGGUCUGACAUUGCUUAUUCUGUACACAAACUCAGCCAAUAUCUCAAUACUCCUACACUUCAGCACUGGCUGGCAUGCAAGAAGGUUCUCAGAUAUCUUCAAGCCAUAACUACUCAUGGUUUAUACAUUCAAAAGGAAGGGACACUUGGACUUGCAGGUCUAACAGGAUACUCUGAUGCUGACUAGGCAUGUGAUGUUGAUGAUCGAAAGUCUAUUGGAGCUUACUGUAUUUACCUUGGUAAUAAUCUGAUCUCCUGGUCUUCAAAGAAGCAAGCUAUAGUAGCUAAGUCAAGCACUGAAAGUGAAUACAGGGCACUAUCUUCAGCAAGUUCAGAGCUUUCAUGGUUGCAAUCUCUGUUGUCAGAACUUAACAUUGUUCAGUUACCUACUCCAAUUCUUUGGUGUGACAAUCAAAGUGCUGGAGAGUUAGCUCGAAAUCCUAUUCUUCAUUCUAAAUCCAAACACAUUGAAUUGGAAAUUCAUUACAUUAGAGAUAAAGUGCUUGGAAAAGAAUUAGAAAUAAGAUAUAUUCCUACAGAAGAACAAGUUGCUGAUGUCCUUACUAAAGCUUUGUCAUUUCCCAAGUUUAACUAUUUUAGAUCCAAGCUCAAUGUCAUCAACAGGCCAUUGAGCUUGAGGGGGGAUGUUAAAGAAGCUCACAUUUACAAGAUUAUCAGCAAAGCAGAGGAUCACAGCAACAACCAUAUGCAGUUACGAGUUGAUGACAUGGCAUGCCAGCUGGAGCCUGGUGGUUAUGUAAUAAGUUAUGCAUGUAUCAAUUAGCUAUAAGCUGUUAUAGUUAGUUGAAAGGAUUAGUUAAUAAGUUGUUGCUAAUUACAACAGCUUUGUACAUAUCAUUAAUGAUGUGAUUAAUGAAAUUUAGUUUCUAGAAAACACUCAGAUCUAGUUCAUAUUUUCUUAGUUGCCAAACACGUUUUUCUCGUUCUUCAACUGUUGGAAGUCAACUAUUGUAUAGUAAGAUGAUUUGAAACUUCUUUUAAAACUUCUCUGUCAUCUAGCUUAGAGAACUUGACUGUCCACCAAGAGUCUGGAGUCACCUGUUGCAUCUCAAGUUGAUUUGGUAUUUGUUAUUUUUAAUGAGGAAAUACUUUGCUAGAACUUUCAGAUUGAACAUUGCAGGUAGGAUUAUUAUUCAAGUCGUGACCUUCGAGAACUUGUUGCAGUUGAAUGUUUUUUUUUUUUUUUUGGGGGGGGUGGGGGGGUAAUGACAAAAAUUAUUAAUGUUUAGGAACAACUCUUUAGGGGAGAAGCAUAUAUAUCUGGCUGGCAAUUUUGGCAUAUUCAACUGUUGAUAGUAGAAUGGAUGUAUGGAGGGUUGACUUCAGUGACCACAAUUAAUUAUGUCAUUGUACGGUUAAAUGGUUGCAUUAUGAAAAGCAGAGAUGCGUUAGAAAAUGACAUGGCCUUUGUCAUGCUUAAUCUGUGCCUAUGCAGCUAUUGUAUUAUCUUGGUUAACCUGUGCCUUUUUAAUUCUUGUACUAUGACUGCCUGGUCCUAAGCAAUAUUGAUGGAAAUGACAUCCAGCUUGAAGUUUAUGUAAAUCUUUCAAAAUAAAUUCUGAAUACCCUUGGAUUUGGUGUGUACAAAGUCAAAGAAUCCAUUUAGCUGGUCCUACAAGUUUUAGACUUUGCAGGGAGGCUUCAGAUUUAUAAAUAUGUAACAAAAAAGGUGUAGACUACAUAAAAAGACUUAAAAAAAAAGUGUAUAGAAUUAUUAGCUAUGCUUAGAUAAAUUCCCGGUAAUUACCUUUCUAGUAUUACUUUUUUUCUUGUUGUUUCUUUGAGAUAUUUCAAGAAAUAUACAAUAUAUGCAAACAUAUAACUUCUUGAAAUUUGUAAUUAUAGGAUUCUGUUGACUGGUUGGUUCUAUACCUCUUUGUGGGAAUGGGCGAAACAUCUUGAUACCUUUACCAAGAUCAGUUAGUGCUGAGGUUUUGGCUAUUACUGGAGCUGGCGUGUGACUGCAUGAUCAAGAUGCGUCAAACCUUCCACUGUUCUAUUGGUUUGCCUUUAUCAUUCGGAAUCCAAGUUUGAUAUUAACAGAGAUCACAUCAAUAAUAUCCUAUUUGGGUAGAUGUGGGUGAGGAUUUAAAAUCAAAUUUGAAAUUGAGAGGAAAGAAAAGGAGCCACAAUAAUUAAACAAAAUAAUUCUGAUGAGUUUUAAUCUCGAGGAACAAUUUUCAAAUGCAAAUUUAACUGCUAGAGAAAUUGUAGCUUUUUGUCAUUAGUUAAAAGGAAAAAGAAUAAGAACUAUCCGGCCCUUUCCUUCAUGAAUGUGUUGAGGUUGCUGUAUUAUUUAGUCAGUAUUUGUAAUUUUCUUCCCUGCAGUGCUCUCUGCUUCCUGAAUUUGCUACUGAGUCCAUAUUUUUCUUUGAGCUUUUGCUUCCUAUUGCUGUUACAGGUGCAAAUCUGGGCAAGCAAUAAGAUACACCGGGAGGAAAGGUCAUCAAUGCGAAAAUGGGAUGUCCGAUCCCUCAUCACAUCUUCUUCAGAUUUGUAUGGUCCAGAAAAGUCUGCUAGUGUUGAAAAAUUACCUAGGCAUGUAAAAUUUACUUUUAAGAAUCCUGUUAGGUGCUGCAUUAUUUGGAUCACAUUACAUCUUCAGAGACCUGGUUUGGGUUCAGUUAAUUUCGGGAAGGACUACAGCAUUUGCAGAUGAACCUUCAGAACAAGAUGAUUCAGGAUUGAGAGCUCCACUUGUGGCCACAGGUUUGUCUUUGUCAAACAGAAUCAAGUUAUAUUAUUAUUGUGAUCCUUAUGAGCUCGGAAAAUGGGCAAGCCUUUCUGGAGUUUGAUCGUUAUUUAUAUGUCAGAGAAAGAGUUUUGGGUUUGAUUUUGAUUUGUAAUUUUUGUCAGUUUAUUGAAAUUUUGUUGUUGUAUAAAAGCAGAAUGUAAAGGUAUAAAAAUUCAUUGAUGCUGUAAUGUCUGUACUUUUGAGAAAGAAGAAUUCAAUGUCUUUUCUAUGCCAUUGGAUUUUCCACUGCUGGUAAAACCUGAGCUGUCGAAUGCUCUGUGAACCUUAAGGGCUAGAAAGUAAUUUUCUUUUUUUUUUAAUUCUUUUAUAUACAUAUUAUUAUUGAUAUUACAUUAGACAUUACAAUUACAAUAUUUAUAAUCGUACUAAAUAACUGAGACCAACGUCAUACAUUAACUCACGCCAUACAUUAACUCACUGAAGCACUUGUCCAAAUACUUUAAACCUCUCUAAUAUUCGAGGAGUGUCUACUCUAUUCACAUUUUGUUAGGGAGAGACUGUCUCUACUCAAUUAGUUGAUAAUUAAGAAAGAAUUGAAACUAACCUCCAUAAUGUUCUUAUGAAAGCUCGAACUCUUGCACUCAACAUUAUAAGUGCAAGGUUUCUACCAUUGAACCAAAGACCCAUUGGUGGCUAUAAAGUAAUUUUCAAGAGUGAAGGAUUUAUUAAUCGAGUUCAAAAGAUUGCAAGCUGGUGAGCGUUGGCAUUUAAAAAUCAAUUGUUAUCCUCUCAAUAAUCUCUCUCUUCUGCCGACACCCGAAGCUCAGAAACCCGUUGUUCCGACGGACGUGUAACACUUCCAGAAAUUAGCCUUUUCUUCUAUAUGAAGGUUGAUCUCUCCUCCUGCAGUGUUUUCUUUUUCGAGUGAAGGUGGUUUUCUACUUACAUAUGUCGGGGGUCUUACAAUAUCUAAUGUGUGAAAUUUCUUUCUCAUUUUACCAUAAAGAAAAUGUCAGUAAUGAUUUAAAGCUCGAGUCUUAAAUUAUCUUAAAUUAAGAAUCUCUCAUUACAUUGUCAACCAAAAAGACACUUACAUAAGAAGAAGAAUUUGUCAGUUUGAUUUUAUUUGUAGAUCCAACAUUUCUCAUAUCCUGAGUGCCUUUCCGUAUCAAAUUAAAAUAGUAGUAGCAAAAUCGUAGUGCACAUUUAAUUAACCAACUAAUAGUCUAAGCAAAGAGAGGAUUACAAGUUCACAACACCAUUACAAAGGAUUCAAAAUCCCCGCACGAAAACAUCAAUGUACAGUUAUAAACAACCCGAAUUGGACACAAGAAAAACCCUUCAAUGGAUUGUUUGCCUUCCCAAUGCUAUAUACUGUGCAAACUGCGCACUGGCCAAGAAAAUGUUUUCAAUUUAGUGUACUUUCAAAAUGCUUAUUUUCUCAGAAUAUUAAAAAAAUAAAAAAAUAAAAAAAUAAAAAGAAUUCUUACAUGUUUCAUCAGCAUGAUUAAAAUCAAAGAAGAAAGCGAGACAUAAUGUCUCUGACAUAAUAAAAUUACAAAAAUUUCAAAAAAAAUGUUAAAACAUGUAAACAUGAAAGUAUUUUCAAAAGCAAAAUGGAAUACAUAGAUAAAACAUCAUCUUAAACAAAUCACAAUCUAGAAUUAGAGCAUUUUUGACAUACCUAAGGAAAAAGAAUACGUGAAAAUGGGUGACUCAUUUGCUAAGGAGUGUUGAUUUGAUUGGCUCUGCAAAUUCUCUUGGGGCUCAGUUCCAAUUCCUCUACAUCCAAAGUUCCACUCGCGCUUGGCAAAUCAUCCAAUUUCCAAACUUCGGUAGCAAAAUUGAUAGUAAAAGUGUUGUCUUUUGUUUCGCUGGGAUUUGCAUAUACUGGACAUAAUCCGCAACGUUUUAUCUUGUAAAACUUUCGCUCAGCGAAGAACUUAAAUGUGGCAAUUGUAUGAUGGUAACCAUCAGGAAACCCAACAUUCAAGCAAGGUUUAAAACCAAGUAUGACACGAUCUGAAUCAAUAAGGUCUUCAAUAUAGCGCGAAUUGUAACCCAGAUCAACAUGUUUGGUUUCAGAGAGAGUCUUUAUUUCUAAGUCGAAUUGAAAGCUGACGUAAAAAUAACGAAAACAAUCAGAAUCAACUUUCUUAGAAUCAAGAACAGCACAAAAAGCAAACCCGAUUAAGUUUCUGCAAGAAGAGUGCGGUGGCAGUUGAAUACAUAUCGAAGAUCCUGAACUUUGAUUGCUAAACCAGUCAGGAAUUUCGCUCCCAGGUAAAACAAUUAGGGAUCCCCUGAGUUCAGAAAGUUUCUGUGAAAGGACAUUUAAAAAAAGAAAAUUGUAAAAUGAAAACCAUUGAUUUCAGAUAUAAGAAAGAGGGACAGAGUAAACAAGAGAGGGAAUUUGAUACCUCGUUGAUUGCCAUUUCAUAGCCCAGUCUCAGUGAUGCAAUUGCCAUAUGCCGAAUUCUUAGUAGUGAAUCUGCCAAAAUCUUGUUGUUUGCUUUUCCAUUCAGUUUCAAGCAGUUAGUAAACUCAAAACAAAUUGCUGCUGACUUCAGAGAUUCUGGUGCCCAUUGAAGGUCAGGAGAGUGUUUGGAUAGCUUUUCGAGUACGGAUGCAUCUAGUUCUUGUAGACAUAACAGAAUCUCUGGCAAAGAUUGAAGCCGGUUGCAGUUCCUUACAGUUAGUAACUGUAGACACAAUGGAAGUUCUGGUAAUGACCGAAGCAUGUUACAAUCCUCCAAGUUAAGAUAUUGUAGACACAAUGGAAGUUCUGGUAAUGACCGAAGCAUGUUACAACCCGUCAAGUCAAGAGAUUCUAGACAAAAUGGAAGUACUGGUAAUGACUGAAGCAUCUUACAAUCAAUCAAGUGAAGAUAUUUUAGGCACAAUGGAAGUUCUGGUAAUGACUGAAGCAUAUUAAAAUCCUCUAAGUGAAUAAACCUCAGCUGCGACAUUUGCUUGAUAAUUGCAGGUAAACUCUCAAAGUUAUUUCCACUUAGAUACAAUAUUUCCAGUGAGGAUAGAUAGGCAAUCUCUUGUGGAAUUUCCCUUACAGCAUAGUCACUUAUAUGUAGAAGUCCCAUAGCAGAUAAACCUAAUAAAAAUGUUCGAGGAAAUGAUUCCAAACCUUUGCAGUGAGAGGAGUCAAGACUUCUAAGCAUGUUUGACAAUGCAACAGAGGAUGGUAGUUGACUAAUAGCUGAUGCAGCUGCUAAGAUGUAAUACAAAUAUUCUAAAGAGCCAAUGUUAUCCGGUAAAUUAUCAAGUUUAGAGCAAUCUUCUACGAACAAUACUUCAAGCCCCGGUAGAUUUUCAAAUGACGAUGGCAGCUCUGUAAUUGGCGUCCUGUCUGAAUAGAUGCGUUUUAAAUGUUCCAUUUUCUCCAAGAUUUCUGGGAAAUGCUCAAGGUUCAAGCAGCCAAGAAGAAUAAGCGUAACCAAAGAUCUCAAUUUACAAAAGCUUGUUGAAAUCCGCUUCAGCCGUUUGCAACCCCUCAAAUCCAACACUUCAAGAUCAGUUAGACACUCUAUUGAUGAUGGAACUUCUUCUAUUGCAGACUGGCCUAAGUAUAGCCGUGUAACUUUCCCAGAAAUUUGUGGAAACUCUAUGAGAUUAACACAAUAGGAGAAAUUAAUAGUUACUGGACAAACAAAAUGAAGAUUGCUUGGAAAAGACCUAAGACUUUGGCAGCCCUUAAAAGACAACGCACUGAGAUACUUGAAAUUCUGGAUAGAUGAGGGAACACAAGCCUUUUCUCCUUCCCAAGGUUGCUCAACUUUACUACAACGCAAAUUCAGUUCAACAAGGUUCUUUGGCUUGAAAUUUGAUGGCAGUGUCCUUAAUGGAUAUGUGUCCCAAUGAAGAUAUCUCAAUUUUUUAGGAAGAUAAUCUAGGCCAUUUGGAAGCUGCACUUUAGAGUAUGAAAGUUGCUCUUCAGUGCUCAUGCUUGGAAGCUUUUCAAUCUCAUAAAACUUAGGUACAUAAAAUUUGAACAAUCUCAGAUUAGACAUAUUUGUGAAGGCUCUGGGGUCUAAAUUGAUGCCUUUUAUUUUGGACAGAUCUAGAAAUAUGCCUUCAAUUGCAUCGGUCCCCUUAUAAAAAAAAAAACAAAAACAAAGAAUGGGUAAGCCUAAAACAGAAAAGAAACAUUCGUAAACUUUAUUAACUAAGAGCUCCUUAAACAAAACAAAUUCUACAAUCUUUGAUUUAUUUUUUAAAUAUAUUAAAUAUCUAUAUGCGAGAAAAGAAAAUUUUGGGGACCAUUGCAAAAUUAAACUAACCGAAAAAAAAAAAUCAAAAUUUCUCUAAUUUACAAACCUGUUAUCUUAAUAUUUAGAAGUUGAGAAGACAUGGCUUAUUUGAUUGGUAUAAGAUUUCGAAUUUUUUUAGAGUCCAUAGAAUCCAAAAUAUUAGUCCAAAAUUAGGGAAAAAAAUGAAAGAUUUUUUUACCACUAGCUAUAAUUGUAUUCAAGUCAAAUUGAGAUACGACCCUUUUCGAAAGAAUUUAUCCGUCUUACAGCCUCCUUAAGAUACAUUUAAGCUAAAAGGAGUGAUUGGAGGCAGAACUAGGUGGGCCAAUCAGUCCAUUUUAUUAGCGAUUGUUGCUUAAAAAAAAUGAUACUCUAAAACACACUUACUUUUUUUGAAAAAAAAAUAUAAUUAUAUUGAAAUAGAACCAGGUGGGCCAAUUCUCAUGGCACUCACUUUGUUCUUACACACUUCACUAAAUUUGAAGAAAAAUAAAAUUAUACUCUUCACACUCUUAUUCAACAUUUCAAAAUUGAUAAAAUCUGGAGUUUUCUUUAAAAUUUUAAAAUUUGAAGACUUGUUCUCUUGACACCCUCAGUCAUUAAUUUCACCUAAUUAUGGUUUUGAUGAUUUUGGUUGUUUUGUUCAUAAAAUAAUUUUACUAAAGGAUGUUCUCGUAAUAAUAAAAAUUAUAAAAAAAACAUAGGUGUGCUGGUGUGGUUGGGAAAAUACGAGUGCAGAACUCGAAACAAAUAAAAGAUGUAUAAAAUAAUGGAGGAUUCUUACCUUAUUAUGCUUUAGUACGCGGCUGAUUUCCUUAGGAUCCCACAACCUGCUGCGUUUGCCUGGCUCUUUCUCAGAUUCUUGGCGAACAAUCUGUCGCCCCAUUUCUUGCAAUAUAUCAUGCAUGUUCAAGAAAUUACCUGAUAUUGAUACGAGUGACUUAUCAAUAAGGAUAUCCAGCACAUCAGACUCAGAAUCAUCAAGAAUGCUUGCCACAAAAUCUUUAUCCUCUCCCUCAAAGAAACACGCAAUAUCUAGAAAUAUACUCUUCACCCUGGGCGUUAAUUUGUUAAAACUAAUCUUUAAUAUAUCAUAAAUAUCAUGAAUUUCAGAUUCACAAAUCCGAUUUAAGUCGUGCAAUACUUUUCCCCAAUGGCUUUUCCUCUUGAGGCACAGGGAGGAACCCAACACUUCAAGAACUAAUGGAUUGCCUUUGGUAUAUGAUACAACACUCCGUGAGUGCCAGUUGAGAUCUUCAGGACAAUGAUUUUCUUUAAAAGCGAAGUUACAAAAAUGCUCGAAAGCCUCUUCAAAUUCCAAUCCAUUAACCCUAUAUAUUUUCUUCUCCUCCCCUCUAAAUUUUUCGAGGACUCGUUUGUCUCUGGUGGUUACAACAAUUCUACUUCCUUGACCAAAUUGAUCAAGCUCUCCAAUCAGACGCUUUAAUUGUCCAACUUCAUUCACAUCAUCGAGUACUAUCAACAACUUCAUGCGUCGGACCCUCUCUUUAGUAAAAUGUGGAAUAUUGGGACCAGCUACUUCAAGUUUUUCGCUUAAUGUUGUUGAAAGCAUUUGCUUUUGGAGAUGUUCUAAUCCACCCGCCGUUUCUGAGUUUCCCCUAACAUCUGACACAAAGCAACUACCUUCAAAUUCAUGGGAGAAUUGGUCGAAAAUAGCUUUGGCAAGGGUGGUUUUGCCGAUACCACCCAUGCCCCAAAUUCCAACAAUUUGGACGGUAUCCGAUGAAUCCAUACACAGAAAUGGUUUAAUCUGCUCAAUUCGUGAAUUUAAUCCAACUAGGCCAUUGGAUGAGUCCGUUGAGACUGUUAUUUUUUCCAACUUCUUCAAAACAUCUUCGACAAUUUUGUUUACAAGUUGCGC
rnacentral:lncRNA from 1 species